AAUUUUAAUCUGUAUUUAAUUUUAGAAUAAAUUAGAAUUUAAAAUUUGAAUUAUCGAUUCAAAAAUCAAUUUUAUAAUUUCUUAAGCUCAAAUUUAAAUUCUAAUAUCAGUUUGCAAUUUGAAUUUAGUUCUAAAUUUAAAAUUUGAAUUUGAACGUGAAUUUAAAUUGCAAAUUUAAAUUUUAAGUUUGAAUUGUGUGUUUAAAUUUUGAUUCAAAUUUCGAUUAUGAAUUUGGAAAGUAAAUUAAGAUCUUAAUUAAGCUUUAAAUUUUUUUAAUUUCAAUUUGAACAUAAUUCCCAUUCCGAUUCCUCUUACGAACUAAACAAAGAAGGAAUUUUGAUUAUUCCGUAAUUAUUGCAAUCAUCAUUAUUGCUUAUGGGAUGCAUUUUGAAGCUAUUAAUGUGUAAUAUUUGUGCAAUGUGUGUAUCCAUUUCUGGCAAUUACUGUAAACAAUGUUCCUCCAAUGCUAUCCAUACACUUGUGUCAAGCAAAUGAAAUUGCUCUUUAUAUACAUGCAAAUGUUCUGUUCACUUGUAUAUCUUUAGUGUGUGCUAAUGUUGGCAAGUUUUGGCAUAUUAUGUGUAGUGCUUAUUGCAAUCCUUUGAUGACAUAUUUAUUCUGCUGAGUUCUUAAUCUUUGUAUCCACAAUAUGCCAGCCAUGAGGAUCCUUGUAGUUUUUUCCCCUUGAGGAGUUAUAAUCAUUAUGCCUGUUAAUUUCUUCUCUGCAGAUAGUACAAAAACUUCUUAUUGCUGCAGUUGCAGAUGCUCAUGUGGGUGUCCGGAAGUCAAUAUUUGAGUCUCUUAAUGAGAAUCCUGCUUUCGAUGAAUUCUUGGCACAGGCCGAUAGUUUGACUUCAAUUUUUGUUGCCUUAAAUGAUGAGGUACUAUUUUGCGUCUGUACUAAGAUGUAUUAUAACUGGGUUAUAUUGAAAACUUGCGAAUUCCCAGGUUAACUGCUGGAUAAUUUGGAUGGACUCGAGCAACUACACUAAGAUUCUUUUUAUUUUUGUCGUUUAGUAGAAUAAAAAGGAUAAUUUUUCUCCCCUCGCCUUGUCUCAUUGUUCAUUUUACUCUACUUUUUAGGACAUUGAUGUCCGAGUAUUAGCAAUAUCGGUUACUGGGAGAUUAUCUGAAAAGAAUCCCGCAUAUGUGCUCCCAGCACUUCGUCGCCAUCUCAUACAACUGCUCACAUAUCUGGAUAGGAGGUGAGGGAAAUGACAUUAUUGUUUAUUUUAUAAUAUAGUUGUAUGCUAUAUCUUAAUCCUUCUUUUGAUGUUAAGUUCAGUUGUUAUAUAUAAAUAUAUUUUCCUCUCAUUUGCAGUAUGGAUAGCAAGUGUAGAGAAGAAAGUGCUAGACUAUUGGGCUGCUUGAUACGAAAUUGCGGACGAUUGAUACUUCCAUAUAUUGCCCCAAUUCAUAAGGUUUAGUUCUUUGCACAAUGUCUUUGUCCACUGGCUGUGGGGAUUGUGUUAGCUUAUUUUAUGGUUCUAUGUUUCAGACACUCGUUGCGAGACUAUGUGAUGGCACUGGAGUUAAUGCUAAUAAUGCUGUUGUUACUGGAGUUCUUUCUACUGUGGGGGAACUUGCCAAAGUGGUAGGCUAUACUGCUAUCUCUGGAUCAUGUUGCUCUAGAUUUUUUUUUUCAAAAAAUCUGCACAUCAUCUAAGGAUUCUAAGCAUUUGCAGAGAUUUAUAUUGAUUUUCUUACUUUUUUUGGUUAAAGUUGAUGGUUGCUUGUAUUUCUAUUUUGCUAUUGAAUCAAAGUUUCUUUGUUUCUUCAUUAUUGUGAGUUAUAGUUGUUUGAACCUCUUUAAACUGAGCUGCCAUCUUCAUUAUUCUCUAAGUUUACAUUGAUAAGCUGUCAUCUUAAUCUUUAAGUCUAGUAUGCUGACUGGUACUGUCAUCUUAAUCAUUCAGUCUACUCUGCUGACUGGCUAGAAAAAGUUGACUUUUUGCAUUCAACUGAGCAGCUUUUCAGUCAUUUUUGCAUGACGUAGCAUUUGUUGUCAUCAUCUUCUAAGCUUCUCUUGUGAUGUAAUUGCUGAUUGAUCAACAUGGAGAACUAUGUCUAUCUGACAUCUUAUAAUCAAAAUUUCAUUCUUUAUUUGCAUGAUAUAUAAUCUGGAUGAAAUUUUGAGCGAGUCUUUUCUUGUGCUGUCAAUCUCUUGUUGUAAGUUUUCUUUUAUUAAUUUCUCCUACCAGUGUUCAUUUCCUUGUUUUGGUUUCUUUAGACUAUGUCUCAUAACUAAUUUACCUAGUUGAGAAGGUGAAAAGAACCUUAAAAUUGAUUGUAUCUUUUAAAAUAUGAAACAGGGAGGCUUUGCAAUGAGACGUUAUCUUCCUGAGCUCAUGCCUUUGAUUGUUGAUGCUCUUCUGGAUGGAGCUGCUGCUAAUAAACGGGAAGUUGCGGUGGCAACUCUUGGUCAAGUUGUACAAAGCACAGGGUACACAACUUUUGACAUUGGCAUAUAUUUCAUAUGGUCUAAUUAACAUAUUUGCACUGAAGAUAUCAAGAAUCAGAGGGAAAAAAUGAAUGUAUUUUACCCGACAAGACAAUUCUUUAAAAUUAAGUAGAACACAAGAAAGAGUGUCACUGUUCAAUGUUUUCAACAAUUCUCUAUUUGCAAGCAGGUUAUAUCAGCAUUCAUUUUGGCAUUCAUAUUGUCCAUUUUUAAUUGAUUGCACUGUGAUUUAUAUUUGUCUUCAGCUAUGUUAUUUCUCCAUAUAACGAGUACCCCCUGUUGCUUGGCUUACUCUUGAAACUGUUGAAUGGUGAGUUGGCAUGGUCGACUAGAAGGGAAGUAUUGAAGGUACUUAGUUGUUUAUUGAUGUUAGUAUUAAGAGUCAUGCCAUUGUUUCCUAUUCAGGGCAUAAAUGUUCUUUUGCAGGUUUUAGGGAUUAUGGGUGCUUUAGACCCCCACAUUCAUAAGCGCAAUCAGCAUAGUUUACCUGGAUCACAUGGAGAGGUCACUAAUGCAGCGAGCGAGGUUGGUCAACAUAUUGUCUCUAUGGAAGAGUUACCUACUGAACUCUGGCCAUCAUUUACAGCGUCAGAGGACUACUAUUCUACGGUAAAAGUUUAUGUUGUAUUCAUUCAUUAUUUUUUGUUUUCUUCUUUAUGUUAAUUCCUGUAUUUACUCAUUAUCUUGUAUUCACUCAUAGGUUGCUAUUAAUUCUCUCAUGCGAAUUCUUCGAGACCCUUCGCUUUCAAGCUAUCAUCAGAAGGUGGUGGGUUCUCUUUUGUUCAUAUUUAAGGUAUGGUUCUGUAUUGAUGAAUCAUCCAUUGUAUUAUAUUUUCUUGACACUCAUUUCGCUCUCUAAUCAUUACUUUUAUUCCUUUUUUUUUGUGUUUCUAAACUAGUCAAUGGGCCUUGGCUGUGUUCCAUACUUGCCAAAGGUAAGAUGGUAGUCUGUAUUUUCAAUGUCGUUUUAGAAGAUGUUGUCUUACACUUCCUUGCACCAGUCCCUCCNCCCCCCUCCCCGCCCCUCCCAACUUUCGCUGCAGUAUGUUAUAAUAUAAGCGCUAAAUUCCUUAAAGAAAAGGGUUUAAUGAUUCGUGUCUGGUGUUUUCUUGGUUUGCUGAUGUAUAACUUGCAAUUUCUUGUGGAGUGAGGCAGAAAAAAGUUUUGAAGUCUGGAAGUUGUUUUAGCAGCAAGCUGCAAUUCAUUCAAUAAGUUCUGGCCGCAGAAUCUUGCUCAGAAAUUGUACACUGUUUUUUUGUUUAGGUUCUUCCUGAUCUUUUCAAUGCUGUUCGCAUGUGUGAAGAUGGUGGUUUGAAAGAGUUUAUAACUUGGAAGCUCGGGACGUUGGUAUCUAUUGUAAGACAGGUAUUUAUGGUCCUUUCACCUUUUCUUAAUCUUAUUCUGAAUUUCAUUCUUUGAGUGAGGCCCUAAUAUUGUGCUUGUACAUUCAUGAAGCACAUACGGAAAUAUUUACCAGAGUUGCUCAGAUUGAUCUCUGAUCUGUGGUCUUCAUCAUUCGGUUUGCCUGCAACAAGCCGACAAGUGCCAGGUUCACCUGUAAGUAUGAGUCUUAUAGCCCCUUUUUUGUAUUUAUGUUGGUUCGUGUACUUUUCGACAAGCUAAACACGUUCUAGCCUUAGAGCAACAUGCUCGCUUUUCUCAUAGGUUGGGUGGCAAACCUCUUUUUCCUAGAUUAUCCUGCUAUUCUUGGAAGAUAGUCUCAAUUUUUCACUUCUAUUGAAGGGAACUGUUAUAAUCAUAGGACAUGUAAUAGUUGUAAUGGUAAUUAAGGAUAAGUUACCACAGCAUUGUCCCAAAGGUCUGCUAGAUUGAUACUUCCUUGGUUAUCCUAGCGUUGUUUGACCAUAACAGAUUUCUGCUUUUGUAUUGUGAGUCUUCAAAGCUUUGCAAAAUUAUUUUUCACUUCACUGAACUUUGUAGAAGAUAAGGCUCCGUUGUUUCUACCAAUAUCUGCAAGUUGUUAAUGCUGAUCUGGGGUACUACUAUUCUUUUCUGGGUUCUUGAUAACAAUAUCUUUUCUUUUGCAGGUUCUUCACCUUGUGGAACAACUUUGCUUAGCCUUGAACGAUGAAUUCAGAUCAUACCUGCCGGACAUUCUUCCGUGUUGUAUACAAGUUCUUAAUGAUGCUGAACGCUGCAAUGACUAUAGUCAUGUUCAUGAUGUGUUGCAUACUCUUGAAAUAUUUGGUGGUAUGGGGCCUCGGGUUCUGCUAGCCCAUAGAGAUCUUUUGAUUUUUAACAUUUUCUCUUUUUAUGGUUUUCUGCUUGGUCAAAAGGCUCUGAUGUGAAUGAAGUUCUUGUAGGAACCCUGGAUGAGCAUAUGCAUUUAAUUAUUCCUGCACUCAUUCGAUUAUUCAAAGUGGAGGCUUCUAUCGAUAUAAGACGUCGUGCAAUUAUUACUCUAACUAGACUUAUCCCGCGGGUGCAGGUUGGUUGGUUUUCUGGGAUUAUCUCUCGCAUGUAGUUUGUUGUCUUUUGACCUGUAUAGAAUUGCUGAAUUUCUUUUGUUCCCUCCCUUAUAUUCUUACGAUGGUUCUCAUCCACUCCUUUUCCUCCCUUCAUGAAUUUAGGUCAGCAGUCAUGUUUCUGCUCUUGUGCAUCAUUUGAAAUUAGUCUUGGAUGGGUAAGACUUUAUUAACAGAACUUUCCUUUGGUUGUUCUUUUACAAGAAUGUAUAGUGCUUGACUUUAUUGUGUGAAUAGUUCUAAGCAGUUGGUGGCUUCCUUGUUGUUGGCUUCAAAAUUAGCGUAUGAGCUAUCGCAUGACCUGUAAUGACUUUGUGAAAAUGGAUAUUAGAGCAAUUAAAAAUGGUGGUAGAAUGCCUUUUAAUUUCAUCUCAUAAUGCAUUAGCAUUUUCCCUUUUUUCCCCCCUUAUCAGGAACAAUGAUGAGCUAAGGAAAGAUGCUGCAGAUGCUCUCUGUUGCCUUGCACAUGCUCUUGGGGAGGACUUCACAAUUUUCUUACCAUCUAUUCACAAACUUCUUGUGAAGCACCAUAUGCGGGUCUUUAUUUGGAUUCUCGUUUAUUACUUGAAGAAAUUCUCAAGUUUAUGCAGUUUCUUAGUGAUUUGUCUUCCUAUCUUUAUAACAGCAUAAAGGUUUGGAUGAGAUUGAAAGCCGUCUUCGAAACCGUGAGCCACUAAUCUCAGACAACUUACCUGUCCAAAAAUAUGCGCAAGACCCUCCUUCUGAAGUCAUUAGUGAUCCGCUCAAUGAUUUUGAUAGCGAGCCAUAUGAGGAAGGUGAUGAAGCACACAAGCAACUGAGAAGCCAUCAAGUAAUCUGCUGCUUCUUUCUAAAAUUUUUGUAGCAAAAACAUCUUUAAAAUGAAUGCAUGGAAGUGACUUUCUCGUCCUUGAGCAGAACUUGGUUGCUGCAAUGAAUGUCUUUUAGCUUGUAAUCCAAAAAAUCUGAUCACAAAUCGGCUAGUCUGAACUAUCUCUGCCAAGCAAUUUGAAUUAAUGAGCUAGAUCCUAUAAGUUGUUUGCUCGCUGUUUGUAGUUUCCGGGAAGAAAUGAUUUAACUAAACAUUAAGCUGUAUUUCAAGAAAUUUUAUUCUUUAUUUUGCUCUGUUCCUGUAAGUUUUGCACCUAUAAUUUAAAUUUUCAGCUAUUUGUCAACAAUGCUGGUUAGCUUUUCUUGCUGUCUUCUUUGCCAAUAUAUUUUCUACCUUAAGCCAACCAUUUAGUUUUCUUGUAAAUUUUGAGUUUUUGUUUAACUUUUCUAUUUUAGUCUUGUCUUUUUAUAUAUGUGGAACUAGGGAUGUCAACGGGUCGGAUUCGGGCCAGUUUUUAAAAACCCGAGCUUGAACCCAAUUAUUGAAACUGAAACCCAAAUCCAGACCUGAAACUGUCAAAUUUUGAUUCCAUGAAAAAACCGAACCCAACAAAAAACCAAAACCCGAAACAAAACUGAAAAUCCAAACCCGAGAGCAAUCUUUUCUCUUUAGUGAAAAUCCAUACCCGAACUUGAAUCCGUCGGGUGUUCGUUUUUCUAUACCUAUAGCUGAAACUAUAUCCAUUUAGCAUCUGUUAAACCUUGCCCUGUUUGGGUUCGGGUCUGGGUAAAAUCUCGGAUAUCCAUACCCAUUGAGAUAUCUAUGUAGAGCAUUAGGCAUAUUUACAGAACGCAUUUUGUCAGUGCCAUGUACCGAACUCUGUAUUUUUAUUUGAACUUCCUUCAAUUUGCUUUCGAAAGUCAACCAGAAUUUACAGGAGAAAGUUCUGACAUUUUUGUUGCUUUAUUGUAGGUUAAUGAUGUUCGAUUAAGAACUGCUGGUGAGGCUUCUCAGAGGAGUACGAAGGAAGAUUGGGCCGAGUGGAUGAGACACUUUAGUAUUGAACUUCUUAAAGAGUCACCAUCACCUGCUCUGCGGACUUGUGCAAGGUUGGCACAACUGCAGGUGCUGCAUAUUGUUGCAAUAGUCUUUAGAUUUUCAAAAGUUCAUUAAUCAUCGGCAUAUUUUUGAGUGGUAGAAUUUGACUUAUUCAUCAGCACUUGCAUGCGUCAAAUAAAAUCAUGAAAAUCUAUAUAAUUAGCCGUAUAUUUUUAGAACCAGUCAGGUUUUCUGUAUUCUUCGUUAUUAAGCUUUUAUUAUUAUGUUUUGAACGUUUUUUUACUAUAGUAAUGAAAACACUAUAUAUUUGAGUUUCUAAGAAGUUUCUAAGAAGUUUUACUAUAGAAAUGAAAACACUAUAAGUUUCUAAGAAGUAUUACUUCUACAGAAUGUCAUAUUUGAGUUUUAUUAGUCUAACUACUGAUUUUCUUUUCCAAGUUCAUCAAGAUUAAGCCGAGUGUCAAACAUUUGCAACCUGUCGAAUUUGUCCCAAUUGCUGAACUUGUGACUACCAUGCAGCUGAAUGAUCUUCUAAAAUGGGUUGUGCUUUUACGUGAUUCAUUCUUUUCACAAAAUGUAUACAGCCUUCUGUGGGGCGUGAAUUGUUUGCUGCUGGCUUUGCCAGCUGCUGGGCAGAAAUGAAUGAAGCAUCCCAAGAGCAAUUAGUCAGGAAUCUGAAGACAGCCUUCUCAUCUCAAAAUAUUCCUCCAGAAAUUCUGGCUACUCUACUAAACUUGGUAUUUUUUUUUUCUUUCUUCAAUUUUUUUUUCCUGUUUAUGUGAAUAUUUCAGUAGGUGUUCUCAUACUCUCUGCGGUUGCUAUGCUGACUAGGCGGAGUUUAUGGAACAUUAUGAAAAACCUCUUCCAAUAGAUACCCGACUGCUUGGUGCGCUUGCUGAGAAGGUGCCCCCCCGCUUUUUUUUUUCCUUUCACACAUUGUUGCGCUAUUACCAUAUACUGAUCACUUGAAGCAUUAUAGUAGUGCACCAUAAUUAUGUAACUUUGUUUCUUCAGUGUCGAGCAUUUGCAAAAGCUCUUCACUACAAGGAAAUGGAGUUUGAAGCUGCACGCUCUAAGAAGAUGGGUGCAAAUCCUGUUACUGCGGUGGAGUCCCUUAUUCAUAUAAAUAAUCAGUUACAUCAGCAUGAGGUCAGCUUCUUUGUCGAUGAUAUCUGCUACGUAAUUUCUUACUUGCUUAAGCACAUGAUCAGGCCCUGUUUGGAUGCAUGAAUAUCUUGUUCGGUAUAUCCCUUUAAUUUAUUCAAGAAAUUUGUACAUUUGAUUGAUAAGGAGUGUGAUCAAAUGUUUAGAACAAGAUACUAUAUUUGGCCUUCAAGUAUUUUUUUUGGAUAAGAUUAAGUCACCUUAUAGGUGAAAUAUGCUAUCCCAAAUCAUGGAUAGCAAGACCUUUGAAGGAACAGAUAUGAAACUCCGUAGAAUCAUACUAGAAAAUCCUUAUAUAGAAUAAGUUAUCCUUGGAUAGCUUAUUCCGACAUCCAAACAGGGCCUAAGUGUACAAAAGGAGGGUAACUCAAGCGACCCUCUUAUUUUGUCUAAUACAGCAAUAAAAGCAUAGGACCAGCUUAGAUGGGCUACUAUAGGAAUCAAGGAAGUACUAUUCCAAACAGCGCCUAGAACUGGCUUAUUCUCAUUUUAUUUCCAUUUAUGCUUACACUAAAAUUACGAUUUCUCAAUUCUCAUAAUAAUUAUUCCAGCAAUUAACAUAGUUGGCCUUAACAUUUUUUGGUCAAAUCUGCCUUUUAUGGAAUUUCUAAUGGAUUGCCAUACCAUUUGUUUGGUGCUUCUACAGGCUGCUGUUGGGAUUUUGACGUACUCACAGCAAAAUCUGGAUGUUCAACUAAAGGAAUCUUGGUAUGGUUUGCUCGAAGAUGAUUGUUAAUGAUCUUUGGGAUCAUAUCUAUAAUACAUAUAGCCGUUUCUCUCAAAUAUAAGAAGAUGACCAAAGAACUAACUGGAUAUGUUUACUUUACAUGUUCUUUCCUUUUUUUUUUGAAGGUAUGAAAAACUGCAGCGAUGGGAUGAAGCACUCAAGGCAUACACAAUAAAAGCUUAUCAAGCAUCUAGUCCACUUCAAAAUUUAGAUGCUACGCUAGGUUGGUGUUGAAUGGUUGCUAAAUAACAAUGUUUAGGCAUUUUAGGUUGCUAACAUAUUCUUUGCUACGUUUAGAGCCUCAUGCAUCGCAUUUUGUUGCAUUUGAAAAUUUUUAUUAUGUACUUAUAGUAAUGGAAUUGACUUAAUCAUCAGAUUAUAAGCUCAUUCCAUACUGGGCCAGACUGGAAUAGGGUUGUGCAUGUUCUUACUAUAAAUCUUAUGUUGUAUGGUAAUAACCUUUAAGAUAGUAGUAUGGGAAGUAACUCUACUACCAAAGGUAUUUAAUAAGCAGGUUUAGGACAAGCGGGUGAACUCCAAUUAUCUAGCAAUCAAGAAUCACUUUUUUGCCAUCAUGGAUCAUUUCAUUAUUAAAAUUUCUUUCACUUUGGAUUGGUUGUUUACACAAAUGAAAUGACAAAAGAAGUGGUUCAGCAUUGAAAUGAAGCUGGAUUGCUACGGCAGCUUCGUGACUAAAAUAUACUAGCGAUAAUUUUAAGAUGUUUUGUUCAUGACCAAUGGAAACCUCGUGUGCAUCAAUUAGGAAAGAGAAUAUUUACUCAAAGAAACCUCAAAAGUAUAUUUGAUGAUAUCUCUGACUAAUGACAUGAUGAGUUUUUUGAUGAAGCAAUAGCACAUAGUAAAGUCGGCAGUUAAAAACAGUUUUAUCUACAUGACUCACAUAAGUGGUUCAGAAGACUUUGUUCUUUGUCUAACCUCCCUUGUAAUGUUUUACCUAGAUUGAUUAUUUACCAUAUUGGACGAUUUAAUCCCUUUUGCUUUCCUAAUGGUUUUGUAAAUGUGUAUAUUUCCUAAAAAUUGUUAUGUUCGUAGUACAACAAGGUUUUCUGUAGCUAGUCAGAUUCCUAUAUUCUUUCAAUUAAUUAUGUCUUUAUUAUAGCCAGUCAAAUUACAUGGUUCAAUAAUGUGCUACCCACUUGUUAUGUGUUUAUUUCCAGGACGAAUGCGGUGCCUUGCCGCCUUAGCUCGUUGGGAAGAGCUUAGUGCUCUAUGCAGAGAGCAAUGGACUGCUGCCGAGCCAGCAGCUCGGUUGGAAAUGGCUCCUAUGGUUUGUGAUGCUGCAUAAAAUUUCUAGAUACUUAUUUAAUAUCAGAAAAUGCUAGGUGUACACCCCAGAAGGGGGUGUAUAUUUACACCCCUCUGUCCUAGAGUUCACAAAGCCCUUGGGGGUUUCAAUAUUUUUUUUAAAAAAGUUGACAAGACAAGAGGCUAAUAAUAGUCCUUGGAUGGAGGAGUGCAAGAUACACACUCCUUUUUUGGGUGUAUAGGUUGCAUUGCUCUUUAAUAUAACUUCAAUUUCUUAUCUAUUUCUUGCCGCUAUAUUAGGCUGCUAAUGCUGCAUGGAACAUGGGAGAGUGGGACCAGAUGGCUGAAUAUGUUUUACGUUUGGACGAUGGGGAUGAGAGCAAACUCCGUACAUUAGGUAAUACAACUACUAGUGGUGAUGGAAGCAGCAAUGGUGCUUUCUUUAGAGCUGUUCUUUUGGUUCGUCGUGAGAAGGUAUGGAUUAUAAACGUCUUAUGAACUACACCCUUUGCAAGGACUGCAUUUAAGGAUUUGUUGCUUUUCCAGUAUGAUGAAGCUCGUGAGUAUGUUGAGAGAGCGAGGAAGUGCUUGGCAACAGAACUCGCAGCAUUAGUAUGUCUUUUUCCUUCCCUUUUUGUUGCCUAUCAGAUACCAAUGUUUGUCUACAUAUUUUGUGUUUGCUAUGACUUUUUUGCUGUUUAUGCACCAAAUGUGAGACCCCAGAUAGUCCUAUAUAUAAGAUAUUAUAGGGCUAAAAUUCUUAAUCCGGCUUAGGCAUUUUGGGCGGUGGCUAGACCUAAAGAGGUUAAGAGAGUUAAGCGUGUUAGGACGAGAGUAGUCCUGGGAUGGGUGACCCCCUGGGGAGCCGGGGUGUUACACCAAAUGUUAAAACAAAGGUGUUUUAUACAACAUAAUAUGUUAUUGUUAAAUUAUGUGAAACAAUCAUCAUUGAAUGGACUUGAACUUAGGAUUUUCUGCUCUGAUACCAUUUUAAAUUAUUUGAAACAACCAUUGUUUUCCAAAAGGUUAAACUGCGAGAGAAUAGUAUUUUUAAUAUUUAUAUUCAACAUUUAUACUUGUAUCUCUCUUUUAAAUAAGGUUAUAGCCUUGGCUUUGUUUUAUUUGUUUUAAUUUUUCAUAAUGCUCCUAGGUAGAUGCAAUUUUUCUAGUGAAUUCUUUUUAAUUUUUCGUAAAAACAUUUGUCCUUUUAUAAUGCAGUAUGUUGUAUUUUUGUAUGCUUUCAGGAAAGUAACACAUAAAUCAGAAAAUAUCUAUUUUGGAAGGAUGAAAUAUUGAAGAAGUUGUAUAACGAAGGAAAUUAGGGAUUGAUAGAUGAAUAGAGGGGAUGUGGUGUUGUUUGAUAGCUGGAUAAUUACAACCUUUUCCUUGUUUAAUUUCUUUUAUUUUGUGCUAAAUGCUCUUACAAAGAUGCAUUUUGUCUUGCAAUGUGAGUAGAGCUUUUCUUAAUAUGAAAGAAUUAUUCACAAUUUAUUCUUGCUUUCUUGAUAAGAAUCAAGACAAAAAUAAUAUAUAAAAUUUGACAUGAGUAGAGCUUUUCUCAAUAUGAAAGAUUUAUUCACAAUUUAUUCUUGCUUUCUUGAUAAGAAUCAAGACAAAAAUAAUAUAUAAAAUUUGACACGAUAUAUGGGAUUUGUGGGGAUUCAUGAUCUCUGUUCUCAGUUGUCAUGAAAUAUGUUCGUAUGAAAAAAUGAUGUAAUCCUCAGGAAUCGCAUUCCUAAUAGCAUUUUGCAUUUUCUUUUUCUUUUUCUUUCUGACUAUUCUCAAAUAAACCAUGUUAAUAAAAUGUCACUGAUUUUUUCUUGAUCUAGAAUUUGUGGAGUUUCUAGCUUCGGUUUUAAGAGUUCUGUAUGUCUUAUGUCUCUUUUUAUCUGAUAAUUAUGCUUUCUUUUGCCUAGGAAGAAGGAUGGCCAUCCCUUUGCUGCAUAUACUUUUUGACAUGCACACUCCCCACCCUUUUUCUUUCUAUAUUCUUAACAUGCUUCACUUUACUUCCUGAUCAGGUUCUGGAGAGUUAUGAGCGUGCUUAUAGCAACAUGGUCCGGGUUCAACAGCUGUCUGAGUUAGAAGAGGUCUUUUGCAUGUUUAUUCCACUUCUUCACUCAUAUUUUCAGCGUGUUGCUGAGCAGAACCUGACAUAGGACCAAAUACAGGUGAUUGAUUACUGUACUCUUCCAGUUGGAAACCCUGUUGCAGAUUCUCGGAGGGAACUAAUCCGUAACAUGUGGAAUGAGCGAAUACAGGGAGCAAAACGAAAUGUUGAGGUAGGCAUACUUCAUGUGGCAAACCCAAUUUAUGUUGCUGUACGAAGUUUUCGAACGUGCUGAUUGGUUAUUGAGCUUGCCUCAUGACAUCGUGCAGCUCAUAAUUAGAGUAUUUGGACUUAAUGACUAAAAAAUAAAAAAUAAAAAAUUUCCCGACGCAUUAUCAAUUACCUAACUCUGAAACUUCUUUUUAUUAGGUUAGAUUGACUUUCUGAAUUCUAAUGCAUUUGCUAAUAGAAAAAUCUUUGAGUGUUUGACUGAAAUGCUACCGUUGCCAUGCUGUUAUGUGCUUUAUCGUAUAACUACUGAACUUUUCUAUGCUGUUUUGGGAGACUAAUUCAAUGCCUGUGGAUUUUGAUGCUUACUGUAUAGUCAUAAUUUUUUUUUUGGUAAUACAUGCCUGAUAUCCUUUUUCUUUUGAUUGAUGACACUUGUGAAAAAUAAGGUUUGGCAAGGCCUCCUUGCAGUAAGAGAGCUGGUUCUUCCCCCAAAUGAAGACAUAGAAACCUGGCUUAAAUUUGCUUCGCUUUGUCUACAAAGUGGCCGCACUAAUCAGGCCAGAUCUACCUUAAUUAAACUCCUACAGGUUUGCCACUGAUUACACAGAAAUUAAUGAUUAUUAUCCACAACUGUUCCUGGUGAGAGAGAAUUGAAGAAGAUUUGCAAUAAAUUGCGUGCAGCAUGACCCUGAAUCAUCUCCCGAACUUUUAUUAUCCCAUGGACAUCCUCAAGUCGUGCUUGCAUACCUGAAAUACCAGUGGUCUCUUGGGGAUGAACUAAAAAGGAAAGAAGCAUUCUCUAGGUUACAAGUAUGACCUUUGUCAUUUCUUGUGCAUUAAUUGGAGUAACAACUCAUUUUUAGGCGUUCUUUGUAGAAUUAUAUUUAAUUGUCUACUCUUGGUCUCUGCUUCCUUCAGGAUCUGUCCAUGCAGCUUGCUGCAAAUACAAAUAGCUAUGCAGGAUCACUAAUGAAUUCAUCUAAUUCUUUGAGUGGUGGCGUUCCACUUCUUGCCCGUGUUUAUCUGACACUUGGGACCUGGAAGAGAGCACUAUCACCUGGCUUGGAUGACGACUCCAUACAAGGUAAUUAUGGGCUGCAAUGGGUUUAGUUCAGUUGAGUAGACUUCUGGAUGGGACAAUCCAAAUCUGAUCUGAACAUGACUAAAGUUGCUUUUGGAAGCUUACCUGAAAUAUUUAGGUUGAUAACCCUAAAAGUAUGACAAAAAACUUCAGCCCACUUGUCCCGAAUUGACUCUUUUAGGGUCAGCCGGAAUCCCAUUGGAUCUUUUAAUUCAUUUUCCAAAAUAUACAUUGUGAUCCCAAAUAACCCAAUUUAUCCGAGCAGACCAAACUUGCCCCGAAAUUACCGGUAUCAUGACCUAAAUCAUUUCAUGGUUAAUCUAAACUGAACAUAGUCAGGUAACUUCUUGGAUUGAGGAAUAUUGACCUAAACACCACCCUAAUUUAAAAUGGGCAAUCCAAACCAGAACAAACUGGGUUUUCUUUAGUUGGGUUCUCAGGUUGAGUUGAAAAUUUCCCCUACACCACCCCNAAAGUAACGAGUAGUUUCCUCUCACUUCCUUUUUGUUUAAAAUUAUUGAUGAAUUAUUAUUGCUUUAAUUUCCAGAAAUCCUAAUGUCAUUCAAAAAUGCCACUCAUUGUGCUAAGGAUUGGGGAAAAGCAUGGCAUACUUGGGCUUUGUUUAACACUGCAGUCAUGUCUCACUAUACUAUGAGAGGUCGCUCUGAUAUUGCUGGGAAAUACGUUGUUGCGGCAGUUACUGGUUAUUUCUACUCAAUUGCUUGUGCAUCAACUACCAAAGGAGUUGAUGACAGUUUACAGGUAAAUCUGGUUUCUUGAAGUUCAAGUUUCUCACUCAUCUUUUGGUUAAUUUAUAUUUUCCAAUUUGUAGUGCAUGGUGUUUGAGCUUUCUUUCCUUUUUUCCCCUUAAUUCUCAGUUGAUUUUCAAUAACAGGUCAAAUAAUACUUCUCUUUUAUAUCUCUUACAAGAAGUUGCCUAUCAUUUCUCUUUUAUACUUCUCUUUUACAAGAAGUUGCCUAUCAUUUCUCUAAGACCUUUCUUUGAAAUUCCUUGUACCAUAAGACACAUGAUAGUACUGUUAACUACUGUUGUUACUUUUACAUAUUUGUUCAAAGUAUCUAUUUUAAUUUGUUCUUUUCCACCUAUAGAUUUCCCAUAUUUUACAUAUAUUUUCUAGUUCGAUGUGCUAUAUGAUUUUUCUCUUGUUUCUUUUGCACCAACUUAUUUCCUGGUUCAUUUCUUAAUGAAGCUCUUCAAAAUUUAUGCUUUUUUUUAAGGAUAUUCUUCGUCUCCUCACAUUGUGGUUCAACCAUGGGGCUACAUCCGAAGUACAAACAGCAUUGCAGAAAGGGUUUUUACAUGUAAAGAUUGAGAUGUGGUUGGUUGUAUUGCCCCAGAUAAUUGCAAGGAUUCAUUCAAACAAUAAAGUUGUAAGAGAAUUGAUACAAUCGUUAUUGGUACGAAUCGGAAGAGGGCAUCCACAGGUUUGUGUUUUAUUAUAUGCUUCUGACUUUCAAGGACUCUUUAUGAUCAAGGUUCAUGUAUAACUGGUAAGUUAGAGCAUUCAAAAUUGGCGCAUCUAGUGAAUAAGUGUCUCCACCAACACCAUAUUGGUGGAUAUGACUAAGCACUUACUACUUAUUUGACUUAAAAACUUUUUGGGAGGAAUUGUGAUCUGGUUGAAGUUCACUAGAUUAUUGCAUUUUCAUCCUCUUGCAAUAGGAUUGUUAGGUUGCUCACUCAUGAUCUUGUCACUCUGGAGUCUUCUAGCUAAGUUUGUGUUCUCUCAGUUUGCUAAGCCUUUCCUAUCUAUAUGGGCUACUAUAUAAAUGCUCCCAGUAAGAAGUGAGUAAAAUAUUACUCUAGAAAGUAGUGCCCAAGACCAUAAUAAAGGAGCAGCCUUCUGUUUAUACUUGACAUGGCUCUCUUAGACUUGUUGGGGGAAGGAGCUUAUAGUUUACACUUAUGCUAAGUUGCAAACAAGGAGCAACCUUCUGUUUCUUUUGUAGAAGUGAUUGUUACCUUUCUCAUAUAGGACAUAAUAGGUUUAGAGGUGUAGCUGCAUGUUUUCUGUUAAUGUUUUGAACAAUUUUAUGAAAAUUUGCUUUUUUACUUUGUCAGGCUCUUAUGUACCCUCUGCUGGUAGCAUGCAAGUCAAUAAGCGUUUUGCGUAGGCGUGCGGCGCAAGAUGUCGUUGAUAAAAUUCGCCAGCAUAGUGGAGUUCUUGUCGAUCAGGUCAACACUAAUGUUUUGGGAGGUUUGUAGAGAAACUCGUAUUUGUAACCUUCUUGACAUAGCAGUUUGCUAAUUUUGCCAGGCUCAGCUUGUAUCUAAGGAGUUGAUUAGGGUUGCAAUCUUGUGGCAUGAAAUGUGGCACGAGGCUUUAGAGGAAGCUAGCCGAUUGUAUUUCGGUGAGCAUAAAAUAGAUGGAAUGCUUGCGACGCUUGAACCUUUGCAUGCGAUGCUAGAGGAGGGGCCUGAGACAUUGAAAGAGACUAGUUUCAUUCAGGUACAUUGCUAGAACUUUCUAUCAUUUUUACUGUAUGUUGUUAAGUUGCUGCAUUACUUACUGUCAAGCGAUGUUAUGUGUUUGAAAAAGCAAUGAAAUAAUAAAUUUUCUUACCAUUCUUAUAACGUGCUUUUCUUGAAUAAUAAUCGAGCACAUGGAACUUAUGCCAUUGUGAUACAUCUCUAGAACGCAGUGCACUUUUGAUGCCAUUUUCCCUUUAAAAGACCCCGAAAUGAACAUAUUGGAUUCAGAACCUUCCGAAGUAGACAGUUUAACGUCUUUUUUAGCUAUGUGAUUUUCUGAACCUUUAUCAAUGAAUAUCUCAGACAUAUGGCCGUGAAUUACUGGAAGCUCGCGAAUGCUGCUUGAAAUAUAGGAGCACUGGAAAGGAUGCAGAGCUAACUCAGGUGCAUAAAAUUUAUUAUGCGACAUCAUUCGUGUCUUGGAAAAAUAGAACUUUCUUUGAACUCAUUCUAUUUGAAUUUUCUUUCUAGGCCUGGGAUUUGUAUUAUCAUGUUUUUAGAAGAAUAGACAAACAGCUGCCUAGUCUCACCACUCUAGACUUACAGGUAAGCACUACAUGUAAUUUUUCCACUAGCAAAUUAGGUUUCUCCCACCAUCCUGAUUAUUGAUCCGACUUCCCUAAUCUUCCUGGUUCUUAGACUGUUUCACCAGAGUUGCUCAAAUGUCGUAAUUUGGAGCUUGCUGUACCUGGAACUUAUUGUGCAGGUAAGUAGGUCAAGAGUUAUUUGAGUCAUAAUAUAUACUUAACUGAAAAAAAUUUAUCUCCUGUAAUUUAUAUCUACUGUUACAAGCGAAUACAUUUGUUUGGUCUUUAAGGAGGUGGCUUGCAGAUAUUUGCUAAAUUUUUCAGCAAUUUCUGUCUGCAUCUUUAUUCGCAGAUUGUAUUGAGCUGCAGAUUGUAGCUCAAUAUUAGCAGAUUACUCAUUGAUUGUAGAUGACUGUCAUUGAAUGUAGAUAACUAUCUAUUUUAUGUUUUAUUUUCAAUUUCUGUAGCUCUUCUUUUUUAGAAUUUACAUUUUUAAUGUUAUCAACUUCACUUGCUUAAACAACACUUCCAACAUGAUAUUUCAUGUGCUAUAAUAGUUAAGUAUCCACAAUAUGAUUAUGUAAUGAAGUACGUUCUUUCUAUAUUUUGAACACACUAUUUCAUAUUGCUUUAUAAUCAUAAAUAGAUUUAAGCUUAGCUGUAGUACAACUAUCUUUGUCAUUUCAGAUGCCCCGGUGGUGACCAUUGCAUCUUUUGCACCACAACUUAUUGUAAUCACAUCAAAACAGCGACCUAGAAAAUUAACAAUUCAUGGAAGUGAUGGGAAGGACUAUGCCUUUUUACUGAAAGGGCAUGAGGAUUUGCGGCAAGAUGAACGAGUCAUGCAGGUUUGUAUCAUUUUUUAAUGUUGAUAAUCCAUCUAUAUUAAAGGAGAUGACUGGUCUUUCAGCAUCUUGUUUUAUCGGAGACUUGGUAAUUUGAUACCAAGUCAAAUUCUUUCAGCUUGUUGUGCAUCAUAAACUAACACUUCGACCCCUUUUUCCUAGCUUUUUGGUUUGGUGAAUACUCUCUUAGAGAAUGCAAGGAAAACUGCAGAAAAGGAUCUCUCCAUCCAGCGCUAUGCGGUCAUUCCUUUGUCUCCUAACAGCGGCUUGAUUGAAUGGGUUCCGAAUUGCGACACCCUUCAUCAUCUAAUCCGGGAAUAUAGAGAUGCUAGAAAGGUCCAUCUCUUGCUCAUUUCUUAUCAAGUUUCCGCCAAGCUAUCUUACAUUUUUGUCCUUGCUUUCAUUUCAGAUGUUCUUAAAUCAAGAGCAUAGACUUAUGCUGGCAUUUGCACCCGACUAUGACCACUUGCCCCUCAUUGCAAAAGUGGAAGUGUUUGAGCAUGCUUUGCUGAAUACUGAGGGAGAUGACCUUGCAAAGGUACAUUAAUGUGGAAUUUUUGAACUGAAUUGGAAAUUAUGUGUAUACUGAUAGAUUUAAUUAAUGUUUCAAAAUUGUGUUAGGUUCUGUGGCUAAAGAGUCGGACCUCUGAAGUUUGGCUUGAACGUCGGACAAAUUAUACAAGAAGCCUAGCUGUAAUGAGUAUGGUAUGGAAUUUUUAUAUUUGUAGUUGGAUAUUUUUUUUUUUGGCAAUUACAGCAUUAUUUUAGGGGAGGGCACUUAACAAGACGGUUCUCAUUUUUCAGGUUGGCUAUCUUCUCGGAUUAGGCGACCGCCAUCCUAGUAAUCUUAUGCUGCAUCGUUUUAGGUAUAACACAAACAUUGCCUUUUGACUCUGGUAGUAGAGCAAAUAUGCUGUUAAUUUUUUUUUAGUUGGAAAUAAUAUUGCUUUUGUUUUCAGUGGAAAAAUAUUGCAUAUUGAUUUUGGAGACUGCUUUGAGGCUUCAAUGAAUCGAGAAAAGUUCCCUGAAAAAGUAAGUGGCCUGAGUCUGAUAUUUUGACCUAUUGCAGUUUAUUUGGCAUCCAUAGCCCAUGAAUCUAAUCCGAUAUGAAACAGGUACCUUUUCGGUUGACAAGAAUGCUUGUGAAAGCUAUGGAAGUUAGCGGUAUUGAAGGAAAUUUCAGAUCAACCUGCGAGAAUGUCAUGCAAGUUCUGCGGACAAAUAAGGACAGUGUCAUGGCCAUGAUGGAGGUAAAUUAGAGCAGGAUUUCGAUCCUUUGGUUUGUCCUAAUUAUAUAAGUAUGUUUAGGUUAGAGAGGCAUUCUCUGGAAGAGGCAUGAAAAUGUUUGGACACUCAAAUGUUUGUGUUUAAGCUUGCAAAUAAGUUGUUUAUCUUUUCCUGAUCUCAUAAUUUGAAUAUUUGAUAUGUUAAUAUCGAUGCAGCUUAACAUCUAUCUGAUAUAUGCUUCUCGUCAUUGAAGAUGAAACAUAGUGGGGAGAUUGGUUCUUAUGUACCUUUCUUUUUUACUACGCAGGCCUUUGUGCAUGACCCUCUCAUCAAUUGGCGUCUGUUCAAUUUCAAUGAAGUCCCUCAAAUGCACGUUCACCCAGUUGUCAAUAGUGAUGAAUCUGCACCUAACAGAGAACUCCAGCAACCUCUUCGUGGGGUCCGUGAAAGAGAACUUCUUCAGGUGGCUUACAAUAUUGCUUAGUUCUCGAAAUUCUGUUUAUUUUACUUUGAACCAACUUGCCAAUUUGGCCUGCAACAGGCUGUUAAUCAACUUGGUGAUGCUAAUGAGGUUCUGAACGAGCGCGCAAUUGUUGUUAUGGCUCGGAUGAGUAAUAAACUUACUGGCCGUGACUUCUCUUCUGGUUCAUCAAUUGCUGGUUCCGCCAACUCCAUCCAACAUGUGGCUGAUAACGGUAACUUAAUUUCCGGUGAUGCUCGUGAAGCCGAUCAUGGUUUGAGUGUCAAACUUCAAGUACAGAAGCUAAUAUCACAAGCAACUUCGCACGAGAAUUUGUGUCAAAACUACGUCGGGUAUGCCUUCAAACUUACUAGUGCACUAUUAAUAACCUUUUUAUUAUUGCAUUUAUGGUGCGCGAUGUGUAGCAACAUAAUAAAAGGAUAUCGUAUAGUUAAGUUCUAAAGAACAAAAUAAAGCGGCAGUUUAUUGGGCUGAUCUUUCUUGCUAAAUAACUGCCUGUUCCUGAGCAUGUAAACUUUAGAGAAGGAAAUAUUACCCAUUUCUAGUUUUACGGUAAUACACAAUUGGAAAAAUUGGCAUCACGAAUUUCUGAAGUCUACACAAAUUAAUUGUAAAAUGGAACAAAUUCAAAGGAAAUAAUCAACAAGAGUCUUUUUAAGAGAGUCAAAAAGAAUAUAUACGCCUUUGUCCGUGGGAGCUGAUUGAUUGUGAAGAGAUUAAACCAGAUCUUCCAAUCUUUAGGCCGUAGUGUACAUUGGAUCUAUUACAUUCUUAGAAUUCUCUUAUUUAUUUAUUUAUUUUUUCCUCAGGUGGUGUCCGUUUUGGUGACCUGCUGCGAUUUUGUAAAUAAUGUAGAUAGGUUGUAAAUAUCAAUUGCUUUUCCUCCUGUAGAAAUGUUGUAUUGUAGUAAUGCUUGAAAUUAUCCAGUAUAUCUGCAUAGCAGUACCCUAGUGUUAAAGGUGGUGGCGUAACUAUCUCCCACUUGUUUGCGAGAUCACCGGCAUUGCAGCUGGUAUCCUUCUUUCACUGGUAAAACCCUAACCAAAGAUGAUUUUUAAUAGUGGAAACUAUUUCUUGUGGCCAUAUAUUUUCUGAUAAAUAUCAAAAUAACUGCUAGAUGUUAUUCUUUUCAUAUCGUUAGGACGGUGUCGUAUAUUAUCCUUUUGUUGUUUGGAGAAAGUGAUGCAUUACCUUCAGUAUGGACAUUGGAGACGUUUUGUGGGUUGGAGGCACGUCGAAGGACAUAUUUGUUAAAAUAAACCUGUCAUAUAAUAUGGUGUUGGCGCGUCGUUGUGAGUACUUUUUACGACUCUUGAGGUAAAGAUGGUGUCUCUUUUUGCUACGUUUCCAGUUUGUAUCAGGUUACUUUUAAGAGGCAUCGAAAGCUCUAUGUAGUUGUUUAGUCAGUCUCUCUCGUGCUCUCUCUCCUCCCCCCAGAAUUAGUAGAACGCAGCCUCAAUGCAUGAACGCAUCCAUUAAUUUAGCAUCCAAACAUAAUCAUUCAGUCGGACAAUUUUAUGUAAAUCGACAUGCUCGCAUCUUACAGAAAGUAGACAUGGUAUCCUACGACACACCAUCAUUUUAUUGAUCUGGAAAGUAUCACGGCAACAACAACGGGGAACUCGACGACAACAACAGGAACUCGACAAGAUUGCGGGAUUAGCACCCUUCUAAAUUUCACUUCCUGGCGAUCUUGCUCUUCUCAAAUAUUCAAAAACAAGCACACUGAAAUACUACAAGUAAACAGCAAACACCUCGGAGCAGCACUCCGCCUUGGCUCCCGGCACGGUAUGCCUAAGCAUAUGCAUCUGGGUUUGCAAGCAAAAAUACUUCCACACCCUUCAUCAGCAUGAAGACUCCUCCCUUUAUCUUGCUUCUCUCCUCCUCGGUGAGAUCGGUCUCGUCUAGGGUUUCGUACUCCACAGCAACUUUCCCGAAGCUCUUGCCGUCAGCCUCCGGCACAAUCUUAACCUCAAAAGAGUAGGACUUCAGUCUAGUCCCGAUCAGCCCUCCGUCGAUCACCGAAUACUUGAAAAUGUGGUUCUCGUUGUCCAGCACUUCGAUGCGGUCAGUUACGUAGUCGAAAGCCUCGACGGCUGGUUAAUGUAAAGAUUGCAUAAGUUAGACAAGCUUAGUGCUUCUCCGGCCUAGUUUCUAAACAUUUUGAAGCUUUUGAACUACUGAAAACAAUGAAAGCCUACUAGAGCGUUUCAGUCAAAAAGCUUGUUAAUGCUUCUUUGGAUAAUUUUAUUCAAACAGCAUUUACAUAGAAGCUCCAGUAAGAUAACAACGGCUGAUUCACAAAUAUUCUUACCAUCGGUGAAGUUGAACUUCUUGACGGUGCCCACCCCACCGUUGCCUUCGAGAACCUCGACACUCUUGACAUAGUCCGGCGCAAUCUUCGGCAUCAAGUUGUGGGUAUCGAGGAUGCCGGCCUUCCACAGCCGGUCCACGGCGACAGGCGAUGAGAACUCAUCGGUGAAGGACCCAGAAACCAUUUUCGCUCGGAUGGAGUGGAGAACAAAAGGAUAAAUAUAGAGAGAAAGCAAUGGAGAGAGUAUGGAAGGAGUGACAGGAAAGAACCUAUGGAAUGACCAAAUUAAGGGAGGGCUCUCUACAUAUAGACUUUUAGUGAUGGAAAAAGGCCGGCUUCUAUGGGUCCACACUACUAUUUGCACCCGUUUGGUUCACGGUUUGUAUUAUUUUGAUAAUUUUUUAUAUUUUUUAUUGAAAAAUAUUUAAAUUAAUUACUAUUUAACUCAAGUGGGUCAUUAUUAAAGAUGUUAGUAAAAUAGUGAAAUCACUAUAGAUUCUGAAGUAAGAAAAAAUGCUAAAUUUUCAUAAAUUUUAGAAGAUAUAUUUAUUUUCAUGCUUAAUGAAAAUUCAUAAUAGUCUAUUAAUUAGAACAUGUUAGUUCUCUAACUUUAUAAGUUAAUAACAAAUUUGCUAUUUCAAAUAUAAAAUAUACAAUAUUUCUGAAUAACGAUAAAACUUGAACCAUAGGGCUCCUUUAAGUAAGUAAAGUGGAGUUUAGAGAGUAGUAAUCAAAUGAAGGGAUGCAUUAAUAUUCGUGAGAAGGUGAGUUUGGUGGUACCAUAGUGAUAUGUAUUUGGACUGUUUCUUACGUGGAAUUGAAGUAAAUAAAGCGUCACCAACCUAAAAUUUGGCACCGUUUGAGGAUUAAUUUAAAAUAUAUUAUUAUAAGAAGCAUCCCGUACUAUUUAGAUAGACAAAAUGUUUUAUCAUUUGAUCAUCAUGAUGUUUGACAUGUAGUGCAUGUUGUACCGGUGUAUAACCACCAAGUCUCACAGCUUGAGGUUUUUAAAUCCAAAGAUGAAUUGUUUAAUGUGAUCUACGCUAUUAAAAGAUCUGCAUCUUAAAAGAUCAUAACAUUUUAUGAUUUUUUUUUUUUCAUGUAACAAAGAUUUUACAACUAUUUAAUGACUAGUUAAUAAUUUUUUAUAAGUAAAACUAAUUUGAAGUUACAGAUCAUAUACGACGGUAAAUAAGAUUUAAAUUUCAGGACCUCUAGCUACAAAUUUCGGGGAACAUCGUCGUACAUCUCUCUCUUUCUCAGCGUAGUAGGUGGAUAUGAACACAAGAAAAUGAAGCCAAAUCUGGGCCAGCAAUGUGCACUGAUCUUUUCUUCUCGUUUGGUUAAUUUGUUAGUUGUAGAUGUAUAAUUAAUUAAAUCAAUCAUUUUGGAGCUAUUUGAGCAGGUAAAGCAUGCAUGUCUAAUAAGUAGGUGGGUGGUUUUCAUUUUUUUUUUCUGGGUAAAAAUGUAUAGAGGACCCUCCUAUAUAGCCCAUUUACAAGCAACCCCUCAAGUUUGUCUUUUUAUAAAAAAAAAAAGAAAAUUGGAGGGUUGGGGUGAUUUUAGGAGAUCGCUAAAAUAAUUUUAUUAAAAAAAGAUUAAGUAUAUGUAGUAUUGCAUGUGCUGCGAAAGUUAGAUUAUAAUAACCAACCAAAAUAGAAGAGUAAACUUUGCAUCAGGUACAGCAAAAAGAGAAAAACGAUAAGAAAGAAAAAAUAAGAAUAAAAUAAAUCCUUCCAAUUCUGCGAAUACUAUCGCUCAAACACUUGCACUAACUCCUAACAUUCAAACAAUCGUUUUUCGACCAUAGAGCACCUUCGCUUAAAUUUCGUUGAGCCUUCCUAACUUUUUGAGUAAUUUGAAUUGAUUUCAAAAGUUUUGUUGAAUUUAGUAACUUCAAUUAGCUAUUAGCCAUUAAUUAUUUUAAUUUUAUUGACUAAAAAAGAUUGAACUAUUAAGUUACAUAAAACUAUUGAUAAAAAAAAAAUUAAGAAAAUGUUAAUUUUUUUUAAAAAAAUUGCGAGAGCUUCUCACAAAUGAAUGAGGCCGGGUAAAGUAAUCCAAUAAUGAGAACUUUCCAUUUUCGGCAAAAAAACGAAAGAUACCAAAAAUAGACUUAUGAAAAGUCGGGCCGGGUCAAAAUAUACCUCAAUCUAAGCCCGGCCCAAUAAGCUCGAGGGAGAGAUACGGGCUAAAUCCAUAAGUGGGCCCAUACGGCCCAUUGGGGUGGAACCCAAUAAAUGGGCCUUAGUAGGCCCAUUUCUUCCCUCGCCCAUAUUGGGUCGGGCGUAGAUUGAGGUAUGUUUUGGCCCGACCCGACUUUUCGUAAGUCUAUUUUUGGCGCUUCCCCUUUUUUUGCCUGAAAAGGAAAGUUAUCACUUUUUAACCACUGAUAUACUACCUUUUCUUUUUCUUUUUCUUUUUCUUUUUCAAUUGGCAUUCCUAUACCUAAAAGUGAUUAAAAAUGGCCAAAUUUAAUAAAAUUGAUGAUUAUAUUCAAUAGAAUUUUUAAUUCAAUCCACGGAAAUCAAGAUAAAUAAAAAGUUAAGAGGGUUCAUUUCAUCAAAAGUUAUAUUGUUAUGACCUUAACUAAUCUAGCUCAAAUUACUUUAUUAAUCGUGCACAUGUACGUAAAUUUAAAUUUCCAAUUCACAUUAUAUGUGCGAGGACUCAAAAAUAUUAUACCAUAGCUUUAAGGAUUAAAAUACCGUGACACGAAAUCGUGCAAGAAACUUGUCGGUACAGUACGAUAUGAUGCGUGCCGAUCAAAAAAAUAUGUGUGCCGAUACGUAAUGAUAUGAAAUAUAAUUUUUUAGCAACAAAAUAUGACAGCUAUUUAUUAUUAUUUUUAUCAAAUAUUUUAAAUUUUGUUGAGAAAAUUAUUUACUAAUUUCAAGAAUAAAAAUUUUUGAAUUGGACCAUCGACCCGAGAACUGUAUUGCACCGAAAUCUUACUAGUAUGAUACGAUACAGUGAAUAAGGUUCGUACUGAUGGACACUUUAACCCUUACGUGGCUUUUUAUUUUUCAAUUUUCUUCUAAACUUUUUUUCUUCCUUCUCUUUCUUUUUUGGGUUUGAAACGUGCAAAUGCUUCCUUUGAGCUGUAAAGUGAAGGGCAUUUAUGUUUGCCUUUAGCAGUAGUCCAAAAGAAACACCAUUUUCUCUCUGUACACUUCUACUCACCUCCAGAAGCUUUAACCAAUUUUAAUCACCAAUGGCUUCUGCUAAAGACAAUUACAAUUCAAAAGUAACAUAAAUACUUCAUCACACAAUUGUCGAAACAAGGAGCUUCGGAAUAGACUAGAAAAAUGGAGAUAAUAAAGUUCUACAUAAACACUGCUAUGCCUCAGCAACAACUAUAAAAGUGACAGUAAAGCGUUCAAUAAACAAAAAGUGUAACCUUUGAAAAUUAAAAUAAGUUUUUGGACCUUGAAAAUAAAGUAAUUGAGAUAAACUUGCAAUAAAAAAAUUGAUAAUAUUUCCAAAUUAGAAAAAAAAAAAAAACAACACGUGGCUUCCCAUGUGACCCCUCCCUGUGUUGCCCAUAAUUGCUACUAUUCAAACUCAUAACCUUUUGUUUAGAGCUGUUUCCUAAUAUUGAACAAGGCAUUCCUGGGCAUCAACAGCAGUGUACAAACUUUACGAAACCCCCCUAAAAAAGAAGAAAAAACUUUUGGAACAUCUGUACAAAUCAAAGACCGUUGUGGCUCAUGGCGCGUAAUCGCACAAAUAUACAUGGAAAGUUGGUAUCUGCAUGCAAACUACUUGCUUAUUACGCGCAUAUCCUGCAAAGGGUAUCUAUGUAAACAUAUUUCUAUAUAAGCACAUCAGUUUUUAUCCUAAUUCUCUAGCAGAGAUACGCGCACAAACAAGUGAGAUUUUAGAAACAUGCAUGCAAAUUCCAACUUUGUGAGGGUAUCUGUACAAUUUUGCAUACUUGCAAGGAUAUUUAUGCAAAAAUCCUCAAUUCUUUCACUUUCAACUUUGCUUUUAAUGAUGAGGGAAAGUGCUUCCAAUUAUGGCAAGGAAAACGAGUGCUACAUAAUUUGGCGUGGACAUGUUAUCACAUAGAAUAGAACACAAGCAAGGAUGGAGAACCCAAUUCCCAACAGUUGUAGGAUCAGCCUUAACUGGUCCCCUACAGUAGCCUUAACUGGUUCUUUCAUUUUUCACUUAUUCUGUUCCUUCAACACAAAAAUAUCUCACCCAGAUCUCUUCAUAUGGCUUGUUUUGCACAAUCAAGAGUUGUUUGAUUGCGUGUAGUUUGAUUCCCAAGUAUCUGUUCUUCUUCGAAAAGCAAAAGCUAAAUGCUUGACAAAAAAAGAGUAAAGAACUGAAGUAAACUCUUUAAUCAUAAAAGUAGGAGCUCCUAUUUGUAGCUUUUGGUUUUACUGUAGUAGAAAGUUUUGAGAUUUCAGAUGUGAACCUUUUCAAUCGGCUUCAUUAAACGGCACAUAAGCCCUACCAUAGCAUGUAGUGCUAUUUGACAAAUUGUAUUUGAAUACAGUUAUCGGAAGCACCCUAUGUUAGAAUCGCCUCAACAUCUUAUCUCCGCAGCAAAAGCAAAAGCAAAAGCUCUAACCUUUUCCCAUAGCAUGCCUUUUCUGUUUGCGCGAAGCCUUACUAAAAAUGACUGCAGCUAGAGGCUAAGACGGAAUCAGGACCAAGCAGCCAUCUAAUGUUGUUCAAAGAAUUACUGAAAACUAUUUUAAUAUAAUGUUAUCAGCAGUUGUCCCUCGUCUCCAUAUGUUCUGUUUUUGGGAUCUAAAAGCUCAGUUUUCGGUUCUAGCUAGAGCCACUCUAAGAACUUCGAUAUGACAAACAUCUGGCUUCUGCCCCACGAGUAGAAAGGGUUUAAAACGAAUUUAAUUUCUAUCACUACGUAAGAACCAUUACUUUCCUUGGGCAAGAGGGAUUCUCAAAGUGUGGAUAUCUUCCUCCCCUCAAAGUGUCCUUACUACACUUUUUGACCCAGUCCUUAUGAUCAUGUUUGGUCGGCCGGGAUAUUCCAAUCACACCUCAAUCAUAGCUAAGCCGUGCCAAAAGCAAAAAUUCCUUAUGAAAAAAAAAAGAAAACCUAAUAAAAAUAGCCCCAUUUUGCCACCCACAACCUUUUGAGAUAUGAUAACGAGUCACCACACCACCUCCCUAUCAUCACUUUUCUUCACCUCUUUAUAUCCCUUCUCCCCCACAAAACGAUUCCCUAAUAAGUGCCCCACACCUUUUAGCCUCCAAAAUAUUCCAUGCCCCUCACAACUAGUACAAAUUAGUCUUUGCCUUCUCGAUCGAUUGUUCGUCCCUCGUUCCAUUCUCUUUGUUUCCUAAGUUCUCGCGUAAGUUCUCGAAGAACCAAUACAUAAGAAUAACACUACCCCACCAACCCAAAUUGUUCCGCAGAUUCCAUAGAACCGAAGUUUCAGUAAAUGGCUCAAGAACUAGAGGUAAGUGAGCGCAGGAAUACCCUGGUAUAGUAACAACAGUAUCAAUAGUAUCAUGAUAAACAAAUAUAACAGCAUAAUUAUCUUUCUUUUUCUUAUUUUGCUAACUUUUCUCUAAAUUUCUGAAUCCAUGCAGAGAGCUCGAGUCACCGAAUUGCACGUCCGCAUGGAUUGUAAUGGCUGCGUGCAGAAGAUCAAGAAGGCAUUGCAUAAUAUCGAAGGUAAACAAAAAUCAGAAGAAAGAAAAUCCAGAGUACCUUUAUUAUUACCUUCUGUUGAAGAAAGUUGCAGUUUCUUACUCUUUUUGGCAAAAAUUGUGACUUUUCAUUUCAGGUGUUUAUGAUGUCUACAUAGACUUUGCCCAGCAAAAGAUAACGGUGGUGGGGCGUGCCAAUCCCGAAGCAAUUGUCAAGGCCAUCAAGAAGACCAAAAAGAUUGCAACUGUCUGCUCCCACACCGAACUGCCCGACCCAGCUGCUGGCAAAUCGGAACAGCCACCACCAGAUGCAGCCAAGGAGCAAGCACCACCUGCCUCCGAACCACCAGCCGAAACCCCGCCAGCUUCGGACCCUCCAAAAGAACCCCCAAAAGAAGAACAGAAAGCCGAGCCAGAAGUGAAGCCCUCCCCGGAGGCCGAGGCUGCCACGCCAGCGGAGGUGAAGGAGGUCGGAGAGAUUCACAUGGUGCAUCAAUAUCCGCACGGGUACAGUGGCUUUCAACAUGAGCUCACCCCUCAUGUUUUUGUUCACAGCUACAACAGCUACAGGCCUUCAGCGUAUGCGUCAGAGUAUGGAUAUCUCCGGUCGCCUCCUAGGGACAUCAAAUACAAUGGAGGAAGUUACGGAGACGAACAUCGUCACUACGGCAAUGGAGAUGGGAGUCAGAUUACAUCGAUGUUCACUGAUGAAAACCCAAAUGCUUGCAGGAUAUCUUAGGAUUUCAGUAUCUUAUUCAAGCAUGUAGGUAGCUUAUUCAUGAUGAACUAUAUGGGAACAAACUCAUAGCUAAAGGCUUUAGACCUGUCCCCUUUACUUUUGGCUGUGUAAGAGUAGUUUAAAAUCUAUAGUUAGUGAAAAGAUGAUGUAUAGUGGUGUAAGGCUAAGGAUUAAGGAAUAAGUAAUGUGUGAGAAAGGAGAGAAGAGAAUAAGAUGCUUACCUUGUAGUGGGAGAUAAUUUUGAUGAGCAUCACCACUACUACUGUUUACUUUGUUAUCUAUCAUAAGAAGCUAAUAAAGUAAUAUUCUAACACAUUUUGCAGGUACAGUAUAUAAACAAUAUGUAUCAGUAAAACUACAUACCCAAGAACUCCUAAAAUUGGCAUUAAAACAAUAUGUAGCAAUAAAUACUAUAUUUGAUUUUCAAUAGGCAUUAAAACAAGUCAGUAGAACAGCUGAAAACAGAAGUAUCAACAAAAUUGAAAAUCUGAAACCCACAUAGGCUACAUCGUGUGCUAUUAAAAAUGUCACAAAAUGACUUGAUUACUGAAUCUUGAAUCUUGAUGCUCCCUAUUAGCAAUAGUUUAUGAGCAUGGUGAUGAUCACAUAAUCAACUUUAAUACAGCAAUUCAAAGGCAAAACCCAGAAGCAAAAUGAAAAGCACGGAAAUUUAAUUUGUUACACAAAAUGCACAGAGCAUAUUGUGUAUUGCAAUCAAGAACAUUAUGUUGGAAAUAAAGAAAUAAAGUUGCAUGGUAUUCCAAAUUUCCAACCAGACACCAUGCGGUCACAGUAUUAGUUAAUUAGAAUACCACAUGCAUCCUAAAUAUCAACUCUAUAAGCUAUGCUCUUAAAAAAGCAUCAAUGCAUCAUUAUUACAUCAGAGUGUUUGGGAUGUCAACUCAAUUUACUGACCACCAAUCGCAGGGAUAGGCACAGUAAGAUUUAAUUGUACCACAUGACCAAAUUCAAGCUAUUAGAUACAAAUAAAUAAAAUCAAUACAGCAAAGUUUCUAUCCGCAUUCUUUGCUAUACGGAAUUUCAAACCGAACUCUUUUAUUUACAGUCAAACAACAGAGAAUUGUAUGCACCUGAAAUAUACACUUCAUCAAUACAUAUCUGUCUGAUCUUAAGGCCCCUGUCCCUGAAUGACUAAUGAUACAAUUUAUCCUCUUGAUCAAGUAUGUUAAUUCGAAACUACGCCAAGAACCAGUCCACUGCACACUUCUGUCAGACAUGACACUCUUCAAAAGAAUGUCAAGUUAUCCCUUUCUUGUUCUUUCCCCCCACCCCCCUCUUCCCUCCUUUAUUUGUACCUCAAUCCUGAUCUACAUCUCUUUGAUGUCCCCAGACAUAGUCCUGACAAUAAUCCCAAUCCCUGUAAGAGAAGAGGUCAAAUACCAGCAGAGUUAUGUUAGAUAUAAAAGAGAAAACGUAAACAGAACAUGCUUCAGUAAUUGAAAGCUACACUUGGUAAUAGAAAGAAUGUCUCAAUGUUCUCAUAUUAAUAUCAAACAACAUCUGGUAGCUAGAUAACAGUAACAUGCAAUACAACAGUCACAUUUCACAGAUAAUGAAGCAAGAAAAAAUGUUCAGAAAUUCAUGAUUCAUCAACUAUUCAAAUAAGAAUGAAAACUGGAAAAUCUAAGAUUUGAAAGAAUAUGGCAGUAUCUCUACUAGUACCAUUAAGAACACCAAGGAAAGUAAAUCUGAACGUGUUACUAGAUUCUGAACUUGUUACUCAAUAGAUAUGACUUAGAAAUUGCACUUUCACCCAAAUUUGCAUUUGUUUGUCUGACCCAUCAUACUUCUCGCUGCACACUAUCAGUACAGAGAAACCUGGCAGAGUCACGAUAAGUCAAUGUAGGAAGCAAUUCAUUCUACCGACGGCUCUUGAAAAUAACAUGCCACGGCAGUAACUAGGGUUGAAUACAAAUUAAGUGCUGCAGCAAAGGAUAGCUUCCAGUGUGUUCAAGGGAUUAAAAGAAAUGAUCAAAGAAGGAAAAUAAUCUAAAACAGCUUUUAUAACAGAACAGCGACUAUUCCAGUAAAAUGGUAAUAGUAUUCUAUAAGAAUAUUUAGCAGGUCUCUUUAAAAUUCUGGUUAAUCACUAGAUCAGUGGCUACUUGAUAUUGUCUCACUUAAAUUUAUAAUUCAUUAACUGAUUGGUGUUUAAAUGCUUCCAACAAAACUAAACCCUAAUAUGACAAGAUAAGUUCAUGAAGCAUUAGCAAUUUAUCAAAUCAUCAUAAGCAUGCUGAUAAAUCCAAAAUGUAUACAAUAAACUUGUAAAAAAAAAAAAAAACAAGACUCAUGCGAACAACAUCAUCUAUUCCCAUUAAACCAUUUUUGCAACAAAUCACAAAAUACUUUACUAGAAAUGUAGUUUUUCCUUAACACAAAAUUCACCUUAAAAAUCAAACUAAUCCCGAAGCGGUUCACGUUUGCUCAAAUAAGCAAUAAACUCUGUAAAACAUAGCAUUUCAAUCAUCUACAGGGUUCCCACAAUUACCCUACUUCAUGAGAUUCAAUGUUUAUACAAUAAAGACAUGAGCAAUGCCUUUAAUUGCAACAAAGAUAACACAAUCCAGCUGAUAUUCCUCAACUAGCAAAAACUAUCCGGAUUCAUCAACUCAAGAUGUAAAAUUUCCAUCCAACGCACACAUAAGUACAUAACCAUACAAGAACUAGAGGAGAAACAAAAAAAGAACGACCUUUUCUCAACACGAGGAAUGUAGUCGCCACAGGAUCUAAUCCUCGUGAGCCAGAGAAAGCCCUAAGAUGCAAAAUUCAUACAAAGAUGGAUUCGGAGCAUGUCAUGAGGCACAUGAAGGAGGUGGGAUCGAGAUGGGCGAGCUCCAUGGGGUUGUCGACGAGGUUGACGGCAGCGAAGGUUGUAAAAGUAUGGCCUAAUAGAUCUUGAAUCGGAGGGUCUUCUCCACCAUGUUCUAGGGUUUCGUCGCGGAACGCUCUUCAUCGACGACGCCAGCCAGCUUCGCCAUGGUCGGCGCCCCCGGGAGCUCAGAAACCCUAACCCUAAUCCUCGUCCCGACUCUCACCGUCUCACAUCACAUGUUACCGCGAGCCCUUAACCAGGUGAUCGCCAUUAAGGAUCCAACACGUGCAACGCACGUGACUCCGAACACUCAAAGAACUACUCUAAUAAUCACAUGCACUUUGUGCACCACGUCAUUCAUAAACCGCCAAGCCAUCUUAAUCCUCACGGACCUCACGGCAUAAAGAGAAAUUAAUUUCAGACGACGUGGUGGACCAGGUGCAGGAUGAUUUCUAGAACCUCCCGGUCAACGGAGUCAAACUCUAAAAACCCUUCGUUCUCUCUCUCUCCCUCUCGACCCUUCGCACCGUCGACGAAGAAGAAAAUGGCGAUGAUGGUCGGCGCCGCGCCGCGCCGGCUUACGAGCCGAUCGAACCCGUUUCAGUUGGCCCGGCUCGUCGGCUCGGCCCUGAUCCGGUCGAUCUCGACCGGGUUCAGGGAGGAGUGGGACACCCUCGGCCCGGUUCAGGUUCCCGCCGACAAGUCCGUACACCCUCCCCACCACCCCCAGCGUUCCCCUUUUUUUUUUUACUAAAAAAUAAAAUUAACCUUAAUUUAUUUUUGGUAAAAAUGUAUUCACGUGAACUUUGAUUCAAUUUAAUUUUUUUAAAAUUUUUUACACCUAAACCUUUUGAUGCCACUUUGGUUACAAAAUUUAGUUAAACUACUGUAGUGAAAAUGUAAUUUUGCUUAAACUAAUGGCGCAUUCAAAUUCGGAAACAAAAGAGCUAUCAUAUGACGCAAUUCAAAUCAAUCAAAAAUUUAGGAACCCAAUUUGAAACUUUUUAAUAGUUCAGUAAAUUUUUGAAAAUAGGUUCAGUAAAUUAGAUGCUAUAAAAAUUGUUACAUAUAGGUUGUGGGGAGCUCAGACGCAGAGGUCGCUGCAGAAUUUUAACAUUGGCGGCGAGCGCGAGCGAAUGCCGGAGCAGAUCAUCCGAGCAUUCGGUGUACUUAAGAAAUGCGCCGCCAAGGUAUUUACUUUUUCUUUCUAUAGCACUUAUUAAUUACUUAAUUUUCUUUUUCGCUGCUCAUUAUUUUCCUUAUGUUAGUGUCCUUUUGAUUGUGUGUAGUUUGAUAUGAUUCUAUUCUUUAUGCAUCAUUAAUAUAAAAAACAAAUCUUUUGUUGAAUUACAAAUGUACCUCUCGCACUUUACCCCGUGUCUCUGUUAGCUUUGCAUUAAAAAAUUGUAUCAAUUUCGACGCUGCACUUUGGGACCAUUUCAAUUGAGCCGAAAAAUAGUUGUAUUUUUUGUUUAAGAUUCCGUUGACUGCGUCAAUUGUCUUCCCUGACUGUGUCACUAGUUCCACUUUAUUUUAUUUUAUUUUUUUGGUUUGUGAAGGUGAACAUGGAGUAUGGUCUGGAUCCGACGAUUGGGAAAGCAAUAAUGCAAGCAGCUCAAGAGGUUGCGGAUGGUAAAUUGGAUGAUCAUUUCCCGCUUGUCAUCUGGCAGACUGGUAGUGGGACGCAGAGCAACAUGAAUGCCAACGAGGUUUAAACUUAUUUUCUUUCUUCUUUGCAGUAGUCUCAAUACUAUCCGCUUUUUUCAGAACUCGUAUAAACACAUUUUCAAGAUCCUAUGACUUUUCGACUUAUGUGUAUUAAAAUAUUUGGAAAAGCACCAUAACUUUUUAGAAGGUUAUGAGCAAUAUUAUUCAAAUGAGAAUGUUGUUGAAAGAUUUGUACUUUUACGAGAAUUGGUCCAUCUGUUCCACCUCCUGAUGGAAGCUGCCUGCUGAUUCUUCAUCUUGUCAAUCCUUCUUUUCCUCAAGCAUGAUGAUGCCAUCUUCUUUAAUAUAUUAAAAUUUCUAAAACCAUUGAUUUUGGUUCGUAGUUCCUGUGUUUUCAAUGAUGGUCUCUCUUUUGUUCACAGGUGAUAGCAAAUAGAGCAGCUGAGAUUCUUGGGCAUAAGCGCGGUGAGAAGUUUGUGCAUCCAAAUGACCAUGUUAAUAGGUCGCAAUCUUCCAAUGAUACAUUUCCAACUGUAAGCCUUUGUUUAUCAGUACAUUAUCUUUCGAUUCUCUUUUACUUUUCUAAGGACUCUUUCGAAAUUAUGGGAGCCUUCAUGUAGAGUUUAAGAUAUAAGUUCAUUUAGCAUUUGGCCUUUGGAUCUUUGUACCGAAAAAAAAAUGUUUCUUUAUGCUUCUUUUUUUUUCUCAGAAAAUGUUUACUAGAUCAUGCAUUCUACUUAGAGUAACCUGAGUUCUCUAAUCAUGGUAUAUACUCUAGUUGAGUUCUUUUAUGGUUGAAAUAAGCCUUUAUUUAUGACUGGUGCAAAGCUUGGUUUAUUUCAGGUUAUGCACAUAGCUGCCGUUGGGGAAAUCAACUCCAGGUUUAUACCCAGCUUGAAACAGUUGCACAGUGCACUUCAUGCAAAGGUACACAAAUUCCACAUAACUGAUUUCUUUAGUCACCGAAAAAAUUGAUAAAGUAACAAGCAAAAAGAGUGGAGAUAAACAAAAUGCAUAAAAUAGAAUCAGGUUUAAGCUUUCUUUCACCUAAUUUUCUUCUUUUUUCCAAAUCAAGGAAAGAUCAGCAAUUUUUGUUGCAUUAACAUGCUUAUCUGGGGAUGAAAUAUGAUAAUUUACAUCUUUGCUAGUUGUCAUUCUCUUCCUUGAGACGUGUGAUUGAAGCUUAUUGUUUCUCAUUAACUUCUUCUAUUCCUUGACUUACUUCGAUUUGCAGACUAUUGAGUUCAAAGAUAUAAUUAAGAUUGGCCGUACUCAUACUCAGGAUGCUACUCCUUUGACGCUUGGUCAAGAAUUCAGUGGUUAUACAACACAAGUAUGAAUACCUUUUUUUUUUUCUUAACAUGAGGAGAGUUUGUCCAUCUGAUAUAUAAUGCUAUCUUGAAUAUUCAGCAAUGAUACUUCAUCAGCUCUUCGUGUGUAUGUAUUUUUUAGGUUAAAUAUGGCAUUGAUCGAAUAGUGGGCACUUUGCCUCGGAUGUAUCAGGUAGACUAGCUAAUAGAUAUUUUCAGUUGAUGAUUUCUCAUUUUUAAACUAUUUCUAAUUGACUUAUCCCGGUGUGCAGCUUGCACAAGGUGGAACUGCUGUGGGGACUGGGUUAAACACAAAAAAGGGGUAAUUUGUCUAACUUUAUAUGUCUUGCCUUUUUUAAUGCUGUAUAUCAUAUAGUCAUGCAAUCUGGUAGAACUUGCUAAAAUUUGCUUCCACAUAAAUGAUUUUCAUUGUGUGUAAUUAAUAUCCUAUUGCUUUUGCUUUAAAAUGCCUUCAUCUUUGCGUUCUUGUUAGGGACUAAACUGCAACAUCAGUCAAGCAAGCAUGUACAUAGAUUAUCAUUAUCCCUGGAACUUUUAUUCAACAUGUUCAAACAUAGUACUAUUUUGUCAUGUUACUUUAUUUUAGCUCGUAUGGGGCCCGCCUACUUGUAUGUCACACUAAAGCUUGGUUUAUAUUUGCCUACAUUUUUCAGAUUUGAUGUUAAAAUUGCCGCUGCAGUGGCCGAGGAAACAAAUCUACCUUUUGUCACAGCAGAAAACAAGUUUGAAGCAUUAGUUAGUAUUCACACUUGUGCUUGUUUGCUAGGAGAUGUUAUUAUGCUGUUGUCUAUUGGUUACUAUUUCUUCUGUCUCCUGCUGAUUUAUUCCAAGAAAUUUACUGCAGCAUAUUUUUGAGAUUUUUUUUAUUUUGGGGUAUGGAACUUCAAUUUUGUCUCUUAUCUACUAUACGCACUCUGUGCAUAUUUCUUAUUGUACCAGGCGGCACAUGAUGCUUUUGUUGAGACUAGUGGUGCCGUAAACACAAUUGCUGCUUCUCUUAUGAAGAUCGGGAACGACAUACGGCUACUAGGAAGGUAUUUACUUUUAUGGCCCAAAGUGUUACUUCCCAUAACUGAAUGUUGUAUAUAUGCAUGUACAUAUGUAUGAAUUUAUUUAUGUAUUAUAACCUGUAAUAUUUCCCUUCCUCAGUGGACCACGCUGUGGACUCGGCGAGCUUAUCUUACCUGAAAAUGAGCCAGGCAGCAGUAUUAUGCCUGUACAUGCCCUAUCCUAUAACUUAUGUUACAAAUAGUCUUCUGCGCUAAUUAAUGUAUUGGGAACCUUGUUGAGGUUCAUUGUGUUGUAGCAAAAAGCUUCAUUAUGUUUUGCCUUCUUUGUUUAGAUGCUUGCGACUCACUUAAUUCUACUAUGACUGACCCUUUUUUGUUAUAGGGAAAGGUCAAUCCCACUCAGUGUGAAGCUCUAACCAUGGUUUGUGCUCAGGUAUGCUGAACAACCUUUCUAAAUGUUUAAUGAUACGGUGUAGUUACUUACCGAUAACGAAAUUUCAAAUGUUUACCAACUCUUCAUUUCGUUAGUAUGUUUUUGGCUUGUCCGUCUCCCAUUUGCUUGAAAAUGGGAAAAGAAGCUUGUUGUCGUUCUCAGAGUUCAAUUGUAUUUUAACUUAAAAACUCCUUAUUUGGAUUGUCAGAGCAACAUUGUAUUUUGUUCUUGUCGCAGUUCUUUAACUGCUCAUGUUCUCUUCUUCUUUUUUUAAAUCAGAUUAUCAAAACUCUUUCUGUCUGAUCCUGGGAAAGCAUUUCUUUUUUCUUAUGACAGGUGAUGGGUAAUGAUGUUGCAAUCACAAUUGGAGGAUCAAACGGACAUUUUGAGCUCAAUGUGUAUAAGCCGCUAAUAGCUAGUGCUCUUCUUCGAGUAUGAUUUGUUGCACACUGAUGCACGUAUUGUAAUAGAAUUUACAGUUCUUUUCUAAAUUCAACAGAUUGAAUCCGGCAUACUGACCUUAGUUUUGCUGGCUUUUUUGUCAGUCUUUGAGGUUACUGGGCGAUGCCUCUUCAUCUUUCGAGAAGAACUGCGUCAGGGGGAUAAAAGCUAAUCAUCAAAGAAUCUCAAAAUUGCUGCACGAGGUAAACUUCUAUGCCAACAUAAACACUUCAACGUGCCCCAACAUUAUGUUUGGUAACCAAUUUAAUGCAUUCCUCGUGUCCUCGAUAUCUCCUGCAGUCUCUGAUGCUGGUCACAUCUUUAAAUCCUGUAAGUUUCUCGUAUACCGUGUUCGUUAUGUUCAAUAUAGUAGUAGCUAUCUUAGAUAACAACUGAUAUCUGAAUAUGCUUUGCAUCAUAUUCUUUGGUUCUUUUUUUCUUUUCUUUUUUUUGGGUUCAGAAAAUUGGUUAUGACAAGGCUGCAGCUGUAGCCAAGAAAGCUCACAAAGAAGGAACUACACUGAAGGUGAUUAUGAUAAUCCCUAAGCAUAAGUUUUGAGAUUAAUCGCAGUGCAUAAUAUGAACAUUUUGAUCACUCUAAUGUUCUAUUUAUGUUAUUUUAUACUUGUGUAAUAUUGAUUUAUAUUCCUUAAUGCUUGCACCUAUAUUUUCAUUCUCUGCCAUUCUGAUAAACCUUUUUCUGUUUAUCAGGAAGCUGCAUUAAGUCUUGGAGUUCUCACAGAAGAAGAAUUUAACGAACUUGUCGUACCGGAGAAGAUGAUCGGCCCUUCCGAUUAGUCGCAUAGUACUAAUUUUCCUCCUUACUUUGCCCCCAAAUAAUCUAGAGCAUCUCUUUUUUGCUCCUCUACACGAGUAUUAAUUCCUCUUUUUUCUUUUCUUUCAAAUAUCUGUGCCAUGCCACUUUUGAUGUUACACUUAAUAGUUUUGAGAGAUCUACAGGGUGAAUUUUUAUUAAUGUAAAAAUAAACUAAAUAAUUUUGUCACACUUAUUCUUUGUGCUUGAAUAAUUAAUUAUUUCCCAUUUAUGAAAGUGACCAAUGAGAUAUAUAUUAAGCUUGUUAUGUGAUAUGACACAAAACGUGGCAUGUCCAAAUGCAUAAAUAAUAAAUAAUAUUAAGUUCCCUAUUUGUGAGCAAUUAGAUAGAUCAAUGGAGAUUAUGGUAGGACAACUACCAAGCCUACUUUGGUUAAAUUAGGUUACCUUCUAAAUUAUAAGUUAUAAAUUCAAGUAAUUCAUUGGUCAGUUUAUUAGUUAAUUUUUUUUUAACCAAAUCUCUAAUUCACUGCUCACGGUGCUUUAUAGAUUCGAGUGCUUUGCAUGAUGAACGGUGGAUUAAAUCGUCUCAUUAGGAAGAGGAUCCACCGUUAAGAUUUUUUAUUUUAAUUUUUUCCCCUAUAUUUUCGAUCUCAAAUGGAGAAUUUUUUGGAUCUAAGGUUCUCCAUUGUGGUUAAAUUCUUCUUUUAUCUUCUAAUACCAUUUACCAAAGCCAUAACUAAUUCUAAAAUAGCAUUUCCUUUUAGAGAACAUAAUAAAAGAAAUUGUUGUUGGCAUGUAACAUGGCGGAGGUUGACCCUUCUCUUUCCAUCCAAAUUGUCCACAUCAUAAAUUUAAAUUAAUUUGUACUAUACACAAAUAUUUUCCAAACUUUAGAUGGAUUAGAAUUUAGUUUAGGUUAAUUUUUAGUUCACUUAAUAUCUCAUAAUGUUGACCAAAGUGUUAAAACUUUUGGAGGGAGGGGUGUAAAAUAUGUCUACUUUUUUUUUUCUUUUUUUGAGAGAUAGAUAGCACGCUACCUGCUUUAUUUAUUUCAUUUAGAAAUAAAUUUAGUUUGAAAUAUGAAUCAACGAGGAUUCGAAUUUGGGUCUCGGGUACCAAUCACCAAGCUUUUUGUUACUUGCUUCAGGGACGGUCGAUUAUAUGUCUACUUUUUGAGUGUAUAAAUAGAGUUACUCUACGAGAUAUUAGCUAAGUUGAGAAACUAGUUUAUUAAGUGGAAAAAUAAUUACUUAAUUACAACUCAUUGAAAGUUCACGAAAUAUUUAUACAUUUUAUCCUAACUAAUAGAAUUAUAGGAACCUAAAUGAGAGAGAGGAAAGAUUUGGUAGGGAAAAGGAUGGGGAAUGAAUAAAAACACAUUGCUUUAUGAGAAAAGGAGGUGUUAUCUAAAAGUUUUUUUUAAAAAGAGUGAAUAAUAUAGAAAAUUUUCUUGUUUGGGCAAAUGGUCCUUUUGUGUCGUGACAAUGUGUAUACAUACGGGCUGAGUGAUCCUAACACAAUUAGUAAAAAAUUUAAUGAUUAGCGGUCAAAAUUCUAAAUUCAAAUUAUAAUUGAUUCAUAUUUUCAGCUAAAUUUUUUUUAAACAAAAUGAAUAAAGCGAGUAACAUAUUAUCUAUCCUAUUAUCUAUCUUUUAGAAAAUAUAUAUAUAUAUAUAUAUAUAUACAUGUCUAAAUCUGCAAUAAAUGCUCUAUAUUAAUGAAUUUGCAAUAAGAAAAAUAUUUUGUCCACAUUUAAUUAUAUAAUAACGGAACAUUAUCUAAGCUAAGGAUUAUUAUUCUCCGUUUUAAAGCCAAAUGAUAAGGACAUGUGCACCUACGCAUGCUUAUCUUUUUCUCUCCAACUUGAUUUUCCAACCAUACGUUCCUGUUAUUUGCGGUGGGCCCCGCGAAACUAGUCAUAAUCCUCCUCCAACGGAGAUCCCCUUCACACGUGUGCCCCAACCAAUGGUUGUUCACUAAAUGGGGCUACGUUGGACGUGCACCACCGGUGUACAAUGUUGCAUGGACUUUGUCCACCACGUGAACUGUAGACCACGGUGUAAUGUGUAGGCACAAUAGACACUACUCAAAAUUCUCGGUUUUUUUUUUAAAAAAAUAACAGAUAGUUAUUAAAUAGAGUACAAAACGUAAUAAAAAAUUGUUUAAAAAUUAAAAUAUAUAUUAUUAAAAAAUAUCAUUAAUAUAGAUAUUGUGUUAAAUCACGUCUCUACUGUAUAAUAUAAAUUUUUGGUAUGAUUUGUGUUUCAGUAUUUAAACCUUAAUCCAAAUUAUUUAGCAAAUUAUAGAAUUUUAAUAUUUUUUAUAACUGAUUUUCCAAGAUGUGAGUUUUGGUCCACGCUGACGUGGUGGACCUUGUCCACGCAGUUUCUCCCGAGGAGGCGGGACGCAACAAGAGCCAUUGCGUUACGGCGUGGCAAAAGACCGUACAAAUUGUAACGGCGCCGCUCCUCUUGAUCCACCGUCCAAAAAGGUUCUGUUCAAUCUCUACCGUUCAAUGUUGGACAGGAGAGAUCAACGAAAGUCCACGUGGACGGUGGAUCAAACUCUCGGACGCGUCCGCAUAAUACAUCGUCCUGAUGGUAACCUUGUCUCCUUCGAGAGUACAUCACUGUAUAACUGUAUUCUCCCAGGAACGAUGCGUAUUCGUGUCGGUGCGACGCGUAUCAAUAUACGAAGCCUAAUUUACUAAAAACCCCUUGUGUUAUCUCAUAUUUACAGUAGUACUGUACUAAAAACAUGUACUUAUCCUUGGGUAAUUGAGUACACAAAAAAGUAGUUUUUCGCUAAUUUAUAGCGAGGAGGAAGUGCGAGGGAGAAGAGGAAGAUGCGGGGAAGCGAACUCGUUAAUGGCGAAAAAAAUUGGGGGCUUAAUUCGCCUUAAAUUAAUGUAGGGAUUCGGCUUCUAGGGUUUCGUUGCUCGGAUCCCCUUUUACGAUUAGGGUUUCGAUGGCGACGGCGACGAUGGUGACGGCGGCGGGGAUGGCGAUGCUGCUCUACUACGUGCUGAGCCGGAGAAUGGCGCCGAAGGAGGCGGAGGAGGAGCGGAUCGGUGGCGGCGGCGGAGAUCUCUCGAAGCCGGGGCGGGCGCGGCGGCGGCGGGUGGCGCGGAGACCGUCGCAGCCCCCCUCGACGUGGAGGGAGGCGGUGGCAACGCUUGCGGGAACGCUUAGGUUUACCUACUCGGAAACCCUAGGGAAGUGGCCGAUCGGGGAUUUGGCGUUCGGGAUUAAGUAUCUGAUGAGGCGACAAGUAAGAAGAAGGAUUUGGCUUCUUUGGAUCUACUAAUCUCAUUUAUACUUUUCAAUUUUUUGCGGUCCAAAUGCUCUUAUGUUUGGUAUUCUAUGGCUAAUUUCAUUGCUUGUGUUAGUUAUGAAUUAAAUUCGAGGCAAUCAGGUUUGCAGAAAUAGUUCGUUCGUAAAUUACUAGAAAGAUUAGAUUUUUAUAUGUUCUCAUAGUUCUAAGGCUUACUUUUCUGUAUAGUAUCAAAUUGAAACAGUUUCCUCAGAUGUGUCAAGAACAUCUCCUUUGUGUAUCUCUGAAUUUGGUGUGAACUUAUGACUUUUAGUGGGGAAUAUAGGUAGUGCUAUAUUCCUGAACUAAAUCCUCUAUUUUUAUUCAAUAUUUUUAUAUAAUAUUUUCAAGAGAAGAUUGAAAUAUUGAUGUUAGUUCUCCCUUCUAUUCAGUGGAAGCUCUGUCGCAAAUAUUUAUUCUUUCCAGUCAAAAUAUAUUAUUUGUGCAUGUUCAUAGUUGCUUAUUUUGGUUUAUUAGUUAUAGUGGAAGGAACUUGUAUUAAAAAAAAAAGAAAAGAAAAAUGCUAUUUAAUGUUGGGGUACGAGUAGUCAGUCUCCUUGCUUCUUUUCUACUUUCAUCAUGUCCUACUAACUGUCGACUUUUGUGUUAAAUUUUUUAUGGAAAAUUCUGUGGAAUGAUUCAUGUCGGACUUAUAAUUUUUGUACAAGGAAGCUUGUAGUCAAAUUUUAUAGAAUCAAUGGGGAUAUUACUGCACACUAACUUAUAAAACUGCUCUUUCAGGGCAAUGUGCAUGUUGCAAGUGUAUAUGCUGGAAAUAACUGUGUGCAACUACGAGGCCCAGAUAUAAUGGCUGAGUUGAUUUAUCUUCUGAAAUUAUUAAAUCUAUGCUUUCUCUUCUCAAAGAAGCCAUUCCUAGUGUUCUUGGAGACUGCUGGAUAUUCCCAGGAAGAUGUUCUUAUUCAUGAGCCUAAGGCGGGGGUGCGUAAGUAUUAUACUCUUGUUAGAUAUCCUAAUUCUACACAGUACAGUUGGCUAAAUGCAAUUGAAGGGUAAAAUAUAUGGAUUGUGCCCCACACAAUCCCGAUAUUGUGACUCCCGUUGUUGCGACUUUCUCUCUGAACUCGAACUCAUUAGCCCUUGAACUUUCUUAUCAAUUGGAAUACUCUUCCUGUCUUCUAAAGAAAUCCAACAACACAUGACUUUUCCCUAUGAAAUUACCUGUCUAACCUUGCUUCAGGUACGCGAAACAAGGAUUUCAUUGUUCAGAAGGGGUAAAAUGGUCAUUUUACAUAAAUUUUUUAACACUCAGUGAUGAGAUUGCAAAUUACGAAAAAUUUGAGGAACUGAAUUGCAAUAUCGCAAUAAUGGAGAGACUAUCCAUCAUAAUAACUGUCGUUAUUCUAGCUCUUUGAAACACAAAAAGUGAUUUCUUGAUGAGAUUCUAAUCUGCUUGUUCUACUCUUUGCAGCUUUUGAAGCCUGCUUUCACAAUUUUACGCGAUGAGAAUUCCAAGUGUUUUCUCCUUUUGGUUCGAGGCACCCACAGUAUCAAGGAUACACUGACUGCUGUGACUGGUGCUGUGGUUCCUUUCCACCAUUCACUUUUAGAUGAAAGUGGUGUUAGCAAAUUAGUAUUGGGGUAUGCGCAUUGUGGUAUGGUUGUUGCAGCCCGUUGGAUUGCAAAAUGUACUAUUCCAUGUCUCAGGAAUGCAGUUAGUCAAUUUCCAGACUACAAAAUCAAGGUAUGUUUUUUUUUUCUUUUUUCUUUUUUCUUUUUUCUUUUUUCUUUCUUCACCAACGGUUUUGGAUUCUAGAUUUUAUGGCGAUACUUUAUUUUAGUUCGACGACGAUUAAUUUAGCCAACCCCCAAUAGCUUUCUUUUCAUAAUUUUUUAAGUUGGCCAGCCUUUUAUUGUAUUUUUUUCCAACUGUAAUUGGUUAUCCUUCAUUAGUUUAGAAGCAUCUUUGCUAUUUUCUGUCUUGUCCAACAUGGUGGUUGAACUUGUUAUCUUCAGAUGAACAAUAAGGAGUGCUAAUAUGAAACUUUAUACAGUUUCUAUAUGAGCCUUCUCAACUUGGUUUCUGAUAUAACUACUUGAAAUUGCUUGAGGUAGGCUUGGAGCACAAAAAAUGGCAAUGCCUUCCGCUUUCUGUUACUUUUUUUAUAUGCUCACAUAACAAUAUCUGCAAUUAAUCAUUGAUCUUUUUCCUUCUCUGAUAAUUAGAUUGUUGGGCAUUCGUUGGGUGGUGGCACUGCUGCUCUCUUAACAUAUAUUCUGCGAGAACACAAAGAAUUCUUUUCAACCACUUGUGUUGCAUUUGCACCAGGCAUGUAUCUGAAAAUCUGUUAUGUUUAUACAGCUUGUAUCUUCGUGUUCUUGUUGCUGCUAUUGUAUAUUCCCGUAUACUAUCCAAUUUGAUCCACUUGAAAAAUUAGGGUUGAAAGCAGAGGGUCAUCAAGCUGCUCAUGCUUGCGCAAAUUGCCUGUGGCAUCACUAAAUUUUAUCACCUGCUUUUAAUUGACUAUUUGUAUCAUCAGAUGAUCUGAUGAUAAUCUUGUUGAGCAGAACUGACAAAUGAGAAAACAAAUUUUAUUAAUCCAUGCUUGUUUAUACGAGAUUAUCCAUUUAUAUGUUUCAUUUGUGCCCUAUAAAGGUCUUUGAUCUUUAAUCUAGUUAAGAUGUUCAGCUACUGUAAUUGUGUUUUGUUGCUUGUGUGUUCAAUGGAUAAUUUGCUAACAAAUUAUCUUCGUCAGCUGCUUGCAUGACGUGGGACUUGGCAGAAUCUGGCAAGCAUUUUAUCACCACCAUUAUCAAUGGCACUGAUCUUGUUCCUACAUUCUCCACUGCCUCAAUUGAUGAUCUCCGUUCUGAGGUACUUGUUCUCCAUCAACCAUGUUAUCAUCGUCUGUUCUUCUACAUGCACCUGUUAGAUUAAUGUGUUCUGUUUUGGUACAGUUUUCCAGACAACGUGGUUUACUGGAUUCCUUAAUUCAGAAUUCUAGAUAUAUAAUUGUAUUGCGUUACAACAAUCAAAUCGGUGACGCUUCCGACACCUUGGAAAUUGGUCUUUGCUUACACAUGUUUAUCCUUGCUUUAUAUUACCUUUUCAGGUGACGGCAUCUUCAUGGUUAAACGAUCUCAAGGAUCAAGUGCAACAAACACGUUUCCUAAAUGUCGUCUACCGUUCUGUUUCUAGUGCUCGAGAUAAGGUGGCAGGAGCUGGCACGCUGCUACGUCCCGUCUCCAGCAAAACUCAGGUAAGGGAACUAGCUGCAUUUUAAUCGAUAAACCAUGCAUUUACUAAAGAAAAUGGGUAGUUACACUAUUGGUCACUGAACUUUUCCUUGUGAAGUUUCACUUACGUCGAGUAGUGAACUUCUGUUUCAAUCGUGUUACUUUGUCAAACUUCAUGUAAUUUGCGGCAGAUAUUCAGAUAUCAAGCCAUCUUCAAGAGAUGAUAUGCCAAUGAUAUGGCAGUUCGUUUAGUGACUAAUGGUGUAAUAUACCCAUAGAGCAGAUUCCAUUAUUUGGGGAAAAAAAAAUCGAUGGAUUUGAGGUAGCGAACAAUUUUUCCUGAAACCUGAAACAAUUAGUUAUGUGCAAAAUUAGAUCCAGAUUGAUGGUUGUGAUAUUUUGUAGUGUCCUGCUUCUUGCCAGUUUGGAGGCGCUCAAACCAAUCCAACUUUAUCUGCUUUGUUUUCAGUUAAAAAAAAUGAAAGCUCAAAUAAUUCUUCUAAUUGUAUCCUUGAAUUCUUAACUUUGAUUUUGCUCAUUCAGGUUGUUAUGAGGCAGGCACAAAAUGUUGCACAGGCUGUCGUUAGGAGCCGAUCAACAUUCUCUUCGUGGUCAUGCAUCGGCGCUCGCCGCCGUUCUGUUGGCUCAGUUGCAAACUCUAAAGAGGAGACAACUACUGAAACCUUGACUCUGCUUCAGCACGGAACCACUGAGGAAUUGGUGGGUGAACUGCAGUUUGAUAUUUCUAGGGUUUCCGACCAUGAGGAAAUUGAUAUUUAUAGGGCUUCCGACCACGAGGAGACAGAGGAAGAAGCACUUCUACAAGAAAGCGUAGUCACUACUGUUUCCACCACCGAAGAAAUCACCGAAGGUGAACUGUGGUUGGAGUUGGAAAAAGAACUUAAACAGCAAGAAGAAGCUAAUUCCCAAGCUCGAGAAGAACAAGCUGCUGCUGCAAAAGAGCAUAUUGAAGAAGAAGCAGCCGCAGUUUUGAAAGCAGUCGACGAAAAGAAAUCCAUCUCCGCAGAUGCCCUAGAAGGGCAACAGUUAUAUCCUCCGGGUAGGAUUAUGCACAUGGUCGCUUUGCCACCGGCGGAUUCCGACCCUAAUGAAAACAUUGUGAUCAAUGAAUGCGACAUCGGUUUAUACGUAACACCGAGAGAGCUUUACAGUAAGAUCCGGCUCUCCAAAACUAUGAUUAACGAUCAUUAUAUGCCUAUGUAUAGGAAGAUGAUGGAACUGCUCAUUGACAAGCUCGCCGUUGAGGAUGAUGGUCGUAAGGAUAGUCAAAUGUGAAUGAUUCGAUAUAAUAUAUUUGCAGGUAAAAGCAACAUGUUGUUGUCCUAACUUCAAACUAACCAGCUUGAUGUAAUAUGUUCAGCUAAUUGAAUUGCAAAUUAAUGAUGAAAUGAAAUGCUAAAUAGUUGUCAAUUCUUGAAGAAGAGCUUAACACAUUAAGUGAUAUUUUCACUUUGAAAUAAACUGAUUUCAAAGAUAAAAUGAUAACUACUAUAAUCUUAUCAUUACCAAUAUUCUUUUCAUAAAGACAGAUAUUGAUAGCUAUAUGAAUGUAAUGAAAUAAAAUAGUUAAAAGAUGAUAAAAUUACAGCUAGUUGUUCUAUAAUUAGAUAAAAAGGUGUUCAAUUCCAAAAAAAGGGUCUUUUUAUUCUCACCACACUGAUGAACGCACAAUAGGCGAAAAUUUGCUACAGAGCCAUAAUUUUACUCUGCCUAAGUUAAUAAAUUUCAUUAACAUUAAAUUUAGGGCUUGUUUAGUUCAUCUAUUUUAAGUAUGGAAUGAGAAUCGGUUUUGAUCAAAUCCGAUUAAUUUUGUUUGGUUUGCAUGAAUCGAUUUUGGAUUUCUAUUCCGGAGUGGAAUGGGAAUGGCCCAUUAGUUUUCAACUUGAUUCCGGUCUUCUAGCCCGGAUUGAGAUUUCAUUUCGGAAGACCACUAAGCUCUCAAAGCCCAUAUGACCAUCUCACCCUCCUUCUCUUCAUCCAUUCUCAUCAAAAAAAAAAAAAAAAUAAUUUUAGUCUCAAAACCCUAUCCCUAACCCACAUCAAUAAAAAUUUUUAAAAAUAAAUUUAAUUUUUUUUUAAAAAAAACUUAUUAAAAAAUAAUAUUAUAUUUUCAUAAAUUUAAAUAAUAUAAAUUUAUAUUUGAGAAUAAAAUUAAUAUUAUAGUAUUCUAUAAUUUUUUAGUUUAUACAAACCAAACAAUAAAAUAUGAAUAACUCAUUCCGAAAUAACUCAUUCCAAUUUUCAAUCGACAGAUAAACCAAACGUCUUGAAAGAGUGAACCAUUCUAAUUCAUUUCCAUUUCAUUAUCCAUUCCAAUUUCAUGCUUGAAGCAAACAAGCUCUUAAUCAAAGAAGCCCUUAAUCAAAGGUGCUUUUUAAAGGCCUAACAUUUGGGCUUAGAAGUUAUGUGUAGUAGGCCCACCAAGAGGUGGAGCCUUCCAAAAAUUGGCGGGCGAGCCCAGCUCGAAGUAAGAGCCGGAGCUCGCUCGCACCCAAAACGGUGUGUUCGCGUUUUGUAGGGCGUCGGCACGACUCGCCGUCUCUAUACGAUCAUUGACGAGUCGCCUCUCACCCCCCAACAGGACGGGUUAAACCCGAAUCCUCCCCCCUCCUACUCACUUUAUACCGGACUCUCGUCGCCAAUGUUUCGUGAGUUCCGAUGUGGGACUAAUCGAUGGGCUAACGGUGUUGUCGCACGGAAUCGGAUACCCCUGAUUCAGACGGUCGAUUUCCAUGCAAAACCCCUCGAAACUGGGCGGUUCGGUUCCGAAAAACCCUAACUAGUAGUUCUCAACUGGAAUCGAGGGGAUUUACGAUUGCGUGCGUUUGUUUCUUGCGAAAUCCCCAACUUAGGAGGUGGAUUUCACGCAAAGGCUUCGAAAUUAGGGCCUGGGCUCGGAUAAACCCUAAUUCUCAGCUGGAAUUGGAGGGUUUUAGGACUACUCAGUCGGUUCUGGUUUACUUUUUACCCUUUUUUUGUUUUUGGAUGAAAGAUUCCUCUUCCUCGACGUCUCUUUCGAAUUGAUCUGGGAGUAAGAUUUUAGUUUGGUACAAAGAAGAAUGGGAUCGAAAAGUGAGAAUUUUGACCAGGCUUUCGAUGAGAGUGUUGGAUUAUUGGGGCCACAAGCGAUUUUAGAUAGAUCAAAGUAAGCUUUAUUUUAGCCAAAAAAAAAAAAGUGUUUUUGUUCGAUUGUUUUAGCUUAUUUAGUUCGUUUAUGGAUGAAAUAGUUCUAAACGUAAUAAAUUUUUAACUUGAUUUGGAUUUUAGAAUUGGGGAAAAUAUCAUAUUUGGUUAGUUUUAAGUAAUCGAUCUGUAACUUGUGUUUUAUUUUCUAUGUUACGAAUUCAAGUGCGGAUGGAAGCAAUGCGAUUAUAAUGGUCGGCAAGAGAAAGGGCAAAUUAAAAGGAAAAGGGGAGGUAUUUUAUUGAGUAUUUUUCUUAAUUUAUGGGCAGUUUGUAGAAAUAUUACAGAUUGGGUUGGAUAGUAGUUUUCCUUAAAGCUGUUGCAUAUCUAUGCCAGGUUUCUGAGAUUAGAAAGAAGAAGGAAGCUGCAACUUUGAGCAAAAGCAAGCAAAGGAAGUUAAAGAAGUUGGAGGUAUGUGCUUGGUUUUAUGUAAGCGCAUAAUUUCCUGUUUUCUGGAACAGCUUUGCUGCUACAAGAAGCAGUAGCAAGGUGUUGUUGAACAAAAUUUGGAGCUUUUGCUUACAGAAAGCUGAACUAACUUGUUUGCACCAAUUGGAACUCCUGCUUCUCUGCAUUGAGAAGCUGUUGGAGGAAUUUUGUUGAAAAAGUUAUUAGUUCUUCAAACAGCACUUGUGGAGAAGCUCCGGCGGAAAAGCAGAACACAGAAGUUUUUUUCUCUUUUUCCUUCAAAUUUUCUUUUUUCUUAUUGGUUGCUCAUAGCUUGUUCGCUUGUUUGUGCUUCGUGUGUCCAGGACGAGAAACAAAAGAAGUUGCUGGAAGCUAGAAGUAUUAAGCUUCUGGGGUAUGUGACCUCUUUAUUUUUCUUCCUUCUAUUCUAUUUCAUUGUAGUGUCGAAUAUUUGCAAAAUAACUUCUUCUUAGUGAAAUGAGCUCUCGGCUGCUCUUUCCUGCUGCAGGAAAUACAAGAUAUCUGAUGGUGCAUAUUCUUUUCUCCAUUCUUCAGGGACUAUUGGUCAAGUAUGCUACUUCCAUCAAGUAUUGAUUAACUGGGAUAGCAUCCAAUAAUUAGAAAUUUAUUUUAUUGUAUGAACGAUUAUGAUGUAGGCUGAGACUAUGAAGGAAAAACGUAGGCGAGUAGUUCAAUUUUCCAAGGCAGGCUUGGAAAUUCCUGAAGAAAUUCUACCUUUAGAGAAGGGCAGACGGAAAGUUUCUGAGGAGAUUGAAAUCAGUGAGAAAAUUGACUCUGUUCAAACCAACCUAGAAAGUGUUGGUCAUGGAGAGCAACAAGAUGACGAAAGUCAUAGCUUGUCUUUUAGAUCUAACAUAAAAGCAAUUAGUAAAAGCAAACCAGUUGCGGAUAUUGGAUCAAGUGUGUCACUGCCAACAGAAGAAACAAAUAGAGUCGUCAUUAUGGGGAUUCAAGAAAAGCAAAAAGUCUCUCCACCAAUUUGUAGUCAUGCUGCUAUAGCACAUGACAUUAGUUUGCAGGUGUGUUAUUGUUUAUGCAUCUCUUAGAAGCACCUGUUAUAUGUGCUUGUGUUGAGUCAAUCACUUAUCAUCCAUUGAUUAGUUAGUUUUUUUUCUCUCUGUGUGCAAUUUUGUUGUUAAUUAAUCUUUGCUGACUUCAUAUAUAUACUCUUCAAAUCAAUAAUGAUCCUUCUUUCAAGAUAUGCAUUAUGAAUAUAUAGUUUAAAUAACGUACUAUUGAUUUUUAGUUCAUGCACUGCAAAUAUUAUCAAUCUUUCACGAUCAACAAAUGUGGCUCUCAUUAGUGCUGCCCUAUUGGUUUGCUCAAGAUGAAAACAUUUUAUGCCAGCAUGAUAUAUACCCUUCUACCAGGACAGGUACUGGUAUGUGGCGCAGCGCUUGCUUUAAGUAUGUUUGUUUGAUGUGUUUUUUGACCAUUAUGAUUAUUAUACAUCUGUUUUUUUCUAGUGCCAUGUAAUAAUGUUGUAUCGAUACAUUUUCAGCUCAUUAGAUGACUCAUUAUUUUUCUUUCGUUCCCUUUGUUUUUUUAAUCUAUCUUUGUCCAGGACAAAGGGGUAGAAGGACCAAAACCAUGUAGCCAAACCGCAAAACUAUCUGGAGAUACUUCUCUCCAGGGGAAUUUUAACACCCCUAUUGUAGUGCAUGUAACAAGGCCAACUGAGGUUGAGGAGAAAAGGAAAGAUCUCCCAAUAAUUAUGAUGGAGCAGGAAAUAAUGGAAGCUAUCAACGAGCAUUCUAUUGUUAUUUUGUGUGGAGAGACAGGAUGUGGUAAAACGACACAGGUUCCUCAGGUGUGUUUCAUCUACUUGUUGUAACCGUAGCUUCAUAGGAGUGCUAUUGACUAACACUCUUCAAAAAAUCAUGAGUGGGUUUGUUGUUACAGACCUGGACAAGGAGUUACUGAUAAAAAAAAAGAAUAGUUUGUUUCCCUGGAGUGACAUUCUUUUCCCCACAAGCCUAGCUAUUGCUUUUCGGAGUAGAAAAGCUAUUCCGUAUGCCAAGCCAACUUGGUGUAAAAGUUUCUAUUUGUUAUUUAUUAUUUUUUAUUGUAAUUUGCCAUGUUGCAGUUCUUAUAUGAAGCUGGCUUUGGGUCAAGUAGUCGUUGUGACAGAAAAGGAAUAAUUGGUGUAACCCAACCGCGUCGUGUUGCUGUUCUUGCUACGGCUAAAAGAGUUUCCUUUGAGUUAGGUCUUGGUCUUGGAAAGGAGGUUGGUUUUCAAGUUCGGCACGACAAAAUGAUAGGAAAAAACUGUUCCAUUAAGUUUAUGACGGAUGGAAUUUUGCUUCGAGAAGUUCAGGUUCCUUGCUGAAAACUUUUGCUUACAUGUAUUUUGUAGAUGUGAAACUAUCUUUAAAUUGACUAGCAUUUUGCUUUCUAGAAAGGUCUCUCUGCACAUUGCAUAUAUCAGCAUAUUGUUGUCGCCUUUCGGAGUAAUGAUCAGCAUGUUUGUGUUUUUGCAUUAAAUUAAAAGUUUCUUCCGGAGAAAAAAAUCAAGCAUUUAGAAUAUUAAUCGUGAUUAAAAUGUUGUUACAGCUAAGUGAUGAUAGUAAUAGAUACAGAAAAAAUUAAAAAGAAUGUAAUCUUGGUUACGCAUCAUUUCAGGAUCGCAUAUUAGAACAUCGCAUAUAGAUGGUUCAUUCAUGCUCAUGUAGGUACAUAGCACACCUCGAUUUGGAAGAGAAAGUAACUAAUCUUUUAGAUAUUGGACUGCGAUUGUCAAACACAGUUGCUGUGAUGUUUUUUGUGUUGAACUCGUUCUGAAUUUAUACUAAUUAAUAUUUUAUUCAGGGUGCUAAUUAGUUGUCUAUUUUUUCAGAGUGAUUUCUUAUUAAAGCGCUAUUCCGUGAUCAUCUUGGAUGAGGCUCACGAAAGGAGCUUGAACACUGAUAUACUAAUUGGCAUGCUAUCACGAAUAAUAAAGCUUCGACAGGUUGGAAAAAUGUAGUUAAUUAUUUUUUUUAUUUCAGUUUUCUUAGGAAAGAAUUUUAUUGUUUAUUAACUAUUUUGAACACACAUGAUAGAAAUUAUAUGAGGACCAGCAGGAGAAGAUUAAAUCAGGAGGGAGGCUCAAUUCAGAAAAUAUGGUCAGUCAGUUAAAGCUCGUGCUAAUGAGUGCCACCUUGCGAGUUGAGGACUUCAUUUCUAAUAGGAGAUUAUUCAGUGAGGCCCCUCCCGUUCUAGAGGUCCCAGUAAGACAAUUUCCUGUCACUAUUCACUUUUCAAAAAGGACCCACGAAGAUUAUAUGUUACAAGCUUAUAAAAAGGUCAUGUCAAUCCACAAGAGGCUUCCACCUGGUGGAAUACUUAUGUUUGUCACAGGCCAGAGGGAAGUUGACUUCCUGUGUAAGAAGCUAAAAAGAGCAUCACGAAACUCUUACGAAAAGAAAUUCACAAGAAAGGGAGAGGAUCAGAUAAGUGCAAGCUCAGAACUGGACAUGAAGGAAAUCAGUGAAGCCUAUGAAAUAGGAAGCGAUUCACCUGAUAACCAGAAUAACAGAUUCAGUUCAUACGAUGAGGAUGAGAAUAAUUUGGAAAUUAAUUCCGAUUCUUCUGAUUUGGAAAUAGAGAGUGAGUUUGAAAUUAAUAGUGAGGAUGAAGAAGAUGAAGAGCCUAUUACUUGUGAAGGCCCACAAGAAGUCAGUUCGAUUUUGGAUUUUCUAAGAGACAAAGAGCGCAUAUCUUCACUCAAGGCUUCUUUUGAUGCCCUGGCUGGAAAUUCUAGGGUACAAAAUAGUGAAGAAAGCCCUAGCUCCCCCAUCACUGACAAUAUGAAAAAAUCUCAAGGAAUGAAGACUUCAUCUGCCGGUCCCCUCCAUGUCUUGCCACUUUACGCAAUGCUACCUGCUUCUGCUCAGCUUCGCGUAUUUGAGAAUGUGCCUGAAGGGGAAAGGCUUGUAGUUGUAGCCACAAAUGUUGCUGAGACUUCUUUAACUAUUCCUGGCAUAAAAUAUGUGGUUGAUACAGGAAAAGAAAAGGUCAAAAAGUACAAUUACAUCAAUGGGGUGGCGGCUUAUGAAGUACAGUGGAUAAGCAAAGCAUCAGCCUCCCAGCGGGCAGGACGAGCUGGAAGAACGGGGCCUGGGCACUGUUACCGUCUCUAUUCCUCUGCGGCCUAUAGUAAAGAUGAUUUAUUUCCAGAAUUUUCCAGUCCCGAGAUUUCCAAGAUUCCAGUAGAUGGUGUCGUCCUCCUCCUGAAGUUCAUGGGUAUUGAUAAGGUACUGGUUGUGAAAAAAAUUCUUACUCGUUUUCCUUUUUUUUUUUUCCCUUCACAUAUAAAGAUAUUUGAUGCAUGCACCUGCCAGUGAAGUCUAAAUUUUUUAAUAUGUCCUUCAAAAACUUUAAUUCUUAGAUGCAUACUGCCAUGUUUAUUGCAAGCCCUUUAAAGAACUUUGUUAUACAAAACCUAUUUCCUCCCAUGAGUUUGAGCAUGCUCGUAAGAACCUGCACAUUCAAGGGGUACAUAUGAAUAUUCAUCUUUUACAGGAGUAUACAUGUAAUUGAUCUUUUUGCAGCGAUAGGCAUAAAAUCACUCUUUCCCAUGUACGUAACUUAUAUAUUAAUAUUUAUUCAUAUCUUCUAGGUCGCCAACUUUCCUUUCCCGACACCUCCAGAGAAGGAAGCUUUGGUGGAAGCUGAACGUUGUUUAAAGGCCCUUGAGGCGCUUGAUAGCAAUGGCAGACUUACACCUAUGGGGAGGGCUAUGGCACAAUACCCGAUGAGUCCCCGCCAUUCCCGAAUGCUUCUCACAGUUAUUCAAAUCAUGAGAAAUAAGCAAAGCUACCCCAGAUCAAACUUCCUACUAGGGUUUGCAGUUGCUGCUGCAUCGGCUUUAAGCUUUUCUAGCCCUUUCCUUUUUCACUUUGGCGAGAACCACGAGACCAGGGAUGAAAUGGAUCAAGAAGAGAAAUCUGACCAAGUGAAGGACCCACAAGAGAAGGAGAGGCAGAAGAAGCUUAAAUCAAUGGCUAGAGAGGCUUAUGCGAGAUUUUCCAAUCCCAGCAGCGAUGCUUUAACUGUAGCUUAUGCUUUACAGUUAUUUGAACUCGCAGGAAACUCUUUAGAAUUUUGCAGGAAAAACUCACUUCAUUUCAAAACCAUGGAAGAGAUGUCAAAGUUGAGAAAACAGCUCCUUCAGCUGGUUUUUCAUCACAGCAAGCUUAAUGAGGGAUUCACUUGGAAUAAUGGAUCUAUUGAGGAUGUAGAGAACUCUUGGAGGAAUAAUUCCAACAUUUCCAAUAAAAACCCUUUACAAAUGUUUGAAGAGGAGAUUAUAGGGCAAGCCAUAUGUGCCGGUUGGGCUGACAGGGUUUCGAAGCGUGUUCGAGCAGUUCCGCGAUCAUCAGAAAAUGAUAAAAAAAUCCGGGCCAUUCGGUACCAAUCUUGUGCUCUGAAAGAUACUGUAUAUAUCCAUCGCUUCUCUUCUGUUUCUCAGUCUGCAUCGGAUUUUCUAGUUUAUUCUGAACUUCUAUACACAAAGAGGCCAUAUAUGCAUGGGGUAACCAUGGUAAAGCCCGAUUGGAUACUAAAGUAUGCGACUCCUCUUUGCACCUUUUCAGCACCACUAAAAGAUCCUAAGCCCUAUUACGAACCUCUAAGUGAUCAAGUGUUUUGUUGGGUAAAUCCCACUUUUGGCCAACAUAAUUGGCAACUUCCUUUACAUAGUAUUCCUAUCGAAAAUAGCAUACUACGGUUGAGUGUAUUCUCUUGUGCUUUGCUUGAAGGUGAUGUGCUGCCUUGUUUAAGAUCUGUUCAAAAGUUUCUCGCAGCACCACCAUCUAAUAUAUUGAGACCCGAGGCAUUGGGCCAAAGAAGAGUUGGCGAUCUUUUGAAUAGAAUGAAGGUUGGUUCGAGGAUUGUGGACAGCCGCGCAAUGUUAAGAGAGAUGUGGAGUGAAAGCCCUAAUUUUUUGUAUUUAGAGAUCCAGCAGUGGUUUCAGGAGAGGUUUCAUAAUCGGUUCAGAGAAGUGUGGGAACAUAUGCAUCGCGAGGUUCUUCUCGAGGGCCAUGAACUUUACCCGAAGAGGGCAAAAAAGGGGAGGAAAAGAGAAUAAUAUAAAGUCAAGAAUGCAUAAAACUAUGAUCAAUAUGGCUUCUGAUUUUUCACCACCUUUGCCGCCGUUUGAAGAGUUCAAUUCCUAUACAAGCUUUUCUAGAAAGAUGAAUCUCUAUAUUGAGGUUACCAGGUAUGGCGUGGACGAUAAAUUUUAUUGUAAUCAGAGUUUAGUAAUCCGUGACUAGUUCGAGAGUGAUAUGCCUUAUUAAUGGACAAAUAUAUCUCCACUAAAGGCAAAAUAUAACUCCUCUUAAUUCCAAUUUACCUGUUAUUUUAAUGGUCACAUUUGCUUGAACUCUUUUCGUUUGGCUCAUGCAAUAUCGUAUAUUAUGUUAAUUUAUGUUUCUUUUUUCAUCUUUAAUGCAGUUAUCAUGCAUGAUGGCACCGCAGGAAUUCGGAGUUGUGCUCCUUACCAACGUCUAGACCAAAUUCAUGAAACUGGAUUCGCGAAUUGUAUAGCAAGAGCUGGGAAAGCUUGGACCGCAACUGUUAAGGUUCACCUCUGCAAUUUGAUUCACGAAGCGGGAUGUGAUUGGAAAAUCGAUUAAUUUAAAUUUACCCUCGUAGAUUUUGAAGGGUGACACAAGAGUUCCUUAUUUAGCAUCCGUCAUUCUUGUUGCGCUUGUCCGGAAAAAGCUUCAGUUUUGUACUUAUUUAAGAGCAAAUAUAAGCGACCUACCUGGAUGCUGUAAUUAUAGUCAGAGAGAUGAGUGGAAUGCUAAUGUGCAGUUAGGAAGGAAAUUGAUUUCAUUUGGAGUUAAAAAAAAAAGUGCUUAUAAUUGCUUUUCGUUUCAUUACACUGUCACAAGUACGCCAGAAAUUCCCCAAUUCAUAUCCCAACUUACUAAGCAAUUGUUUAACAAUACAAUGCUGAUUAUCAGAUGCGCUUCAGCGCGAAUUUCUAGCAUCCGAAUCAGGCAAAUUAUUAAUUCAUCUGGCGAAAGGCCAAAAAUGAAAAAAAAAAGAAAUGCAGUUUCGAAGGAUGGUUUGUGUCAAUCCUCAUGCAUUUUCCUCUUUCCAAGCACCCUGCCUAUUACCCUCCAUAACGGCUCUUCAGCGAUUCGGGUGGCUCUUCCUCCAUGAUGCCUGAUCCAGCUGAGGCCAAGUACUGCCUAAUUGUUGUUUUCCGAUCGGCGACGUAGGUGUGAUCCAAGAAGUUGUCAUAAGCUGCUUUUCCGAGGUUUUUUGCUGCCAAAACACUGAAGAACUAAAUAGAAAUCGUUUCUGACAACAUUAUGCAGUAAAAUUGUAGUGCUUUACAUUUUCAGUACGAAAGGUUCGAACUGUACAGAAAACAGAAAAGAGAGAGAUUUACUAGCCAACACAUGAAAAAAAAAUGCAACAUAAAUAACAAAGAGAGGGAAUGGAUUGAAGCUGUGGUUAUAGUUAGAUUGAAGCAAGCUGUAGUUAUUACUAACCAAUGUCUGAGAUAUGUACGACAAGGUAAUAUAUCAUCUCGCCAUAUCUUAUGUAUGUUGUAUCGCCCAUAACGCUGGUAAUAUAUUUCCUUGCUACCUGGAGAAGCGGAUGUGUUAACAUAAUCUAAUUAGUUUUAAAGAAUAAAACUGAACAUGAAGUCAACAUGCAAGACGAAGGAAAGAAGUAUCUGAAAAAUUAUAUAACUAGACUGAAAGAGGAAAUUAUGCAGUUCCAGUUACUGUUAAACCAAGAUAUAUUCUAAAUAGUUGAAGAGAGAAAACCCCAUAUAGAUGCACAAACCAAUUUCGCGUUGAGUUCUAUGUGUCAAUCUAUAGAAUCAAUAUUGCAAGAGGUGGAUGCAUAUAGAUAGAGAUACCGACAACAUAAUUCUAUCCAUUUGAUCUGUAUUUUCAUAAUAUGGUGAUUUGUUAAAUUAUGGCAUCGAGUUGAUUGCUAGAUGAUUCCCUGCUUCCUCUCUCACAUUGCAUUCACUAUUUCUAUUUCGGGCUGUGAACAAACUACAAACUAUUCUUUUGAUUACAUUCCUGUGAAAUUCUAAAGCUCUAUAUAAUAACCCAAAACCAAAUACGAAUGUCUCUAUCCACUCUCUCUACUCAGAUCUCAAUAAGGUCGUAAAAGCACAAACAGAUACGGAUGAAUCAAAGUUCUAAAAUUCUAAAUAAGAGACAUUGAUUUCUUCACCUAAUGGUAACUCUUCCAACUGAUGUAAGUUCAUGAAUUACAGAAUCUCAUAACAUGCAAGGCGUGUUAAUUGGGAUAAAACUUUUACCUUGGCAUCGUAUUUGAAAAAACUCUUCGUCGCUGUAACGAGCACACACCACCUGAAUCAAAGGCACGAAGUUUGUCAUUAAAAUAACCAAAAUAUUGAAAAAGUUAGAUCAAAUCAUAGAAGAAAAAAAAAUUACACAAACUACAAAUCAGCACUUACAGCUGGAUUUGGAAAAGUAGUUCCAUCCAGUCCUUCAGGAACCACCUGAACUCAAUUACAAGGAAAAUAGCCAUACCGCAAAAAUCACGGAUAAACAAAAUUUUGAACUAGUGUGUAAAACAAAAUUACAAAGAAAUAAUACAAAAAUCAGAACGUAGAAAACAAAUGCAUGAAUGAUUCACUUACAGAUAGAAACCUGAACUCAUUCUCCCUCUCAAUAAACGCCGGAACCUAACACAAGCAAAACAUCAAACACCUGCAAGCGAAAACCCCAAAAUCUCGAUCGCAAGAACAACCGAUGUACCUCCUCUUUCCUGAUCUCAAACACGGUAACAAUAAGAAACUCCCCUUCGCAGGGCUCCACGCUCAAGCUCGACACUUCCUGAAACCUCUCCCAAUUCCCCGAUCAGAUCCAAACAAGAUAAACCCUAACCCAAAAGCUCCCAAAUCGGAAUCGAAUAGUUCCAAAUCUCACCCCGGUUUCCUCAUUGGCGAUCCUGCGCUCGAAGAAGAUCGGGGCCACGUGGGCGAAAACGCGGCGGAACCCGCGGAGCACUCCGAUCCUGAAGUUCUUGAGAUCGGGGAACGUGCUCCUCGCGCUCCUCUCUAGCAGUAGGAGAGAGGCGUUAAUGGAGAUCGGAGAGCUAGGGUUUCGUGCGAGAGAGAGAGAGGAGGAAGAAGAAGAAGAAGAAGAGGGGGCGGUGAGGUUACCGGAGAGGAGGGAGCCGAAGCCGCAUAUGGAUAUAUACCCUUCGGGGGUGACGAGCGAGUCGAAAUCGGAUGCGGUGUUGAGCUCGGUGAGGUUACCGCUCGGUGCGCCGGAGUGUUCCGUAGCCAUGCGGCGGAGCAGCGGAGGCGGUGAGGUUACCGGCAGUGACCGGAUCCCGUAGGAGUGAGCGAUGCUGGAGCGGAGUGGAAGGAAGAAGACACAGGGGAGGGGUCGAUGGGCGUCGGAUCUCGAUCGGACGGUCGGGGAUGACCCGGCGUAGGAUGCGAAGAGGUUUCUAGCGGCGUGCAUGGUUUGCAUAAAUAAAUGAUAACGGAGAGCCGGGCUUUUCUACGACCCAUUUUGUUUUGUUAAAAAAGCAAGUGUUAAAAAUUACACGUGGCAACUUCUCGUUGGCUGUGAAAUUUACGCUACGUCACUUUUGAUAUUUUUGUUCCGAGAAUUAAAUCAAAAAAGUUAUAUUAAAAAGCUCAUCGCAAGCAUUUAAAAAAAAAAAAAAAUGAUAGUCCCAAUGUGUACAUUGUUGUUUAUCUAUUGUAACCAUCUAAAAAUAUUGUUUUAUAAGAUAAAAUGAUUUGCUUAUUUAUAUAAUUAUAUUACUGGGAUAAAAUUAAGAGAUCAUUUCAUAAAAAUUAUUUAAACAUUAAUUUUUUCUUCAUUAGUUAGGAACUAGAGUAUUAUCUGUAUUAUUUGUAGAGUAACUAUUUUUAUUGCGUCGAGAAAAUUCUAUUCUUUUCCAGUAACAGAUGCAAAAUAAUAAAAGCAUCGUAUCCGAUAUUCGGAAUUGAUUGAUGUACACAAUUUUGUUCUCAAUAGAUUAUAGAUGAUGAAGUUGUAUGCUUUUUUUUAUAAAACUCUUAGCAUCAAUGAUUGCUAUAGUUUUUUUGUUUAAGUAAUAUUUAAAGUUACCGCGAGGGGUGGAUCAUGGAUGAGUUUAUAAUAGGAUUCAAAUAAAUUAUUUGUAUAUGUAUCCUAAUAAGAUUUGGGAGAAAAGGAACAAUCCUUUGCCCCACAAUUUAUAUGGAAAACGCAGAUUUUAUACCACUGUAGUAGAAUCUUAGAGUAAGAUUACAUAAAUAUAGUACAAACAAGGACAAUUAUUAUUAUAUAAAUAAAAAUAAUAAUACACAUUAUAAAUUUGCAUGCCAUAUAUAAUACGUAAAUAAUUGAGGACUUAGGUGCAAAUAUUCCAUUAAGAACCUGAAUACUUGGGCCAUUAAUGAGUUAACAACAUUUUUUUUUCUUUUUUUAGGUUUAAAUCAUUAUUAGUUCUUAAUAUUCUAGUAGUUAAAAUUAUAAAAUAUAACAAGUAAUAUAUUAUUAUAUAAUAACUUGUUUACUAAUUGGCCAAGUAAUUAAUCCUUUAAUUUAUUACAUAAAUGAAUAUUUAAUUAAAUAUUUAAGCAAUUAAUUUUUUUAUGUAUAAUUAACUAGCUAACUAAAUAAUUAAUUGUGUUACGUGCUCAUUCAUUAAAAAGUUUCCAUAUUAAUUAAAUAAUAACUAAUAUUUUGACUAAUAUAAUUUAAUACAUGAGCUAAGUGUAGCCAAUUAACUAAUUAAUGUGCUGCUAUAUUAUCCUGUACAAUAUUCAUAAUUAGUUAAUUAAUUAAGAUUUUAAAUUAUUAUUUUUUUAAUUUAUUUAAAAUUUCUAAUUACUUCUAUUCCCACAAAGCUAGUGUAGCCAUUCAAAUGCUAUUUGAUUUUUUUUAUUACUCAGAAAUUUUAAUUCUGGCACAAAAAUAAAAUUAAUCUAAAUUUUUUUAUUUAAAAUAUUUUGGAUGUAUUAAAAAAUUAAGAAUAUUUUUUUUUCUGAAUCAAAUAAUAUGGAAGGAGUUUAGGGAUCAAAGUGAAAAUUUUAAUCCUUUUGACGACACUAACCCAUGCUUUAUCUCUGAUGUGCUUUAAACUCGGAGCGAGGCGAAGCUUCUCGUUUCCGCGGCGGCGAAUCGAAAGACUCCAAAAAAGAUUUUAAUUUUAUUUUCUCGUCUCUUUUUCGCUCUCCUCCGAUUCUCUCUCUCUCUCUCUCUCUCUCUCUCUCUCUACCUACGUUACUACUCCGGAGGAGUCGGAUUCGGCCUCGUUCGCCUGCGAAUCGCUCGAUCACACCUCCAUCGAAGAGUACAUCUUUCGCUCUCUCGAUCUUUGCACUGCUUAAUUUUGCUGUUUGAUGCUCCUGAUUCUUUUUUUCUGUUUUUGAAUGAGCUUAGAUCUGGUGAAUGAAGGGAAUAUUGUGAAAUUUGGGGUUUUGUGGACUCUGGUGUGUUCUAGGGUUCUGGUGUAGUUGAUUUGGAGCCCCAUUUCUCGACUUCGUUAUGUGGAUGGGGGGAAGUCGAGAGAUUGGAGGUGUUUUUGAGCUAAAAAUUAGAGUUUUUUUUUUUCUUCUUCUUUCUGUGUUUUUGAAGUGAUCAGGUUCAAUUGGGAAAAGUAUUUUGUGCAGGAUUAUGUUGUUUGAGAUGAUUGCUAAGCUUUGGAUAGUGAAUUGUUGAGAUUUGGCUAGAUGCAUCGCUUGAUUAUUGGUUGUGUGAAAUGUAGAUCACAUACUUUGUAUUAUUUGGGGAGAACUAGAUAGAAGAAAUGCGAAAUAGUUGAUGUUAUUGAGGAUCCCUUGUGAUGGUGUGCUUUUUUCCCCCUAUUUAUAUUUACAUUUUUACUCUUGUUUUAUUAUGUAGAAUGUUUUCCUCUGAUAAAUCUUGCUGAAAAUGCUGCAGUAAUUCGUUAUAUGUGCUUCCUUAUGAUGAAACUAAUUGGAUUUCUACCUGGUUAUUUUCUUUCUCACUGUCACUCUUAACUAUCAGUUCAACUUAUCUAUGAGGCUUUUAGUAGUUUGUGACUUCCAUUUGAAGAAUAGUGCAUCCCUUUAUCGUGCUUAGCAUACUAUUCUUACAAGCAUCCUAUUAAAUUGCUUGUAGCGCUAUGCCCUCUUUGUAUCGAAAUUAGAAGCGAGAGGAGUAACCAAACUUCAUGUAGGUUGGUAUUGACAUUAAGUGUUUCUUCUUGCCAGGAAUGUAGAGAAAAAUUAUUGUUGCUGACAAUCACAAGAUGAUGGAGGGCUGUGAUUGUAUCGAGCCACAAUGGCCUCCAGAUGAGCUUCUAAUCAAAUACCAGUACAUAUCAGACUUCUUCAUAGCCCUCGCAUACUUCUCUAUUCCUCUAGAGCUCAUUUAUUUUGUAAAGAAGUCGUCCUUCUUCCCAUAUAGAUGGGUCCUUAUUCAGUUCGGAGCAUUUAUAGUUCUUUGUGGAGCAACCCAUAUGAUAAACUUGUGGACUUUCAACAUGCACUCGAAAACCCUGGCCAUAGUUAUGACCAUAGCGAAGAUCUCAACUGCUGUCGUGUCUUGUGCAACAGCUUUGAUGCUUGUUCACAUAAUUCCCGACUUAUUAAGUGUAAAAACAAGAGAACUGUUUCUGAAAAAUAAGGCUGAAGAGCUUGACAGGGAAAUGGGCCUUAUAAGGACUCAAGAAGAAACUGGAAGGCACGUAAGAAUGCUUACUCAUGAAAUCAGAAGCACAUUAGAUAGACAUACAAUUUUGAAGACUACCCUCGUGGAAUUAGGAAGGACGUUGGGUUUAGAGGAAUGUGCAUUAUGGAUGCCAUCGAGAAGUGGUUCGAGUCUUCAACUUUCUCAUACACUAAGGCACCAAAUACCUAUGGGGUUAACCGUGCCUAUCAAUCUCUCUGUUGUGAACCAGGUCUUUAGUAGUAAUCGUGCAAUAAUAAUACCAUAUACAUCUCCAUUGGCAAGGUUCCGACCCCAUUCGAGCAGAUAUGUCCCGCCCGAGGUAGUUGCAGUACGUGUCCCGCUUCUUCACCUUUCAAAUUUUCAGAUAAAUGAUUGGCCAGAGCUUUCGGCAAAGAGCUAUGCGGUUAUGGUUUUGAUGCUUCCAUCUGAUAGCGCGAGAACAUGGCAUCCACAUGAGUUGGAGCUUAUUGAGGUGGUUGCUGAUCAGGUUAUAAUCUCUCUAACCCUUACACAUUCUUAUCUUUUUCCUAUGUUUUGGACUGUCAUUGAACAGUUGAUUGGUAUGAAAUAGGUUAAAAUGUAUUGGGAACCCCCUCAACUAUAGGCCAUUGGGAAAGCUAUUCAAGUUAUUCUACAUUCCCCUUGUUGCAUUUUGACCUUUAUGUGAUCUACCAGUUUUGAGUGUCUUGUUUGUUUAUUCAGGUUGCAGUCGCGCUUUCCCAUGCGGCCAUCCUGGAAGAGUCCAUGCGGGCCCGCAAUUUGUUAAUGGACCAAAACAUUGCCCUUGAUUCAGCUCGAAGGGAAGCCGAAAUGGCUAUUCGUGCUCGGAAUGAUUUUCUAGCUGUCAUGAAUCAUGAAAUGCGGACCCCAAUGCAUGCAAUUAUAGCACUAUCCUCCCUUCUUCUGGAAACUGAACUAACUCCUGAACAGCGCCUAAUGGUGGAAACUGUCUUAAAAAGCAGCAACCUCUUAGCUGCACUCAUCAACGAUGUUUUAGAUCUUUCUAAGCUUGAAGAUGGAAGUUUUGAGUUAGAGAUUGGAGCUUUCAAUCUCCAUGCCGUGUUUAGAGAGGUUUGAGAUACUUUUCUUCAUCUUGUUGCCUAUUUUCAUACAAAUAUUCCACCUUUUUUUUUGGCUUUGUAUAAUAGCUUAUGUUGAUAUGUUCAUCUCUCGAUUCUAUUUCAUGGGAAAAUUUGUUGAUUUUUUUUUUGGUUAUUUUUAGGUCAUUAAUUUCAUAAAGCCAAUUGCAGCUGUGAAGAAACUAUCAGUAUCACUGAUGUUGACACCAGACUUGCCACUGUGUGCCAUUGGUGAUGAAAAGCGGCUCAUGCAAGCUAUUUUAAAUAUUUCUGGUAAUGCUGUUAAGUUUACAAAGGAAGGCCACAUUUCAAUUAUAGCGUCUGUUGCAAAGCCAGAAUAUUUAAGAGAGUUCAGAUCUCCAGAGUUCUAUCCAGUUGCAAGUGACAAACACUUCUAUUUGAAAGUUCAGGUACAAAUAAUGUGCUUCAGAAAAUCUAGCAACUUAAAAAUCUUUCACUUUUCCAUGAGUUGACAAGGUCAGAGCAAAAAUUUUGCUAGCUCUAACUAAUUCUAUCUGAUUUAAUAAGCAAUAUUUAUGUUUUUGAACGGCAAAAGAUUGUUUCUAAGAUCAAACAUUUACUUGUUCGUAUUGUUACUUUUAUUACUAGUUCUAAAGUGAUAUAGGAAUACUGAACCUUUGCUACUGCAGGUUAAGGAUACUGGCUGUGGAAUAAAUCCCCAGGAUAUACCCCAUAUCUUUACUAAAUUUGCACACUCCCAACAUGGAGGGAACCGAGGCUGCAGCGGCAGUGGUCUCGGGCUUGCCAUUUGUAAGAGGUAGGAUUAAAUAAUAGUAUACGUGUAUUCCCAUUUUCUCUUUGCAGUAGUCAAACUUGUUCUAAAUUGUCCAUAUAUAUGUCUCUCAAAAAUUUUGUAUUUGUCUGUAUACCCCUUAAAAGUGCAUAUUUAAGAUUGUCUUGUAAGUUAUAUAGUAUAUUAUCAUCUGAUCCACCGUUCAUGUUUGGUGUCUAAAUAUGUCCAAUUUGUCCUCAUUUUUCACCAAAAGCCCUUAAAAAAUUGAAAAUUGAUCAGUUGGUGGCAUACUUUGCAAACAUUUGGAAGGUAUGCAAACGAAGAUACGGCUAUAAUGGUCAUUUUACAAGUUUCUAUUAGAGUUUCUUACGUUCUGUGAGGCAAACGUGAGCUGAAGGUUUCAGAUAUGCACAUAAAUAUUUGCUUUUCUGAGGGAUCUAAAUUGCAAUCAACCAAUUGUUUAGUAGUUUUCCUCUGUUCAUUUUGAUACUAAUACUAAUGUAACUUCUCCAACCAGAUUCAUAAAUCUUAUGGAAGGUCACAUUUGGCUCGAAAGCGAGGGCAUGGGAAAGGGGUGUACAGCCACAUUCUUUGUGAAGCUUCAGACAUGCGAGGGCCCAAAUGGGCAUCAGCAGCAAAUCAUGCCUACAGCUUGGCCGAAUAGUGCCGACGAAGAGCUUUCCAGUCCGAAAGCCCUGUCUAAUGAGAAGCAGCUUGUUUAUUCAAAGCCCCGGUAUCAGAGGAGUAUAUAAGUGACACAGAAUAACUAAGCUUUUCCAGCAUCCAGAAGCAACCGCGAGAGAAACUAUUGGUUUCAAAGUGCUAAUGGCUUGUACUUGUGGCUUUGUAUGCUACAUUUUGUUGUACAAAUGUUGUAAAUGAAGUUGCGCAGGCCGUGUGUACUGCUGCAGUAUUCUGCUAAUAUGAAGCUCAAUAUGACUGUUUGGUUGCUUCAUUAAUCGCUGCAGACGCAUUAUGGUUUUAUCUAUUCAACUUCUUUUUGGAAAGUAAUGGCAUCAGGUUUUAUUGGUCCUUUCGUAAAAUGGUCCAGUUGUGUUCUUUUAGUUUCAUUUGCUUGUUUUUGGGAUUUUUUACUGAGGCUCGAAAAGUUCUUCCCAAAUUCCAAGAAAGAAAAUUGAUAUUGCACGCAGAACAGUACUUUCUUAGUACCCCUGAUAUAUAUAUAUAUUUUUUGAGAGAUAGGUAGCGCGCUAUCCGUUUCGUUUAUUUCAUUUAAAAAUAUACUUAGCUGGUAACGUGAAUCAACUAGGAUUCGAAAUUGGGUCUCGGGUAUCAAUCACCAAGUUUUUUGCGACUUGUUCUAGGGACGGUCGGUUAGUACCAACCACCAACUAGUACUCCUGAUAUGAUUUUUAGGUUGCUUCUAUGUAGCAUUCUUACAUACAACAGCUAAAAAGGGAAAGAAAAUGUGACUACAUGUAACAUCCUAAAUUUAUCUUCUAUCUAACUACAUUAAAGGAGGGUUUGGGGACCAAAGGGUGACACCUGUCCCCCCAAACACUCCUUUACUCUCUCUCUCUCUCUCUCUCUAUAUAUAUAUAUAUAUAAUUUUGAUAUCAAAAUUUAAAAUUUGGAUACUUUCAAAUUUUAAAUUUUUAAAUUUCAAAAUUUAUAUUUUAAAUUCUAAAUUUCAAAUUUAAAUUAUAAUAUUUAUUUUAAAAUUUUAAACUUCAAAAUUUAAAAUUUUAAAUCUCUAAACUCUAUUAAAUUAAUUAAUUAAUUUUAUUAAUAAUUCAUUAUAUAUGAUAUAAUUAAUUAAUUUUUUUAAUAAUGCGCAUAAUAAAUCGCGUAAUAAAAUCUAACCUGAUAAAUGCAAUUUAAAUCAUAUAAAAUAUCACUGUAUAAAAAAAAUACAAUAUUUAAAUUUCAGGAGUAAAAUUUUAGAAAUAUAGUGUAUUUUUGUGUAUAUAUAAUUAAUUUUAUUAAACAAUUUCUUUUACAAUUUUAUUUUCCUUCUAUUUCUUGAUUUUUUAGAUUUAUCUCAAAUUCUUUUCAUAUAAAUCUUUAUAAAAUAAAUUGUUAUAUAAAUUUACUUUGCGCAUAUACUAAUUUUAAUGACUUUUAUUUAAAUAUAUUUAACUAUUAAAUUAUUUUUUUAUAAUUUUUAUUUAAUUAAUAAUUAGAAUUAUAAAAAUAUUGACAAAGUAAAGUUUAUUAUAAAAAAAUUUUUAUAUCCGCAGCAUCGCGCGAGUAUUUCACUAGUAGUCCAAUAUCGCAUAGGCAGAUGAUUAAUAAUUGGAUUUAAAUUUUUUUAGAUUGGCUUGCUAGAUCUUGGGCUAGAAGGACUAGAAAAUGGAAUAUAAGGAUCAUGUACUCUAAUACCCAUAAUUAGGGGGUUAUGGACUGGAUUGUUACAAUAUAAGAGCAGUAAAUCUUUUUCUUUUUUAUCUUUUUUUUUUUUUUGUAUUUAGGAGCAAUAAUGCUCUUAAGCCUGAUGAAUAUAUAUUAGAUAAAUCUAACAACCAGAAUAUUUCAGCACCACAAAUAAUUUGCCUCCCUCCUAAAGUUGAUUGAAAAAAGAAGAUACAACUAAAUUUAAUAAAUGAAGAGAACAAAUCUGGAAACAUAUGAAUUAGAUGUCAUUAUUAUCUGUUUUACAUGUUGAAUGAGGAAAUCAACAUUCUAAGGAUGGGAAGGAGUCGAAAAAGAGACAUAUUGCUGAACAAUCAUCAACUGCUAUUCCCUUCCUUUUGCACUUCCAUGCGCGAAUCGCGCACUCCACCAGCCGUUUCGCCGACUUGCCUCUUUUCUUUGUCGAUGAAACAAUCCGCACAGCUUCUUGGUUCGAAAUCACAUCCCAAACCUGAGAAAAGAAAACAAAAAGGGUUAACAUAAAGUAAUAUGGUACUCUGAAUAACCAAAUUAAGUAAAGCUUAAGCUGUUAGGUAGUAGCAUCUUAAUCCUUCAUACUGCAUUUGAAUUUAGUUAGAGGUUCUUCAGUUUCGAUAGCAUGUAAAAUGACCAAUUUCUUCAAAAGCUUAAGCCAUACUAGAAUGGUUUUGUAAUACAUUAUGCUUAAUAUGUAGGGCUUCAUCAGAUCAUUUUGAUUGAGUAUAGUAAUGUUAGUAGAGGUAUGCUUUUUUUGUUUCUUAAAACUUAUUUUUUUACAUUCUCGACAUUUAAUUCUAGUUUUUUUCUAAGUGCAGAUCAAGUAAACAUAGCAAAUAAAGAAAGCAAAACGAACACCAAAUAAAGGUGUUAUCUAAGAAAAUAGUGCAUACCCCGUCCGUGGCGAGAAUGAUGAACUGAUCUCUACUAGUUAUUCUCCUCUGAGUCACUUCAGGCACAGAUAUGAGGCCAUAAUUCUUGAUGCAGUAAUCUCCGAAUGCUCUCGACAUCGCUAAUCCCGGUGCCUCCUCAUUUGGUAACCAAAUCCUAUGUACACCCGGUUCAUCAGUCAAACAAAAUAUGCGUCCGUUGCAGCGAGUUAUUCGUUCUGCUUCCUCUGUAUUUAAUUACCAAGUAGAUGUAUUAUGAAAAUUUCAAGCAAAACGAGGAUCUUGCAUAUCGAUAUACCUAUUCCUGCAUAAUCAUCUCUUCACAUACAUCACCCUAAACUUUGUACAUACACCCAAAAAAUAUUACACCCAAAAAAAUAAAAAUUCCCUUAUCUUAGUUGGAGGACCUGUAUGUACACUCAUAUUUCAUAAACAGAGAGAGAGAGAGAGAGGGAGAUGCAAAUGCAUAAUUUUAUAAGGGUAUAUUGAUGCGGACUUACGAGGUAAAUUCGGUUUAAAAUCAACGGUGAGUUGGAUGGGAACUAAACUUCCAUUGUCAGAAGUUGUAGCCAAGACCGCACGAGAAUCACCAACAUUCGCAAUUACCAUAAGAUCACCCUAAAAAAGAAGAAGAAGAAGAAGAAGAAGAAGAAGAAGAAGAAGAAGAAGCAAUGGUCAAAAACUAUCUUAAAAAACUGAAUCUUGUGAGAAUUGCAAUGGCCAACAUCACAAGUUUUUAAGUUGCAGCACUUAGAAAGAUAUGAGUUCAUUUAUGUAUAAGAUUAUCAAAAUAGUGAAUUUUGUAAUGUGAAUAGAAAAACUUUAUGCUUUUUUGGAAUAUUUACAGAUUAAAUUCCCUCAAGGAAAGGAGAAAAUGGCUUAUCGAUUUAGAAAAGCAAAGUCUUUCCCAGUUAAACCCUGCUGAUAGAAAUAGAAUGCUGUUACAUUUCUAUAAUAAGUAUCAAAAAGACUCAUAAUUUACUAACAGCCUAGAGUAUACCAGAGAGUGCUAGAAAUGCAGGAUCAAUUUAGGUAUCUAACUAAGACAUAGAAGCAAAAUCGGAUAAGUACUUGUUUGACAAUCGUCAAUGCGGUGGUGCCGCUGUGGAAGGCGUCGAGCCUGCGAUCAUGCUCGAGCUCCCCAUCGACCGUCGCAGAUGCCGCGAGAUACGACUGCUUCCAUAAGUCGAAAUGGCAGAGCUUUUUAUCAACUACUAGAGAAGCCAAGGCAAGUGCUUCUUGCCAAUUGCAAAGCAGAGACGGAGGAAGCGAUUUCCGGACCCUUUUCGCCACAUAGUGGCCCCAGGGGCCGUGACCGUCGAAAAUUCCGCAGAAGAUCAUGUCUUCUUGGCAUCCAAAUUCCUAUGAACCAAAAAGAACACACAAUUUUUCAAAAUUCAGUCGCAGUAAACAAUAAAACUAUAAAAAUAUAUACAUUUUUUUAUCUGUAACAACAACAGCUGAAGAACAAGUUUGGUUUAUAAUUUAGCUCUGCAUUGCCUAGAAGGUGCUAGAUUAUGGAUUGUUUUUAAACAAUAAAAGGAAAAAAAAAAAAAAAAAACCAAAGCUAUCAACAAGCACUACCCCAAUAUAACAUCAAAUUACUAACCCACAAACAUAAAUCCCGCAAAAUUCAUGAUAAAGAAGAAGACAUGGAACCAAGGAAAAUGGAAUUGGCUAGUUAAGUACCUCCCACACAAUAGAGCAAUCCUGGUUCGACCCCUUCUCCCCUCUCUGCGAAUACGCCGAAGCGAAACUCUUCGACCCCUCGCCCCGCACCGUCCCCGACGAUCUCAAUACCAUGUCGUUCCUCUUCGCCUCCCUCGCGAGCUCCUCCGCCGCCUCCCUCCCCCCUUCCUCCUUCCUCGUCCUCCCCUUCCCCGCGUACAAGGACUUGGCCAAUCCAUUCCACAGCGAAGAGAACUGCCGCAUUCGUGCCCUAGAUUUUAGAAUCCCACCACGAUCCAAAUCCUCAAAUGAACCCAAAUUAACUACCAACUCCUCAAUUCGCCUCUCGUUCCAUGAUCUGGGUGGUGGAAAAGAAGCGACUUUGGAUCGAAAGAAGCGAUUUGAAGAGGUUGUAGGGGAUUGGAUUGAGGAGAUGCUGUGGAUAAUUCAUGGGAGAGCUUCAAAAGAGCUUCUUUUGUUGUGUGCUAGGGAUGCUCCAUUUAUACUUGCACUCCAAUUUCAAUGGCUCCGUUCUCUGGUUUGGGGCCUUAUUCUCACCUGCGGUGACUAAACCGCGUUAUACAAACGUAGGUAGGACGGUGACUAGGGACGUCCGCAGUUCGAAUUCGGAGCGAAUUUUUUAAAAUCGAACACGAACUUGACUCCAAACUGAAAAUUUGAAUAUGAAUCUGAAGAAUUUGACGGAUUUUAAAAUGUAUAUCCAAAUUCAAAUCUGAAUCCGAACCCAAAACUAUUAUUUUUUUUUAAUAUUUCAAAAUAUAUUAUAUUAAAUUUAAAUUUUUAAAAUAUAAAUGUAAAUAUAAUAUCAAAUUUUUAUAUACAUAUUAUAUAUAAUGUAAAAUAAAUUCGGAUUCAAAUAGCGUUCAGAUCGCGUAUAGUCAAAAUUUAUAUUCGAAUCUAUAUUUGUCAAAUUUUUAUUUUUAAUAUUCAUAGUUAAAAUUAUAUUUAUUUAGCGUCGAAUAAAUCCGCUCAAUUCGAAUUUGGAUUCAAAUAAAAUUUUAAAAAUUCGUGCCCAUGGGCAUCCCUGGCGGUGACUGGAUCCGGUGGCUUUAAAUUACCGUUAUGACCCGAGACGAGGCGGGAGCAGGGAGCCAGGGAGGGGCAUUUUGGGAAAAAGGGGAAUUGAAUUGUCGUGCGCGUUGUUCGUGAGGUGGUACAUAAUUCAGGUGGGCCCCGCUCGGGGUCUCAUCAACGAUGGGAUCGUGUGAGGUAGAGAACGAGUGGGGCCCACCUCUCCUCUGACCUUACCAUUACACGUGUCGGAUGUUGGUAGGGUCAUGUGGUCAGCUCGUCAUGGCAUUUUGUGUAACACGUGUCAAAAAUCGGUGGGCCGAGAUAUUCUAGGAAGUCCCUUUGGUAGUUAGAGAUAAUAUAUUUUUUUAUACUAAUUUUUUGGUUUGUUAUUUUCAGAUGAUAUAUUUUAAUUUAAUUAAUAGUUUUUAUAUUGAUGUGUUUAUUAUCCUCCCUGAGAACCUAACUAGCUAAUUUUUUAUUGUAUUCUUGGGUGUUUGAAGUGGUUCGAGAACUUUGAUUAUUGCGUUAAUUAAUCAUCAAUAGAGUGUGAUUCAAUUUAUGUCGCAAUUAGAGUUUCUUCUUUUUCUUUAUUUUUCAUCGCAAAAUGGAUAUUAAUAAUAUGAAAAAACAUAAUUUUUUAAGGGCCGAUAGCCUCAAUUCUAAAACUUAUUCAUAUUCUUGGUGAAUGAAGCGGAUAAUAUAUCGACUUUUUUUUUUAAAAAAAAUAACAAAACAAAAUCACAAAUUUUACAAAUAAAACAUUUUAAAUGAACAAACAAAUAAAUUAAAUGGAUUUAAAAAGUUUCUUUUGUCAUGGGAUAGUAUAAAAUAGAAGUCAAACAAAAGCCAUUUCGGAGUUAAGUGGGUGUGAAGCAUGCAUGUGGAUAAUGUAAAUCUACUCUACAGUUGCGUAUAGAAAUUUCUCAAGCAGUAUGAUGUGUGAACCUUACCAAUUUUGUGUCAAUAUACAGCUUAUGAAUAUAAGUUUUUAUAUAUCUUCUUUUGACUAGCAUGUCCAAUUAACCAAUAAGUAUAAUAAACAAAAAAAUCUCCUGCAUGAAAACACCAAGAUCUGUGCUGGACGGAUUAUUAUAAAAUUUAUUUAUAAGCAUGCAUUAUCCGACAUUUUUUAUAAGUUGGAUAUAUAACUACAGCUUGUUCGCAUUAAAACAUGAUCUCUCCCUAUACUAUAAUUUGGUGAGCUUCGAAAUAUCUUUUUGCUAAACUCAAUGAAAGAAAAAGAUACCGACCGUCCCUAGAGCAAGUGGUAAAGGACUUGGUGGUUGGUACCGAGACCCAAGUUCAAAUCCUAAUUGAUUCAUAUUUCUAGCUAAAUUUAUUUCUAAAUGAAAUAAAUGAAACGAAUAGUGUGCUACCUAUCUCUCAAAAAAAGAAAAAAAAAAUCCUUAUGCACAGUAUAUUUGCUUUAUGAAACAGUACAUUUUUUUCCUCCAAAAAUAAAACACUUUUUCAACAAAAAAAAAAAGGAAAAAAAAAGUAAAUUGCUCUUCCUAACCUUUUCUUGAAUCUUUAUGCUCUUAUUGAAAAUUUUAACAAAAUACCCCAUCUUUUUUUUUUAAAUUCCCUCUCAUGUUACAACAUUAGCCUACUUGUUUAUGUUUAUGUUAUUUUGAGUUGAAACCUUAAAUUUCCUUUUCUAUGUACAGGAGACUUUGUACAAGGGAACUGCACUCCAGCUAUUCAAUUUAGGUCCAAAAUGGCAACAAGGUAAUAAGUGAGCCAAAAUAGUAAAAUAUAAAAUUAAGUAGAUUUUGUCCAAAUACAUAUAUAAUGCCUUUUCUCUAGCCAUACAUAUAUAUAUAUAUAUAUAUAAUGUCCUGGUCACAUAUUUGACAAAAUGGGUCACCAAUUUUUCAACAUACAAAGAAAAAAAAAUAAGUAAAUAAAUGUAACUACAAAGACCACCAACACCAAAAACAAGAAAAACUCAUGGCUAAGAAAGAAUGGCCGGUUUCUAACACCCUGCAAAGCUGAACCACCACCCAAUGGGAAAUAAUUCCAAUUAAAGACGUGGUUGAUGAGUGACCCACAAAGAUCUCUCAUUCUCAAUUUGACCCAUCACAACAAGUUUGUGUGUGAAUAUAAGGUUGCAUUUGUGUGGGGCCACAAUGUAUGAGUCCCCCCAAAUGGUAUAAUGCUCCACUGGUAUACUAAAGUUGAACUUAGUGGGAUUCCACCAUCACACAAUAUCCAUCCACUAAGAAAAGCUUAAUUCAAUCAAGGUUUUGCUUUCUGAUGCCAUUAUCUUAUGUUUAAAAAUAAGAGAGAGAGAGAGAGAGAUUAUUGCUCGGGCGACAAUCACCAUGUCAUUCAUACACCGCAGCCGUUAGAAGCGUAAAGUUUUAUUUGCUGGUAUUUGGUGGAAGAGAAAAGAAUAUAAAAUUUCAAAAACAUCAUAUCUAGUGAUAUAUGAUGACUUUUUAAGGGCUGAAGUGAGACGAUGACUUGUGGGUCGAAAUAGAGAGAGAUUGUUCCAAGGAGUUGGGCCAUCGCGCCACGGGGGAAACGCAACCAAACACUGUCACUUAGGAUACUAGUUCAUCAACCAUAUUUUUCUUUGGCAAUUUCUUAUGCUGGAAAUCACUGUAGUCCCUAAUUGGAAUCAAAUGUGGAUACACUGUAACUAUAGUCCAUGGAUGACAUAGUGGUCCAGGUCCAGGUUCAUGCAAUAAGGGUGGCGGGGGCCUGGGGGGGGUUCAGAGUUAUUUGCAAAGCAAACAACAAGAGGCAACAGGAAUGAAGAGGUAAGUGAAUUGGAUGUGGCACAAUUCAGAGGACAGAGUCUCACAUGGCUGACAUGUCAAAGAGAAAGGGACAAAGAGAUGACUAAGGCUUACCUUAAAGGGAGGCAAGGUGUGAGGAUGGUGAUGCAGCUUCAAUCAGUUGCUUGAUGAGGAAUCCUAAAAAGUGAUUAAGACAGACAGAUCAAAGAGCAAAUGUCAGCAUUACAAGAUAUAAACGAAAAUACGAAACAAUAAUUAACAUUUUGCUUAAGGAAAAUGACAGCCUAAGCAAUCAAUAAUUUGGAUGGUCUUAAACCAUCCAAGAUGCCGUGAGCCACAAUCUCAUGCUUACGGUCGUCAUCCGUGAAAGAGAUAGCCGCAUAAGUAUGAUGUUAGUGUUAGUAGCAAACAAAUGUUUAUAAUAAAAAGUUUGAAAUUUUUGCAGUGAUGGAAAGCUGAAAUAAGCUUUUAGGACCCAAAUUUAAAAGUUUUGAACCAUUUGGUUCCUUUUAGCCUAGAAGCUUUUGAACUACAGGGCUUCUUCAAACAACUUUACUCCAGCAAUGCAUCAGCAAUCAAACAAGUUAAGUCUCAUUUGUUACCCGUGCAUAGUAUUUGAUCCCCAUCAUGUACAUGGACAGAGGUGUAAAAAGAUGAUAUAUGAAUGGUUUCUUAACAAAUCAAUCUUUUGGCGUAAGAAGCAAGAUUCAUCAACUACUAAACAAAAAGAUCACUUUUGUUAGCUGUGCACAUUAGUCAACAAAAUACUGAAAAUGUCAUAAUUAAGGAAGAUAGCUGUUCAAAUCAGAGCAUGAAUCAAAGUACUAAUUGUGACCGAGUGAAAAGCCUAGCCUAACUGGUGAUGGCAAAUACCGCUUUCACAUUAAUUGAUACCACUAACUUGUGAUGGCAAAUUGAUACCACUAACUUGUGAUGGCAAACACCGCAUUCACAUUAAUUGAUACCACUAAAUGAUACCACCAAUUCAAAACAGGACAUCAAGUUCUUGUUGAAUUCGAGAAUUCAGCUUCGAAUUGUCGACGGAGUUGUAGAGAUUGGUAGUAGAGAUUGAGGUCGAUCCCGUCUACAUUCCUCCCCACCCGUGCUUGCAAGAUUGCCUGAAACAGAACCAAACAAAGGAAAGCAUAAGAGGCUCUCUAAUGUUUAAUAAAUUGCAAGAUGAGUCCCUGGCCUUUUAAAAAUUUUCAAUUUGGCCCUCAACAACUUGAUUUUUGUAAUUGUCCUUAACUCAACACUGUUGCAAUCGUAGUCCCUCAGUGAAUUGUUCAAAAUUGACAAAAAUGUUCACAAUACAUGGUACAAAACCACCAUCUAACCAGUAUCCAUUCUAACCCACAAAACAAGUAGCCCAACAAGUUGUUAUACGGCAAUUAGGUGGUCAUCGCUGUCCUUUUGGACAGAGAAAUUCAAAAGGACUGGGAUUUUAACGGGAUAUCAAGACUAGGGACCCAUUUGCAAAAGUGAGAAGGUACCUAAAGACUAAACUGAAACCUCACUUAAAUGUAGAAAGGUAUUUUGAAGACCUAAGCAAAACUUCGCUUCAAAGUAGAGGACUUUAGGCACGUGCAAAACCCCAAGCGUGCGCAAAAUUAGAAAAGAUAGAUAGAAAGGUAAAUUGAUCGGUGAGGUUGUACAUCAUCAUCUGAUUGAAUGAGGAGUUCACCAAUGAACUGGUAGAUGGAGCCAAUUCGGAAAACAACGUCCCUCAAGUGUCGGGUAUCAAUCUUGAGGCUCGCGCCGCUGUCGGAAAUAACAGCAACGGCAGUCUCCACACUAUACUCCUGAAGCCUGAUAAUCACAAGUAAACAACUUAACCUAUUUCAGAUGAUAUAAAAUCGUCGUCAGUUUUGACAGAAUGGUCUAAUAUCACCCAAAAAUUGUUACAUAAACCACUUAACCUACUUCAGUUAUGAAGUACCAGCAUGGUCCACAUUAUAAUAGAUAAACAUAUCAAGUAUAGUACGAAAAGAAUAGUUUCUUAAAAAGUAAUGACACAUAGAUUUACCAAAUAUGUAAAUAUGAUUCAUACUUUCAAGUUUCAGCUAAGAGUAGAUAAUGAUAAUAAAUUUAUAUGUGGUGUCUUAAAAGAUCAAAAUUCCUAACUGGAAUCCUCAAGGCCUCCAGAUUUUGUCUCUCCGAUGCGAUACAAAAAGGAAAAUUUGACACAAACUAUAUCAAUCAUAAAAGUAACUUACUUUCCGGUAACUCGAAGAGAUGCACCUUGCUUAAACAUAGGAGAGGAAGGCUCUAACUCUUGCAAAGUGACAAGCGUGCCCGGUUUUAUAGCAGACGAGGCCAUCAAAUCACCAAGCUUAUAAUGUUCGCCAACAGAAUACGAAAGACCUAAUCACAAAUGGCCAAAUCAAUUAUGGACAUAUCAACACAUUUAAAUAUAGAAUCUAAAAAUACCACAGAAUUAAUGCUAUAAAGCAGAGCAUAACGUUCAACAGCAACAUAAUAUAUCAACUGAUAUUGAACUUAUCUGAAUUGAUGCAUCUGAAUACCGAACAUCGGUUAACAUUUGCGCACCGGUUGAACGAAUAAUCUAUUAAGUUUCGAUGCAUGAAAUCGAAAUAAUAAAUAUCCGAAGCUUAUUUAGAGAGUUACAACAAAGUGCGAACAUAACUACUGUUUAACAAGAAUAAGAAGCAUUAACUCAACACAUUAUUGAGCACCACUAACAUGAUUAACACUCUGUUUGGAAUCAAACCUGCAUAGAGUUCAACUGCAUUCAACUAGAAACGAGGAUCUCUUCUUGGAAUGAGUAGAGAAAUCAUUCGAUGCUUCGGAAUCGAUGGAAAUUUCAUCAAUUUUAAUAGUUCCAAAAAAUGGACUUUUUAAUUCCUCAGUAUCAUAACACAAAUAAGGAUUCAAUUCGACAUCGACAAAUAAAUCGGCAAAAUUAAACUCUAAAAUGGAGACUUUUCCCCAGAAGCAUAUUGCCGAACACUUGGUGGGCGAAAGGUAGAGAGGGGGAAGAGACCGUGCGAAUCGCAGAUUGUUGAAGUGGGACGGGGCCGGGCUUCUUAAUGGGCCUUAGAAGAGAGAGAGAGAGAGAGGGGAGAGGCUCGGCCCAAGACGGAGAGCCACGUGGCGGUGGGGCGGUGAGCGAGGGGAGAGGAGGCCGACGACGACCGGGAAAUAUAAAUACACCGGGAACGAGACUGAAAGACCAGGUCGCUCCACGUGCAAUUCCGGACUUUUUUCGGAAAUAACUCUGUGAAAUUUUGUAUUUGCCAAACUAAUCCUGUGAAAUUUUUAUUUGUGAAACUAACUCUCCUCUCGCCACGUGGGCGCGACGUCAGAGAUUCCUAAAAAAGACGGUGAAUCGUUCACCGUCUUUGAUAUUUAUUAUGAAGGCGGUGAAUGGUUCACCGUCUUCAUAAGACGGUGAACCAUUUACCGUCUUUAGUACAAAUUUCUACUCUGCGCAAAUUUUUUCAAGUCCAUAAUAUGAUGUCCUUGAUAAGACGGUGAAUCGUUCCCCGUCUUCUCGAGGGCACAGAAACAGCGGACUUGAGAGGGCGGAAAGGGGAAAGGGCGGAAAGGAAAAUUUUGCACUAAAGGCGGUGAAUAGUUCACCGUCUUCUAAAGGCAGUGAACCAUUCACCGCUUUUAUAACAAAAAUUACAAAGAGAGUGAAUGAUUCACCGUCUUUUUGAGAAAUUCCUGACGUGGCGCCCACGUGGCGAAAGGAAGGUUAGUUUUACAAAUAAAAAUUUUACAGGGUCAGUCUGGCAAAUACGAAAUUUUACAGGGUUAUUUUCGAAAAAAAUCCUGCAAUUCCCGUGACCUGAUGGAUACGGAGAAUAUUAGUAUGUUAUGAUGAUUUAGCCUAAACAGGUUUGAAUUAAAAAGAGGUUUAAGUUGCUUAAUCCGAUUAUUCAAAUUGCUUCGUCCGCAACAACCAGUUUGAUGUUAAAUUCAAAUUAUUUAUUUGUAAACAAACAAAUAUAUAAAUAUUUGUAUAAUUAUAUGCAAAGUGCUGAAACAAGUUUGCAUACCCUUAUUGGAGUGACCCUGGUGAAUUGGUUACAAAGAAGCUGGUGUAGAGUGACCCUCGCCAUUUUCAACAAAGAAAACUCAAAAUCCAUAAUCACUUGUCCCUCAAAAAAAAAAAAAACACUUAAAUAGGGAAAAACUCUCUCAGUAACAUGGAACCCAAGUUACCAUACUAUACUAUCUAACAUUAUCAGACGUAUACUAUAGAACAUAAGAUUCAGGAAUAAAAUGAUGCACCAGCUAAUGACAUUCUUACAGAAAAAAUGAAUUAAUUUCCAUUAUGGCCUAAUUUUGACAAGCAAAUAAGCUGUAUUUGCUAUAUCUGCUUUGUUACGCUUCUCAUUCCUGCAAGGCCUAAUACUUUUCUUUUCUGUUUCUCUGCCAUACUCGAAUCGAAGGUGUGUGUGUAUAUAUACAAGUUGAAUGACCCCUGCAAUAUAAACAAUUUAGAAUAAAAAAUAUACAUAUACAGUUCAAAGAAUCGAGUAAACAAAGAUUGUCGUGCCAAUGGGCGCAGCAGGCACGUUGGUUCGUGCUCUCCAACCGUCUUGCAUGCUGAUGAGUGGUGCAUGAAAGGAACUCUGUACAGGGGGCGUGUGGCGUGCGCCGACUUUGAUGCAUGCCGAUGGUUUGCUGAUACAUGGAGAGGGAUUCUGUACAAUGGUUAUGCCGACUGUGCUGUGUUGAUGGCUAGUGGUACAUGAAUGGGUGAUCCAUAAAGGUGGGCAGUCGAUCGUAUCGUGCCAAAUUGUCAACAAGGCACAAGCCACAGCAUGUACACUGCCGAUAGCAAAUCGAGAUGGGGGGCAUAGGAAUGCCCACAAGGCUACACCUAAUAAAAAACUUGAGGAGCCACGUAGAACUCGCUUUCGAUGAUUAACGGUCUCAAAUCCUCCUGGCACAUGAAGUCCAAAGGAAAGGAAACAACAUGGCCCUUAAUUGAAUUUAGUUUCUCCAUGACAACAUCUGUAAGUGUGUUAUCCUCGAUCUGAUUAGAUUGGAUCUUCUCAGGAGCAAUCCCUAAGUCGAUGGUCGUGUGGCCGACUUUUUCUUUCAAAAGGGCAGCACUUUGUCGAAAGGCAUGUCUGCAUAUUUCCAACAUUUUUAAGAAGAUUAUUUCUUACAUAAAAGUACAACGCAAGUUGAAAAUUAAAAUUCGAGAUAAUAUGGUACCUGGAAUGGGUAAGAUCAUUGGGUACACAGGAAAAUACUUCCUGAUAGAUUGCGGUAUUCAUCUGUCCAAAGAAUAGAGGUAAUAAAAUAUUUUAGAAACAAACAAAAGAAAAAAAAAAUUGAACACGAAACUAAGACGGUAGCAUAGAUGUUUCCAUAAUAUUCUAUGCCAAAUUAACAAUAAAAGCACAAUAGUCAGUCUUCAAGUGCAAAUAGGAAUCAUCAUGAAAAUAAGAAACAACGGCUAAGAAAAUAUGUCGAAAUAAUCAAUUAAUUCCAACUGAAUCACUAAAAUUGACUAAGAAACUGAUAACACAGAUAUACAAAUGGGCACUUUCUAAAAUGGUAAUGCUAGAUGGUGAAAUAUAGACGCACAAGUAAACAGUGAAGCAGGCCAGAAACCAAACACAGAAAAAAAGAAACAACGGCUAGUGUUCACAUUCCUCUCACCUUAGCCGCAGUCAUCCAAAUGUCCUUGUACGUUGCAUCUUGAAUAGGAUCGAUGAUCCGAUUAAUCUGCAAUUGUAAAAGAAAUUAUCAACUAAGCGAAAGAAUUAUCUAAACCAUUGGAGCUCAACUCAUUUUCUUAUCAAGAAUGGAACAACAAACAGCGCUGACAUCUCUUCUGUUCUUGAACAAGAAAAAAGGGACAAAUAAUAUUCUAACAUCCAUGCAAAAAAGGCAUUAAUACUUUUCUCAUGUUUACAUUUAAAAAACAAAUAAGUGCAAAGUGAUAAAUAGUUUAGGGAGGAACAAGAUCAAAUUCUUUAGCACUCAAUUUCAGGACCGGUGUGCAAAAGAAACAACAUGAAUACUGGAUAAGACAUGAUAUUCAAUGCAAAUACCAUAACGUUGUCAUUCACUACUUGAAAAGCACUUUUUACUUGAAUCUAUCAGAUGAAUUUGAAUACGAACCUCUCCUGGUUGAAGACCUAAGUGCUCAGACCACAGAGAAAGCCGAAGGGUAAGAGAAAACCUUCCAGCUUUCCAAGGCUUUCCAUUCAUAUGCGAGGAGACAAACUCUUUGUCCUCAAUAACUACACCAAUCUGAGCAAGAAAUAACAAAUAAAAAAGAUGAAAUUGUUCGAGCACCAAAACAUACAUCACAUGGUUAUAUGAGGUACAUGUUUAAUUGUCAACCAACUUUUUGUUACGAAUGCUAUAUUCUAUAUACAAGAACAUACCUCAGAGUCCCUUGAUCCAAGCAAGCUUCUGUCAUUUAUAUUUGCUGAUCCCAUCAAUGUUAUACGAUCAUCAAUUAUCAUCAACUUGCUGUGAACAUAUACCUGAAGACAUAAUAGUCGGUUAAAAAAAUGAUGACUGAAUGAUUUAUUAUCUAAAAACAUUGUUAUUUUCCAUAUCAAGCGAGUCCAUAAGUCACCAAUUUGGAAAUCAGAAAAGAGAGGCUAGCUCAAGUUUUCUUCUUAGUUAGUGGGGUUUGAGAAGGCAAAGGAUGAUCAAGGACAAAAACAUAACACCUCCUCUAGAUAAUUUUAUCAACCUUUUAAGUGGCAACUGCUAAUGAAUGAUAGCUUGUCUAAUAGCUCGUGGAUCCACGUGUAGUCCAAUAUUGAAGAGUGAGAAUAUUUACAUAUAUAUCUUUGAAUACUUAUUUAUGUACAUAUAUAACCAUGCAAAAUGUGGAAUCUUCAUAUUUGACCUGCAACAACAAAUCUGCCAUCCUCAUUAGUAAACUUUUUCUAAAAAAAGCCAACAAAUCCCUGUAUUGGAUGAAUACCGACUUCGAAAAAAGUAAGUUUCUAAAGAUCACACUUUCAGGGGUAUGUAGAAAAUAAAGCCAAUUUAAACUUUGACAAUAACUAAUAGAAUUAUAGAACAGACAAGGCAAGUUAUGACCAUAAGUGAAUGAGUAGACAAGGCAAGUUUUUUAUUCUUUCAUAAGAAAUCAAUUUAUGUUUCUCUUCUUCGAAGUCAACAGGAAGAUUGAAGGAUAAAUAAUAACUCAACAGAGAAGGGACUUCACCUGAUUGGUAACCAAAGGACCUCCAUCACAAAGUCUACCAUAUGUUCUGAGUCCAUAAAAGGAUAUAUAAUCAUGCGCUCUAGGGCCCACUCUCUCAUAAAGAUUCUGCAUUAUAGAAUUCGGCCCCCUAGAAAUGGUUCGGUAUUGCCAGUGCAUUAUUGCCCUCACAGAUGCAGCACCGCCAUCAUCAAUACCUCCCUGUAUUAAAAAAAAUGUCAAGAGCUGAGAUUUAGAAAAAGUAGUAAUUAUCAUGGACACCUCAAAAACAUUACAUUAUGCGCGUACCCCUCAAAAAGUUUAAAAAUAUCAUAUAUGCCCUAAAAUGAUAAGAUUAUUCUCCAUUUUUAGAGGACAUUUGUGAAUAUAACAAAUAAAAAGUGAAUUUUCAGGACCACUAACCAUAAUUUCAAGAGCAUACUUGAGUAUUUUUUAUAUAUAUAAGGGCAUUUAUUAUUCUUCUUUUGGAGGGCAUAUAUGAAACUCCGUGUAUUUGGGGGUUAUUGUAGUUUUGCUCAUAAACAAAGUACUACACUGUAUAAGGAAUGAAACCUGAAAUCCAGGUAAAAGGGGUAUCACUAUUAUGAUCCUGAAGCACUUCUUUUCUUUUUCUGCUCGCAAAAUGCGCUUGUGUAGUGCUUCUAAAACACGGUUUUUUAUUGUAUCAUCCCCUGAAAGACCCGAUAUGAAAAAUUGAUUCUGGAAAUAAGACAGUGAGAAAAGAGAUAGUCAGCUAAUUUAUAGCGUCAGAUAUUUAUGAACCCCAUUUCUAUAUGAUAAAAAAUACUUUUUGUUAUUUCUACACAAUUAAUUCACACAGCAGGAGAGAGAGAGAGAGAGAGGCUGGCUAGCAUACUGCACAUUUGAUAAUAAAGAGAUCGAUUGAUUUUUCUUGUCUCAAUAUCUUAACAAGUAAGAAAAGAUGGCAAAAAUUCUGAGCCAGUACGACUGACCUAGUCUACAUCAAAGCAGGUGAAUAACUAUAUUAACUGCAAUUAUAAGCAAUUGCAUGUCAGUAGAAGCAAAUACGCCGAAACUUGCAAUGUCCAACAAAAUGCCUAAUGCGAACAAUACCUAUAAUUUAUAUAUUUGCUACUACACAAUCUUGUAUCAUUAACAAUUAUGGAAGUGUCUAGUGUAAAUCAACUUUAGACUCGCAUUAAAACUUUUUCCCACUCCAGAUCACUCUAACAAAUUUAUUUGUACUAAAAAUCAUAUACAACUUUUGCCAGUGGAGGAAGUAUAAAAAAUUAAUAGUACGAGCGUUUGGAUGAUUUUUGUUCAAUAAAAACUAAAUUGGAUUGAUAGUCCAUUAUCCAUACAGUGAAAAAAGUAAAGUGAUACCUUCAUAUAUCAACAUUUGUGGAAAAGAUGCAUCAAUAAAAAGGAUUCUCACCUCAAUAUAUACAAAAUACUCUGAUCUCUCGAUCAAGGAUGUAUAGGCAUUGUGAAUGCUCUGUUCAGUUUGACUAGUUCCAGCUGACCAUUGACCAACACUCCUAAUGACCUACAAUAGAGGUGAAUCAGCAUAGAUACUAUUUUCAAUGUAAAUACAAUGCUGAAAAGUAAUCACCUGGCAUUAGAUGUCCCAUAGUCACCAAUAGUCAGAAAGAACUAUACUAUAUAUUAUAGUCAAUUCUAAAUCUCUCAUGGGGAAAAACAAACAAAUUGUUGUACUACCAUAAUGGAAAGGGAUUAAAAAUAAAAAAAAAGGUUACAUAUUGGCCCUUAAGUUUUCGAUUUCACCCAGAGAGUUUCAACAAUAACAAUUUGGUCCUUGAAUUUUAUGCUCUGCAAUAUGUAAGUCCUUUAGUCUAUUAUCAAAGGUCUCACAUAAACAUCAUUAUCAGACUUUUCUUAUCUUAAAACUCUUUGAAUAAAAUUGAAACUGAGAUCAAACAUCAGGGACAAUUGAAAUCAAAGUCAAAUUUCAGGAUUAAAAUAGAAUCUCAAAAGAUUAAAUGAAGACAAAACUUAAGACCAAAUUGUUAUGGCAAAACCUAUAAGAACGAAUUUGAAACCCACGCCAAACUUCAGGGACUAAAAUUGUACCUUAACUCAAAAAAGAGUACACUAACCUGACAAUGACAUGGUGUCCUUGGACCAACUUGUCCAAUUUCGUCAAUAGAGAUACGACUGCUUCGCUGUUGUGCCUCCCACCAGUCCUUAUUUGCUUUCUGCAUACUUGGUUUUGAGGUCACAUCAAAAAGUGCUUCCCUCGAAAGCUGUGGCAAACCAGGAUCAUCCACAAAAGCUUUUAACUGCAAAGCAGGAGCUGAGUGCUCAACUUUUACUUUUCGAAAAGAUAAAGGCUCUACAUUUCCUCUGGCCAGUUUCAUUUUAUCUGGCUCUUGAGGCAAUAGCAACGGAAUGUCUUGGCACAAAGAGCGGGAGCAAAAGGAAUUGAAUUUUUUGAUAUCUUUCUCGUCAACAACAGUUUGUUGCUCUUUUUGUCCAUUCAUUUCUUCACUUCUACCCAUGUAGUGCGGAAUAACCAUGUGCUGAUGAGGCAUCAAUAAAGGAAUUGCUUGUUGGUUUAGGGCUUUAAUUCUCUGACCAAUGAUAAAAAGUCAAAAGAUUUUUACAAGGCUCUAGAUGCAAAUGAAAAAAAAAACAAAACAAAACAAAAUCUAGAGAAAUAAGAGUACGAAACGUAAAUUAACCUUUGCAUAAUUCCAGCGCUGAACAAAAUGCCUUGCUGCAUCACAACAAGGCGGUCCCCACAAAGCGCAGUGGACGUCAUGCCAGGGCAUGCGAGGAUAUUUUGCACGAUCCAGCUCAUCUUUCAUCGUAUCUUCCCAAGAAUUUGGCUCGGAUUCCCUGACAUCAUGAAGGUCAAACUAAGAUCAAUUAUAUAAUUUUUCAAAAUUGAAAUUCAGAACAAUUUUGGAUGAUUUCAAUUUAUUGAAAUUACCUAGGGUUGUAGUAAUCCUUUCCGGGCCAAAUCAGGGGAGGUAAGUCCCCGACUUUGUGUUCCGGGUUGUCAUAACGACCAAAACACAAAUCAAGUCCUCCAAUAAAGCAUACUUGGUUAUCAACAAUCACAAUCUUUUCAUGGUGGGACCUUCAUUUAGCCCGAAAUAAAAAAAUCCAUCAUAACUAAAUCAAAACUUAUAGGGCAUAGGAAUCAAGAAGAGAAUAUAAACUCAGUAGAAUUUCUGUCAUACCAUAGAUAUACGCCUGUUGAGAAAUGAUCUGGAUAACGAAGGACUUUCACAUUGUCAUGAAUGCCAAGUAGCCUACUCUUACUGUAUGCACUGUUAAUUUUCAACGCGAUGGCAACCUCCUUGUAAAGAAGGACGUAAAUCUGCACAAAAUGAGACAGAUCACAAUUGCAAACUAAAGAGCAAUAAACCGAUCAUCUAAUUGGCCCUGAAUCUGUGGAAGUAUUUUUGCUGUUAUGACAACUUCCUAGAUUUAAAAGAUUCGUAAAGCAAAGAAAAAAAGCGAGAACAAUGAACAGAGAAGACAAACACAAUGAUUUAUGUGAUUCAGCCAUUAGCCUAAAUCCACAGGAUGAGAGGAGCAAAAAUAUUGUUAUCGAAGAUAUAUAAGGCGGCCAACAUUGUCUUUCUCUAGAAAACACUAAUCCUAAUACACCCAAAUCUCAAAGCUCACAAACGGUGAUCAUUAGGGAAAAAAGAACAACCCUAACAUCCAGAAAUAUAUUCAGGUUACUAAUCUAACUAAUCCGUAUAAAAAUACGAACAACUGAAGAAGUGCUUCUCCCUGCACUCCACUAACCUCCAGAAAUUUCCAGAUUGUAUCUACCCCAAAAAUAAGCUGUACUGGUUAAUAAUCAUAUUAGCUCCAAGAAUUCAAGAAAAAUAUAACACUUGCAUUCCUUAUGGAUGAAAGUGAUUAAUAAUGGGAGCAGUUCUAUGAAGAUUCUGGAGAAUGUGGGUCUUUGCAAAACUUACCACAAUAUAUCGUUGCAUAGUUACCAAAAAAAUCCUGGAAAUUAGCAGACUUGUGGCAGCAAGGACUCGGAAGAAAUAAAUCAAAGAUCAACCUAAUAAGUAACUAUAUAAUACAAUAACUGCAGAAAACAAUGAGCAGGAAGUACCUGUACACCCUGCUUAGCUCUUGCCUCCAACAGAGCAUCAAGCCUAGAGGAGCUGUGCGCAUCAAAAGGGCGUCGGAGAUACAAUUCCGGGCAUAACCACCAACCAGUGAUGAAUAUCUGUUUUCAACAUUUAACCAUCUUAGACUUCUGUGGCUUGAUUAAAUGUAAAUUGCACCUGAGGUUCCCCAACCUUCUAGGUGGUUUUAGUUGGACUCCUACCUUUAAAUUGUUAGUCAGGUCCAUAGUCUUUGCAUAUUACUCAUUUAAGUUCAAUUGAGAUGCAACAUAACAAUCAUGUGACGACCCACCAAAGUCGCUUGCAUGGAAACUACAUGAAUUUGCAUAAUACUUCUGGCCAAUUCAGUGGAGGAAUUAAACAGCAAGGGUAUGAUUAAAAUGAACUGCAAAGGUUACGGACCUAAUUGUAGCAACUGAAAAUUUUGAAUACAUGCUCAUGUAGUAGCCAUAUGAGACAUCCAAAAGCCUACAUGGCAAAAAAAGAACAAUUACAUGGUUGUUUACGUCCAAUUUGAUCAAGAUUUAAUAAAGAGCCUCAGGUUCCAAUGUAAUGUAAAAGUCAAGGACCUAAUUAUAGCAACUGAAAUGUUGGAACAAAAAUGAAACAAUGCUAAAAGGUUGAGGAGAUUUCUGGCGAUUUACUCUUUUAAGAUUAAACUAAGUUAAACAAGAUUUUGCACAGAGAAAAAAGACCUCAGAUUUGGCUUCCUCAAUUGCAGAAGCAAUUGCUUCAAAUGCAGCUUCCCCGUCAAUGAACCACUGAACCAUACUUCCAUCUUCGGUCAAACCACGAGGUGGUGCAAAAGAGCUGAAACGGUGAGGGUAACACCAGCCCUCUGGACGCCGUAAGGCUGCAUCAUUUAUUGCAGUGACCCAAUCUUUAACUUUGUCGUUGCAUGUCGACCUUAAUUUUAUUGUCCGGCUCCCACAAGUUACCUUCAUGAUGAAUAAUGGUAACAGAUUGAUUUAUAAAAUGUAUGCGAAGUUGUGGGACUGUCCAAGAUUGCAACUUAGUUCCUGAACUUUUCACUUAAACACUUUAGUUUCUGAGUUUUUCUAUAUAUUGCCAUUUCAUCCCGAACCGUAUAAAAAGAAAAUCUAUGAAAUCCUGUAAAAUGACAAUUUUACCACUUCUGUAAAACAACCUUCUUGUUUCAGUUUAUACAAAGUAGGGUUAAAAAGGUAAUUUCAUAGGAAAAAGUCACGUGUUCUCAGAUUUCCCCACCCGCGAAGGCGCAAUAAAAUCACAAUAUAUGAGAAACAUCAGGGACCAAAAUGUCUAAGAUGUUCAGGAACUACGUCGCAGUAUUCAAGUUACACAAGGAUAUCCAUACAUCUCACCCUUUAUUUUCCAACAAGAUCAUGAUCAUUACAAUCAAAAGAAUAAAAUUUACUAACUUUUCAUAAGAAAACCAGAAAGGCCCAUUGUGUUAUCUAGACUACAAGUUUACAAUGAAAUUGAAAACAAGGUGUUCAGGACUAAAAUGUCUAAGUAAGAUGUUCAGGAACUAGGUCGCAGUAUUCAAAUUACACAAGGAUAUCCAUACAUCUUACCCUUUAUUUUCCAACGAGAUCAUGAUCAUUACAAUCAAAAGAAUAAAAUCUACUAACUUUUCAUAGGAAAACCAUAAAGGCCCAUUGUGCUAUCUAGACUACAAGUUUACAAUGAAAUUGAAAACAAGAAGAACAAAGGAAUAUAAAUAUAUGGUAAGCUAUGUCACUAUGUGCUUAGGACUUAGGAGAGGAAAGAGAUUUUAAGAAGUACCUGGAACCCAUAGCGCAGAGGAUUGCGUUGCUUGAUUUCUUUUGCUAGGAGAGUACGAGUUUCCUCCUUUCCAUUUGAUGGUGGCAGUGCAUCAAAAACAAUUAUAUCUAAAAGCUUGGUAUCGUAAGGAUCAUGCAGUAAAGCCAAGAACCCCGGCUUCAAUACAGCCCAAACCUGUUAAAAGAGUAGGCAAUUAACCCAUCAUUUUAAUCAGAGUAGCAUCAAAACUGAGGACAACAUAAUUAGAGUAUCCAGUGUUACUUGCAACACUAAGAUGUGCUUGCAUAAAGUAAACCAUUUUGCAAUUCAUUAAAAUUAAGCAAUCAUAUAUAUAAAUGUGUGUAUUCAUGUGUAACAAAAAAAAGAAAGAAAAAUCACAGUUCGAUUGAUACAGCUGAGUAAGCAGCAUUCAUGUUAUUCUGGAUUCUUACGACUGUCAAAAAUUUUACCUUACGACUGUCAAAAAUUUUACCUUUCGCCAGCUGCUGUGGCAACAGCUAAACCAACCACAUGAGCAACAUCUUUCAUCAUCAUCAUCAUCAUCAUCAUCAUCAUGGCGAAUAUUUCGCAAAUGCCUCACUGUAACAUAAUCUUCUUUUAGCUUAGGUCCAUACUCCGGUAAAAAGGAUAGCCGUGAGACCUCCAAGAACUUGCAGACCUGCAGCUUACAAAGGUCCAUUAAUAAGAAGGACAUAAGAAACUGUGUGACAUGUUCUAAUGGAUUUCUCAUAAUGCUUAUAAAGAAAAAAUACAGGCUUUUUUCAUCUAUAUCCUUGCAAAAUCCUUUAUUUUAUAUGUACAUCCUCUCUAAAAUUUAAGUUUCCACUAAUAACCAUUGAAAGUGGAGUUCUUACAAAACACCCUUAUCUCAAGCCAAGAAUUAACAAAUUCAUGGGGGAAAGUAGGUUUGGCAUUAGAGAAGGUUUUCUAAAGAGGGGCUUUUUUUCUAAAUACAAUGCAUAUUUGUAGAAAGUUAAAUUUAUAAAGGGCAUAUAUCAUCAUUCAUAUUUUGCAGAGACAUAUAUGGAUACAUCUCAAGAUACUUUAUUUUGAAGAGAAGCUACUCUUACCUCCCGAGAGUUUACAAUAUCCAAGUUCCCCAGAAAGUGAUCUAAAUAGCCUUGCAUAGCAUUCCUUGCCCUGUCAGAAACUGAUUGCUGCCUUGCGAGUGCUUGCUUGAUGACAGGCAAUGCAGCACUAGAAGGAACAUUUCUGCAGCAAAAAGUGAAAUACUCGAUUUAGAGAAGAGAACAAAUCUCUGAUGGAAAUUGCAUUGUGGUAAAGAGAAUUUCACUGGACAUUUAUAUGAUCGGAAUCAGCAUUUCUAACAUUGGAAUAUAAGAGUGAAACAAGCAAAGGGAAAAAAAAAAACAAUGUCUCGAUUUUAAAAGUUGAUCAAAAAGACGGAAAGAGGGAAAGUUAUAUUUAUGAUUCCCACUACAAGAUUUAAUUUAUCAUAUACAUGACAAAUUCAGUGGAAUUGGAUUCUUCGACUACCUUUUAUAGUGAACAAGAAAACUGGCAACAUAACUCUCUAGUCAAACAAAGCAAAAUUUGUAUUGUUCAAGACUAUUAUGAGCAAAAUGGAAUUUAUCUAUAUACGAGCAACAACUUGUCAAAAUUUGAUCCACAUGUUGUAUAUAUAUAUCAGCCAUUAUUUCAUUCCUCCGAAAUUGGAAAAGUGUUCUACAUACUAUGAUCUGUUCUAUUUGACGACCUACCAUUUAGAAAACCGAUCACAAUCAUGAAUAUACCAAUUGCAAGCUUGAACAGUAUUUACCUCUUUCUAACAGAGUUUUCAUCCUGUUGCAAAAUAACAGGCUCCACGUUCGCCUCGUCAUCAUCAUGAACUACCGCUGUAUGCUCACCAAGCCCAAGAUUUUGAAGCCAUUCUUUCACCUUUGAUGCAUGAUAAAGGAAAAACAUUCACUCAUACAAUAACUCUUAACUCUCUGAGACAUUAAUUAAGCAGACGCUUUGCUACAUGAACAGCACAAAUAAUGCCUAUUCAAAUAGCAGUGGCAAAAACAAUAUGAACAAAGAGAAUGAAAGGAAAACUUUGAUGUAUCUAAAACUACUACACAUGUGGCACAAAAGGAAGGUGCUUUUAACAACUAAAAAUGGUGCUUCAGAAUGAUUAGGAAAGAACAAGAAAACAGGACAAAAAUAUAGUAAAAAGACACAAAAUUUUUGAGAAAUCUAUAUCAGAAACUACAAGUUUUCAUUAACCUAAAAAAGAGUGUGACAUGAGAUAACUCGGUUGCAAUUUGAAAGUACUUGCGCAGAGAAAUAUGAAUGAAGGAAAGACUUUGUUUGGUUGGUAACCAACAGGAGGAUAUCUCAGAUAGUUCCCAUUAUUCUACCAUUCAUAGCAAAUUAAAAAUAAAAAAAGAAAAAAAAGAAAUGAAGCUUAUUGAGAGUUGUUUGAGGAUUAUCCUGAGAUAACCCAGGAACUACUAGUCUAACAACUCCAACCAACCCCAAGAGCUGCGCUAUUCCUUACUUUACAUUCAUCAAUAUAUAUAUAUAUAUAUAUAUAUAUAUAUAGAACCAGGCUGGUAUACUAUCGGUAGCCGGGUCUCCGUGCUACCAAGUUGUUUCCGAUGAUGCGGCUUUCAAAUCAACGAUCAGCUCUGUUAGACUUGAUCUACAUUAUUGAAAACAUUUGGAAACUAAAUUUUAUAAUUUUUCGACAUUAUUUGGCUAGUGAUCAAAAGGUCUCAAAAAUGACAAAUUUAAUGGUCGAUGUGAUGCGUUUGUGAAUUUAACAGUGUAAAACAAUCCAAAUCAGAUUAAAUUUUUAUAGAAAAUUCUUUUUACUAUUUAGAGUAAGAUCAGUACCUCUGAUUUUAAAUUCAAGUCUUUUAUCAUCAUUUUUUAUGAGAUUUUUAUUUUCAGCCGUUCAUUUUUAGACUACUCGUUUGAUAGAUAAAUGAUGUCGAAAAAUUAUAAAAUUUAGUUUUCAAAUACUUUCAAUAGUGUAGAUUAAGUCUAACGGAACCGAUCGUUGAUUUGGAAGCCGCAUCAUCGAGAAAAACUUGGUAGCACGGAGGCUUCCGUACUACCGAUAGUAUACCAGCUGAACUAUAUAUAUAUAUAUAUAUCCUUCUAAACAUUUGAGUGAAUCCUAUAAUAAAGAACCAAGCUGAAAAUGACUUUUCAGGAUUCAAGCCGUAGAAUUGCACUAUUCCUCACUUUAUCUUCAUCAAUAUAGAUAUCCCUCUAUUAAAUUAUAUGAAACAACCGUUAUUUUCUAAAAGCUUAAGCUAUUAGAGAACAGUGUUUAAAUAUUUUUAUAUUAUAUUUAAUACUUCCUCUCACGUUUGGGCUCGAGACUUUUUGUAGGCUCAUGACGUGGAUUUGAAUUAAAUAGGAGGAAAUUAAUAAUGAUAGGAGUCUGGCGCGACUCGAACUCAGGACCUCCUGCUCUGAUAUUAUGUUGAAUUAUAUUCUCUAAAAACUUAAGCUAUUAGAGAAUGGUAUUUAAAUAUUUUUAUAUUAUAUUUAUCACCCUCCAAUCACUGUAGUGAAAAACCAAACUAAAAAUUACUUUUCUCGAGACUGUCCCAAAACACUAUUAUAACCACAGUUACCACAGGAUAAAGGAAAAAGUUAUUGCCACAAAAUGCUACCCAAAUUAAUAUCCUUCUUCAUUGCUGAACUAGCAGAAACGGUUGAGAGGAACCUAGAAAACUUAAUCUAUAAAGAUGACUACUAAUGCAGUAGAAAAUUGUACAAAAGAUGAUGCUCUAAAAAGGGUGAUAAGAAUGAACUAAGAGCUUAUCAAAAUGACACGUAAACAAACCUGCUCUUGCUUCUCAUGAAAUUCCUCGAGAAGUGCACGUUUCUUCAAUUGAAAAUGUAGAUAGAACACUUGUGAAGCUUUCUUCACUAAACACCACUUAAACUGACAAAAGACAUGGAGAGGUUAUUCCAGAUAUCACAUGACCAGGCUAAGGUAUAAACAUCAUACUGUGGCUGCAUUUAUACACAUAUCUACAAACAUAACCCAAUUGUAUGUUCCAACAAAUGGCGGCAGAAAGAAGGGGCAGAAGAAAGAUAUUUCAGAACAAUCUGAUAAAAAUAAGAUGAACAAAAAAUUUAGUUGUAAACUAAAGCAGUGGCUUUCAGUGAGCAGAUGACAUUAUGAUAUCCUGCAAAGGAUUUAAGUAUAUAUUCUUUUUCAAAUCAAUAGCUAUACUUUCUACAUUGUCAACAUUACGGUAUCCUCGCAUUGAAGAAUGAUCCAAGUACUUCAAGAAAUAACUAGCAGCAGCAUCGGAACUCUGAGCAAUUUUUUUUAAAAAAAAAAAUACAUAGAUUGUAAAGGAAAACAUCACAACUUCUAAUAUUACAUGCAAAAUAAUAUAUCAAAAUAAUCAACUCAUUAUCUGCAAAAUAACAACCAUCCGAAACAGGAAAACAGUUGGUAAUGCAAACACAGCAUAUUUUCGAUUGCCCGUCAAAUUCAACUCUUCAAGACAACUAGAUAUCUUUCUACAUUGAACAUUCUUGAGAUCCUCUCGCUAUCAAACCCAACAAAAUCUCCCUAAAGAACAUUUGCUUUCAGUUACAAACUAUUAGAAGUUAACAAACCGGAACACAUACAUAUCAACGCAUUCAUGACACAUGCAAGAAGCACAAAAUUCGCUAACGAAAUCCCGUUCUUGAAUAUAAAAGUUACGUCCCUAAUUCCAAUUCCCCGCUUCCAAAUCACCCCCGAAAUUGAAACUUCCCACCAAAUUAGAAAACCUAGAUCACAAAACCCCAAUUUCCGAGCAACAAAAUCGAAGUAAAGAAUAAGAAUGCGGUCGGGAAAAAAAGAAAGAGCGCACCACCUGCUUGUACUCGAACUCGAUGGUGUAGGAGAGGAGCAUGGGCGUGAUAUCGCUCGCCUCGGGCCGCGACACCGCGACAAUGGUGGCCUUCGGAAGCUCGUCGAAGAUCCUCUCCGCCGCCGCCGCCGCAGCCGCCGCCGCCGCGGGUGGCGGCGGCUCCGACGGCAUCUUAACGUAGCAGUGGCCCCCCUCUACGGGGGGUCGAUCGGAGAACAUGAACGAACGCCGAGGCUUCCGUGUUUGCGGCGGAUUCGAGCGCGAUUCCGAGCGAAAAAGGAUCGGAUCUCGGAGAGAAGCGCUAGGGUUCCACACGCUCUUCGUGCUCCUACGAAUGGCGUCUCUUGGUAAGAGGAAUGGGAAUAAGAAAGAGGAGGAUGCGAAUCUUCGAAGGCAUGUGGAUUGGUGGAGGUGGGGAGAGGGGUUUGUAUAUAUACAACGAGGGGAGGGAGAGGGAGACCGUUGGAGGCGGAGAGAAGGGCCGUCUUAAAUUAGAUCUUCAUUAGUUCAUUAUUACUUGUUAAUUAAUUAAUGCUUUGGUGAUUAAUGCCUUGUUGAAUUACUAUAAUGCCCUUGUGAAAAUAUUUGGUUGGUGGGGCCUUGGGUUACGAAUCUAAAGUCCCCACUCCCCAGUUGCACUUGCUUUGCUUCCACUUUCAAAUUUAGAAAUUAGUGAGAAAUUAUAAGUUAAUGUAUAAAUAAAAAAAAAUGCCACUAAAAUAUGGAAGUUAAUUAAACUUCCGCACCCUCAAAAGUAAUAUCUUUAUUUUGGAACUUCUAUUUUUUACAAAGUAUAAAUAUUUCAAACAAAUUCAAAAAAAUUUAUUUUGUAUUUCAAAAGUUUCAGAUAUUGUUUUAUUGUUGGUGAUAUGAAAUUUUCUAAAUCCUAAAAGCUCAAACUGAAUGUAUAUUUUGUUGUAAUUGUAAUAUAUCGAUUGUAAACAAAAGUUACUUUCAUUAAAAACAUUUCAUAUAAAGUACUAUAUUAUAUAAUAUGCAAUUAAAUCUUGCAAUUGCUUAGGUAUUUGAAAUAAUAUUAGUGUUUUUUCAAAUCUAGUUCUAAUUGAAUAAAACAAUAAACGCACUCUGAAUUUGAAUAUCUAUCAUUUUGAAAAUCGCAGAAAUUUUUUCUUACAAAGAGUGGGGUGGGGAGUGUGUUCAUGUAGGCUCAAACAUUGGCCCUUUAAUCAGGGACCAUUUGGAUGAUCAAAAUGGGCAUGGGCAUAAUAGUCAUUUGAUGAAUCAUUGAGUUCGCUUGUCACUUAUUCCAACUGAAACGGAGUAGCAAGUGAUGUGACAGCUUAGUUUGGAUAAUAAACAUACGCCGUAUACGAAUAUCCCAUUCAGGUGCUAGCGUCCAUCCUAUGAUACCCAUUUGCUCUUUUUUAUUCGGGUAAAAUUUCAAUCUCCUCUUCUGUUACUUAAGCGCGUUUUUAUUGUAUUAUUAUUCAACAGCUCACAAAUCAUUUUUUUUUAAUAAUCAGAGGAUAGUUAACUAUAAAUUUUGAACUGCAUAAUAAUAAAGUAAAUAAGGCUUAGUUUGGUAUUGAGAUCUAUCCGACGCUAUUAGAUAGAAUAGAGUUGAAAAAAAAGUAUAUAGAGAUAUGCUUUUGCGUUCUCCGGUGGGACCGCAGAAAAUAUAUCGUAACUGACUUAUCGUGAUAUACGGAGCACAAUAUUACAUACAGAAACAAACAUGGUAUUUUUUCAACAUACUUUCUCACCGCAAUCUCUCCGCAAUUUCAAACUAAGCCUAAAUUGCAUGACGGUUAAGUCGAAUUUUAAACUACGGAAUGACAAUGUAAAAUUAAGCUAAAUUAUGAACAAAAAUUAAAAUUUAUUUUUUUAUUUUUUCUUUUUGUUAAAAAAAUAAUGCUACUGAUGUACUAAAAAAUAAUAUAAACCUUAUAUUAUUUUAUCAAAUGUCGCAUAUGAGGUUCCAAGUUCGAAUCCUAGGUGAUUCAUUUUUCUAGCUAAAUUUAUUUAUAAAUAAAAUAAAUGAAACAGAUAGCGUGUUAUUUAUCUCUCAAAAAAAAAUGUCGCAUAUGAGGAUCUUGCCUUGUCAAAUUGUUUUUUUAGCAAGUUACCGCUUACGUGAAAGAUUCCACAAGUUAGCUCCAUCUAAAAAUUAGAAUUAUGAGGUCAUAAUUCGAACCCAGUUUUGGGUGAAAUGGGACUUUAAGGACCGUGGCGAAGCAUUUUCCAUUGUGACUUUUAGUCCCCAAGUGGCAUCAAACGUAACUUGUCUUUAUGUUAUUAAAGUCUAUUAUUAAUUCAGAUGAUAUUCUCACUCCGUACUUUUUCAACUAGAUAUCAUUUGAAUAUGAAUAUACUAAAUGCGAUUUAGUUGUUUAGAAUACGAAUAUAUUUUACUGGGUCAAAUUAGAGUACAAUUUAAUGAUCCUAGACCGUCGAAAAAUAAAGAUAUAAAAAAUUCAACCGGAUCUCAUCAUUUUAUAUUUGUUAAGUGUCCGAUUGCCUAGGAUCUAGUCAGCUAAGAUCCAUUUAAUAAUAAAAAGUAUAUAGUACUGUUUGAUCGAAAGGAGUUAACAAAAGCAUAUAGUAAAAUUUAUAUUACAACUGAAAUUACUGUAAUUUACACAAAUAAAUAAAUACAAUUUUACAGUACUUUCUAAUUAUCAAUAACACACUCUUCUCACGGUCCUUUAACUGACCCAAAAAUGAAUGAGAUCAUAAAAUUAAUGAGUUUAUCAUAAAAACCUACUUUAGGAUUGAUAUCAAAUGGAUAGUACUUGAGUUUAAGUUAGACCCGAAUAGCCUCAUUGUACGACCUGACCAAACCCAAGCCCAAGCCUAACAAUAUGUUGGGCCGGGCUUUGAUGGUCAUUUUAAGUCCCAUAAUUAAGGGGACGAAGCUUUUCAAAGGAAGUCUCAGGAAACUUGCCCCGGCCCAUUACAAUUCGGCCCAUGAAGCCCUUGGAGCCGAACCCUAACCCUCCAUAGCCAUCCUAUAAAAUGCUGUUUCCGCCGCAUGGCGCAAACCCUUCGUCUCCGUAGCACCGCCAUUAGCGAGGAGGCGGGCGAUCGCCAUGGUUUCUCUCAAGCUCCAGAAGCGGCUCGCCGCGAGCGUGCUCAGCUGCGGGAAGGGGAAGGUGUGGCUCGAUCCCAAUGAGGUCAACGAGAUCUCCAUGGCCAAUUCCAGUAAGCUUCAUCUCUCUCUCCCCUUCUUCAUGAUCCGAGUGUUUCGGAAUCUAGGGCUAGGGUUAGGGUUUCCUAAAUUCGAGUUCUCACGUGAUUUCGCGCUUGCUUUUGGUGGGUCUUAUUUUUGCAGCUUCUUAAACAGUGAAAUGGAUGUAGAGAUGAAUUGUUACGCUUGUAGACACUGUGCAUGGAUUAAAUUGGGGGAUUCGAUACUGUUGAUUUGUAGAAACGAAAAUUAAAGAGUAAUUUUUGGAACUUAAUAUUCACCGAUGUUAAGAAUGACAAAAAAAAGUGAUAAUUACUAAUACUAGAUAUAGUAAAGAAACUUUUAGAUGUUGAUUGGAAAUGGUUCUAAUACUUUUAGCGGAGUUAAUCUUUCUUACAUGGAGCAGAACUUUUACUUGUAUUAGAACAUCGACACGACCGAAUGAGGAAGCAUAAGUUUGGUGUUAUUUUCCAAUUCUAUUGCAUAUUUAUAGUUGAUGUAUAGAAUUACAUAUUCACAAUGUUAAAUCGACAACUCUGGAGAACUUGUUGGUGGAAUCCGGCAACCAUAUUCACAAGAGUGUUAUGGUGUUGAAAUCUAUUAGAUAUUUACCAACGUUCUUUUCAUCCGCCAGCUGUUUUGAUCUUAAUUUCCUUGAUAUGUAUCUGUACGUUUUUAAGUCAUAACAUCUGAAAUCUUUGAUGAAAAUGUUCAAUUUGACCAUUUUUCACUGCAAUAGCAAGUUUUAAAUCAUAAAAUUCGUAAGCUUUGUUGAAAUUUUCAAUUCAACCGAGUUCUAAUGCAAUAGGAGAUAUUUGGUGAGUCAUUCUAUUCGUAAGCAUAAUUGUCUGUUUGUAUUGAGUGUAUUAAGAAUGUCAUCCAGGUUUCUUUCUUGAUUUGCAUGUAGCAUGCGGUAAAACUCUCUAGAAUGUGUCGAACAUGUUCUUCGAUCACUUUAAACAAUUUUGCCUUGUUGGUUCUGGUUAAUGUUUACUUUUGAUCCUUAACCUAAGAGCUGAUCUUCUUGUAGUUCCGUUAAUGCUUACCUAGUGAUGUUAUAUAUCUGCGGACACUGCCCCUUAAUGAAUAUUUAAAAUUGCUAAUCUGAUAAAUAUCUGUUUUAUUUGAAUUGCAGGGCAGAACAUAAGAAAGUUGGUGAAGGAUGGCUUCAUUAUCAAGAAGCCCAUGAAGAUCCAUUCACGAUCUCGUGCGCGCAGAGAACAUGAAGCCAAGAAGAAGGGGCGGCAUUCUGGAUAUGGUAUAUUCAUGACCUGAGUAGGAAGCACGAUUACUCGUAAUUCAUUCAUGGACUGGAACUUCCGCAGAAUUGGUGUGAUGUUGGUAAAGCGGUUUGGAAAAGCACUUACAGUUGCUUCUUUGAUAUCCUUUCCAACAGUUUCCCAUUGCAGCAAGCCAGAGGCUUCAAAUUGUAGCUUCUGUUUUUGGGGUUUUUGCAACAGGAGAAGUGUUUGUUAACAUUUCUAUAACUAUUUUGGAGUUGACAAGCUAUUCCAGAAGCCAGUUGGUAUUGUAUUGCCUAUUUAACUUCGUCUAUAAUUGGUUGUUCAGGUAAAAGAAGGGGUACGAGGGAAGCUAGGCUCCCUACUAAAAUCCUUUGGAUGCGGAGAAUGAGAGUUCUCAGACGCUUGUUGCGCAAGUACCGAGAAUCAAAGAAGAUAGACAAGCACAUGUACCACGACACCUAUAUGAAGGUGAAGGGUAAUGUGUUCAAGAAUAAGCGGGUGCUUAUGGAGCACAUCCACAAGUCCAAGGCCGAGAAGAUGAGAGAGAAGACACUAUCCGACCAGUUUGAAGCCAAGCGAGCCAAGAGCAAGGCCAGCAGAGAGAGAAAGAUCGCUCGCAGGGAGGAACGGUUAGCUCAGGUAUAUUGUAGUGUCGAUUUUUGAAUUUACUUAAAUGCUAGGAUUGCUCUAACAGUGAUUCAUGUAAAACUAUUUGGAAAUGUGUGGGAUGGCUUACAACCUUAUUCUGCUAAAUAGGGUCCAGGAGAACGAGCAGCGGCCCCUACUCAAGCAACAGAGUAAUAUCCUUUUCUGUGCAACCUUUUUUUUUAAAGCAUGUUUUGUUUUAAUCAAGGGGUUUGAUUUGGAAUGUCGUGUUCUAUUGUAGGGCUUCUAAGAAGGGGAAGAAGUGAACCUAGAAGAAUGCAGUAAAGACGCACAGAUGAGGUGCAAGGUAGCUUGGCGAAUGCUUUUUGGGUUCUAAAGUCAGAGGAGCUGAGUGUCUUUUUCUUUUUGUGAUAUUUUUGUUUAAUCUUUAUUGCUGAGGUGGUGCCUUUGAGAUAUAAUGACCUCUUAAGUAAGACUUAUCAUCGCAAUAUCUUUCGGGAGUUUUUCCUUGUGUCGGCAGUCGACAUCAUACAUUUGCUGUUAGUGUGUAAUGGUCUCAUAGUUAUUUAAGUGUCAACCACUGUAAAUGCGCUAUGGUUUCCUCGCCUCAUGUACACACUAUUAGAAAAAUCUGUUCUCCUUCAACAUGUUUAAUUCUGUUGAUGCUGCUUCAUUUAAUUCCUGCAAGUGGAUUAAAUUUAUUCAAUUGCUUCAUGGGAAUUGCUUCAUGGGGAGAAAUAGACGUUCUAAAUUAGAGAAUCCGGCUGAGCAUUGGUACGAUCAAAUUUGCUCUGGCGGGGAGUCGCAGUUCAUAUUUUAUGCCCUAAAUUGUCUUGUGCUCCGUCCUUUAUUAUGGUUUUCUGGUCGAACAGAUAACUUUUGUUAUAACUACUAAUGUGGUUUAUUUUUACGAAUGCGGAAUGCUAUAACUGGCACAUUUUUGUUAUCUUGAUUAGACAAAUCUUAAUACAGAAAAGAUUGUAUAACAGGACAAAGGUGGCAGGCCAUCUAUGAUGAUCCGCAUUGUAGUGCUCUUAUUUCAAAAAUCAGAAACAAAAAGAGGCAAAAAGAGGCGGUGUGGGUGUAGCCUUCUAUCAGUGUGAUAUGUGGUUUUCUUUUAUAAUCUGAACUUGUGAAGAAUUUGAACCCCGAGGCACGAUUCAGAUGGCCCAACGAACAGGCCCUUGAGGAAAAUUAGAAUAAUAACUACAAAAAUUAGAAUAAUAACUACAGAACACACACCUAGAUGGCAAAACAAAAAGCAGAAAGUGUAGAUUAUAUUUGGUUUCCUCAAAAAAAAAAUCGAUAUUUGGUUUCCUCAAAAAAAAAAUCGAGAAAAAUAAUAUUUUUUUGGCAAAACAAAAAGCAGAAAGUGUAGAUUAUAUUUGGUUUCCUCAAAAAAAAAAAAAAAUCGAGAAAAAUAAUAUUUUUUAAAAAAAAUUUAUUUGUGCAGUUAAAAUAUUAUUUUGUUAUAUUAAAUAUUAAAUUAAAUGUAAAAUUCUGCACUAGCGUGUUGUUGUCCUUUUCUUUUUAUUUUUUAUUUAAAUGAUAUGUCUGUGUCCGGCUGUCCGCUAUUAUAACGAUCGACGGAUUUUGAAUGGCCCCUCACUCACGGGCCCAACCCGAAAUCCUACGUAAGCAAUAUGGCAGUAUCGCAACAUCACCGUAACAAUCAACAAACUGAAGAAGAAAAAAAUGGAAAAAGAAAAGAGCGAAAAUGGGGGAAAGGUGUAACCCUUUCUUUCUUUCCACAAGGAAAAGAGAACGAUAUCACAGGAAAAAAAAAAGAAAAAAAAAAAGAAGAGAACACGAGAGAGGCGAUGAGUAGGGGUUCCUUGGGAGUGCGCGAAGAGCGGAGCUUAGAAGGAGGGUUCAGGUGACGAGGUAGAUGGGCAUGGGCGGCGGAGCGGGAGCGGCGGCGGCGGCGGGGCGUCGGUCGAGGAGGUUGAGAUCGCGGAGGCUGAGGUAGGGGAUGCCCGCCCCCGCCGCCCCCACCUCCGCCGCCGCCAGCGGCCCCGAGGUGGGGCGAAUCGCGCGGCACCCCACCUCCCCCGCCGCCGCCGACGAACCGUCGGCAACGUAGAGCGGCCCCGACACCGCCCCCUGGUGAGGGUACCGCGGGCGGUCGUAGCCCCCGGCCUCCGCCGCCGCCGCCUCGAGAUCGGCGGUGUUGGAUUUGGGGCGCUUCCAGAGGAGGAGGAGGGCGGAGCCGGCGCUUCGCCACCAGUGGCUGCGGCGGUGGCGCUGCUGCUGCUGCUGCUGCUUCUGCUUCUUCUCCUUGGAUAUGGGCUUCUUGAGCUUCAGGUGCAGCGAGUCCAGCGCCGAACCACGCGCCUCCCCGCGCCGCACGUGCCUCCGCGCCUCCUCCAGCACCUUCUUUUAUUUAUUAUUAUUAUUAUUUUGGUAGUAUGGUGAGACCGUGAGACAAUGGGCGACGUAGGUAGGGGGACACUACCUUUUGGUGAACCAAAAAGCAAGUGUUGUGAGGCUUCUUUCUGGUGUGGUAUUUGUAUAAAAGGGCUAUUUGCUGAAAUGCCACCGAGGGAGGAAAGGAAAGAAAGAGUAAGGGAUUGGUUGGGAGUUGGGACCGUCUAUGGUAGAGGCAAAGAUGACCGUUGGGGAGCUUGUCCUCUUUUGUUUUCGGGUGGGCCCCAAUCCCUUUUCGAGACACAACUUAUUGGGUGGACAUUGUCUAGUAGACCGCGGAGGCCUAUAAAUAGCUUCUCUUCUGUGAGAACUGAGAAGCACCAUGACCUAAAGUUUACACACUCAAAAAAUUUGUUAAGAAGUCUAUUUUAUUAUUAAUUUUUUUAAACCAGCUGUAGGUUACAAUGCAUACACCUUUCCAAGUCCGAUUUUCUACGAAAUAAAAAAUAUAUAACUAACCAACUGAUCUAAGCAAUGACACUAUAUAUAAAAGUAUAAAUAGAAUCAGAUUUGAUGACUUAGAUUCUCGGAAAUUCAAAAGAGCUUUUGUUAACUCUACUACUCGAAAGUGACAGCGGCAACUAUGGUGAAGCUUUUGUGAAAGCAAUAUGAUAUUUUUCGUAGGACUGAUGGAGACCAUAGAAACUAUGCUCCCCUCCUAUUUUUGUAGGACUGAUCGAUCACCGGAGCAAAUUUCCUUUAACUUUUCUUCCUGUUUUUAAGAUGUUAGAGCGUGUUUGGUUCGCUUCUUUUUCAUCCUAGAAUCGGAAUUGGAAUGAGUGAAUCCGUUUGCGAGUGUUUGGUACGCGGGAGUCCCAUUUCCAUUCCGAUUCCCGAUUGGAAUGGGAAUUUUCCAAUCACCUCGUUUUUCAAUCCAGCCUAAGAGGCCGGAUUGAAAGUUGAAUCCGGACGGAAUGGAUAUUUAUUCGGAUUAAAUUUAUUUUUUUCAAAUUUUUUAAUUAAAAUAUGAGUUAAAAUUUAAAAAUUAAAUAUAUUAUUUUAAAUUUUAAUUUAAACUUAAAUUAAAAAUUAAAAUUUAAUCAAAUAUUUUGAAUCUAACUUAUAAUUUGAAUUUAAAUUAAAUUUUAAUUUAUAUAAAAUUUUAUUCAAAUUUUAUUUCAAACUUAAAUUAAUUUAUGGAUUCAAAUUAAAAUUUAAAUUGUAAUUUUAAGUUUGAAUUUGAAUAGAUCAAAAUUUAGUUUCAUAUUUUGAAUUAUCCACUCAACUUCAAAGUUUAAUUUUUUUUAAAAAAACAUAGAUUUAAAAUUUUGACAUUAUUUCAAAAUUUUGAUGUAAUUUUUUAAUAUUUAAUAUUUAAUUUGAAUUUAAAUUAAUAUAUUAUAAAGAUAAUGUUAAUAUAGUAAUUUGAUUACGUUUUUUAUAUCCACCCGAACCAAACACCGACAAUGGAAAUGAUUUAUUCCGAUUCCGAUUCAGGUGAUGAACCAAACAGAAUUAGAUAAUGAGUCAUUCCGAUUCCGAUUCCAGCUUAUUUUGAUUCCGAUUCCGAUUUCGAUUCCGACUCCGACUUCGAACCAAACACGCCCUUAGGGUGGACCAGGGCCACACAGUUCAUUCACUGUUAGAGAUCCAACAAAAUCUGCAGCAAAUUCGGGUUUUAUUUCGUCCCGUUAACGCCGUCCGAUCUGAUAUCUUGUUUGGACCAAGUGCAAAUCUAAAAUAGCUCUUAAAAACUGUCACGCCCACGAAUUAAUCUUGACCAGGAACCAGAUCUGACCCGCUAUUGGCGUGGCCUAAUAUUUGAUCAUCAUCAAGAACCAAUUUUUUAUACUAAUCUUAAUAUUUUUUAAAAAAAUACAAAAUUUUAAAAAUUUAUCUAAAUUUUACAAGAAUAAAAAAUUAUAUAUAUAUCUAUAGAGUCCGGCUGGGAUACUAUCGAGAGCACCAAGGAUUUGGUCCUAUCGAAUUUUCCAUCGUUAGAUUUAACUCCCUAUUUAUUUUUUAUCCGUUAGACUAUACUAUUCAACCAACCACUCACUAAACCCUAGGGGGCCCAUAUCAUCCUAACCAUCCAUUUCUCAAUCUAAGGGUUAAAAAAUCAAUAGUACCAAUAGUUUGGUGCUAUUGAUAGUAUUCCAAACUAUAUAUAUAUAUAUAUAUAUAUAU
rnacentral:lncRNA from 1 species